UUGGGUUUUGUUUGGCCAACUAGAUCUAUGAUUCUUGCAAUGGGAGAAGUGCUUGGUUUUGGGUUCUGCCAUUUGGUGACCAUUCCCAGUGACAGUAGGGGCAACAAGGCACACAUCAAGCAGUUGCCAUCAAGGGUAAAAAGAUGGGGUUUUUAUCAUUGGUUUGAGAUUAUCCCUCUACAUCAUGUCAUCUUGCUUAAGGCGUUACUCUGUUCUUAUGGACUUAAUACACUAGAUGCAUGCUCGAUAGCGGUCGACGUGUGGAGUAAUAGUAGUAGAUGCAGAAAGUAUCGGUCUACUUGUUUCAGAGGUGAUGCCUAUAGAAAUAAUCAUUGCAUAGGUAUCGUCACGACUCUGCACAGUUCUAUCAAUUGCUCGACAGUAAUUUGUUCACCCACCGUCUACUUGCUUUCAUGAGAGAAGCCACUAGUAAACACUACGGCCCCCGGGUCUAUUCACAUCCAUCGUUUACAACUCUGCUUUUACUUUGCUUUGUUACUUUGUUGCUUUCAGUUCUCACUUGGCAAACAAUCUAUAAGGGAUUGACAACCCCUUCAUAGCGUUGGGUGCAAGCUUUUGUGUUUGUGCAGGAUCUUGAGAUACUCUUCCGCCGGAUUGAUACCUUGGUUCUCAAACUGACGAAAAUACUUACCGUCGCUGUGCUACAUCACCCUUUCCGCUUCGAGGGAACACCAACGAAAGGCUCCAAGGCCACGGGGGAAAUCCUUUGCAUACUUGCCUAGGAAGUCCCUUAAGGCGUAGCCGUAGCUGAUAGAUUCCUGGUGCCGUCGACACAACUAUUUCUGGCACCGUUGCAAGGGAUACACACCAAACAUCAGAAGUAUUUCUAGCGCCGUUGCCGGGGAUACACAGCAAACAUCAUGCUUCGGUUCAUGGUGAAGAUACCCCGAACAAACUCCUCAAAGGAACAUUUUCCAUAGUGACAAGUGACAAUAAAUUUCAGCACAGUAUAAAAAUGUUUCCUUACCAAUUUCCACUUACCAAAGGCGCUUCACUCCCCGGCAAUGGCGCCAGAAAAGAGUCUUGAUGACCCACAAGUAUAGGGGGUCAAUCUUAGUCCUUUCGAUAAGUAAGAGUGUCGAACCCAACGAGGAGCAGAAGGCUCUGAUAAACGGUUUUCAGCAAGGUAAUAACUGCAAGCACUGAAAGUAGUGGUAACAAGUGAUGGUGUAGCGAGGUGAAACGUAGCAAGCAAAGAGUAACAAGUAACAAGUAGUAGCAACGGUGCAGCAAGUGGCCCAAUCCCUUUUGUAGCAAGGGACAAGCCUGAACAAAGUCUUAUAGGAGGAAAAACGCUCCCGAGGACACACAGGAAUUUCUGUCAUGCUAGUCUCAUCAUGUUCAUAUGAUUCACGUUCAUUACUUUGAUAGUUUGAUAUGUGGGUGGACCGACGCUUGGGUACUGCCCUUACUUGGACAAGCAUCGCACUUAUGAUUAACCUCUCUCGCAAGCAUCCGCAACUACAAAAGAAGAAUUAAGAUAACGUCUAACCAUAGCAUUAAACUAGUGGAUCCAAAUCAGCGCCUUACGAAGCAACGCAUAGACUGGGGUUUAAGCUUCUGUCACUCCAGCAACCCAUCAUCUACUUACUACUCCCCAAUGCCUUCCUCUAGGCCCAAAUAUGGUGAAGUGUUAUGUAGUCGACGUUCACAUAACACCACUAGAGGAAAAGACAACAUACAACAUAUCAAAAUAUCGAACGGAUAUCAAAUUCACAUGACUAUUAUUAACAUGACUUAUCGCAUGUCCUCAGGAACAAAAGUAACUACUCACAAAGCAUAAUCAUAAUCAUGAUCAGAGGUGUAAUGAAUAGCAUCAAGGAUCUGAACAUAAACUCUUCCACCAAGUAAUCCAACUAGCAUCAACUACAAAGAGUAAUCAACACUACUAGCAACCUUACAAGUACCAAUCGGAGUCAUGAGACGGAGAUUGGUUACAAGAGAUGAACUAGGGAUUGGAGACGGAAUGGUGCUGAUGAAGAUGUUGAUGAAGAUGCCUCCCCUCCGACGAGAGGAGUGUUGGUGAUGACGAUGGCGACGAUUUCCCCCUCCGGGAGGGAAGUUUCCCCGGUAGGAUCGUCCUACCGGAGCUCUAGAUUGGAUCUGCUCAAGUUCCGCCUCGUGGCGGCGGCGAAACCACGAAAAAGCUCCCUAUUGAUUUUUAUGGAACGAAACCCUUCAUAUAGAAAAAGAGGGGGGCUAGUGGGCCGUCAGGGAGCCCACAAGCUUGCCCUCCACCACCAGGGGGGUGGCGGUGGCAGGGCUUGUGGCGCCCUGGUGGCCCCCCUCUGGUACUUCUUUCGCCCAGUAUUUUUUAUAUAAUCCCAAAAAAUUCCAGGUAACUUUUCAGGGCAUUUGGAGAUGUGCAGAAUAGUGGACUAAGAUUUGCUCCUUUUCUAGUCCAGAAUUCCAGCUGCCUGAAUUCUCCCUCUUCAAAUAAACCUUGCAAAAUAAGAGAGAAAAGGCAUAAAUAUGGUACCACAAAGUAAUAUAACAUCCCAUAAAACAAUAAAUAUCAACAUGAAAGCAUGAUGCAAAAUGGACGUAUCAGUCCUUGGGAGCGUUUUUCCUCCUAUAAGUCUUUGUCCAGGCUUGUCCCUUGCUACAAAAGGGAUUGGGCCACUUUGCUGCAACGUUGCUACUUUUAUUACUUGUUGCUUGCUACGAAUCAUCUCAACACACAAUCACUUGUUACCGACAAUUUCAGUGCGUGCAGAUUUUACCUUGCUGAAAACCACUUGUCAGAUCCUUCCGCUCCUCGUUGGGUUCGACACUCUUACUUAUCGAUAGGACUACGAUUGAUCCCCUAUACUUGUGGGUUAUCAGUGUCCCGUGCCCCGGGCCCCACCUCUGUUAAUAUAGCGCUGGUCACAGGGGCCCACUAAUCAUAAUGGGUUGGGCGCCCCCGAUCAAGGCGCAUGGAUCAAGGGUCCGAUGGUCCGUUGGGCCCACGCGGAAGAGAUCAACCUAACAUUCUCCCCCUUGAUCUCAAAUUUUACUUUAACUUUAUACUUUCUAGUUUAUUUGUUCCAUCACAUAUUGGUACAUAGAGCAUGUCUCAUCGUCACAGCUUAUUGCCGAUAGAAUCAUACAGCUACAACAUAUGUUUUGUUCAGAAACAAAUUCAGUUUCAUUUUGGGCCUCUUAUGAUCCAGGAAUCACAGGCUUUCCAUUAACCCCAUGCCGGCCAAGUGUUCCUUGAACACAUUGGGUGGUAAGCCUUUCAUUAGCGGAUCCGCAAGCAUAUCCUUUGUCCUUAUAUGCUCGAGACUUAUAGUGUGAUCCUGGAUUUUAUCUUUCACAACAUAAUACUUUAUAUCUGUUGUCUUGGUAGCAUUACUCGACUUGUUGUUGUGGGCAUAAAAUACUGCGGGCUGGUUCUCACAGCACAUCUUUAGUGGUUUGUGAAUACAAACUACCACUUUUAAGUCGGGUAUAAAUUUCUUUAACCAUAUCACCUGCCCGGUGGCUUCAAAACAUGCUAUAAACUCUGCUUGCAUCGUGGACGAUGCAACUACGGUUUUUUGGAGCUUUUCCACGAAAUAGCCCCUCCAAUGAGAGCGAACACGUAUCCUAACGUGGAUUUUCUAUCAUCUCUAUCUCCCGCAAAAUCUGCGUCUGAAUACCCUUUUAUAUCUAGGGAAUCUGAUCUUCUGUAUGUUAGCAUGAUGUCCUUUGUGCCUCGCACAUAGCGCAAUGCUUUCUUUAUCAUCUUCCAAUGCUCUAGGACUGGAUUCUCUUGAUAUUUACCGAGUACCCCGGUGAUAAAAGCUAAGUCAGAGCGGGUGCACACUUGUGCAUACUGUAAGCUUCCAACAGCCGAAGUAUAUGGUACUGCUUUCAUCUCAUCGAGCUCGUACUGGUUCUUGAGACAUUGGAAUUUCCCAAAACUGUCGCCCUUGACUAUUGGAAUAGGUGUGGCCUUACUCGCAUGCAUAUUGUAUUUUUUGAGAAUCUUCUCUAAAUAUGCUUUCCGCGAUAGUCCUAAGACUCCAUUUUUCCGAUCUCGGUGAAUUUCAAUGCCCAAAACAUAUGAAGCAUCACCAAGAUCUUUCAUAUCAAAGUUUGAGGAUAAAAACUUCUUUGUUUCUUGUAGUAGACUAACACCAUUGCUUGCAAGCAAGAUGUCAUCCACAUACAAGAUUAGGAAAAUGUAUUUCCCAUUUUUGAACUUUGCAUAAACGCAGUUAUCCUCAACAUUUUCUUUAAAUCCAAAUCUUUUAAUAGUAUCGCUAAACUUUAGAUAUCACUGUCUAGAGGCUUGCCUUAGUCCAUAAAUGGAUUUCAUUAGGCGGCAUCCCAUAUCUUCCUUGCCUUCCAUGAUAAAACCCUUGGGUUGUUUCAUGUAGACAUUUUCUUCUAAAUCUCUGUUUAGAAAUGUCGUCUUUACAUUCAUUUGAUGCAAAUCUAAAUCAAAAUGUGCAACUAAUGCCAUUAUGAUUCUAAAGGAAUCCUUCAUGAGACUGGGGAAAAAGUCUCAUUGUACUCUAUACCUUCUCUUUGUGUAAAUCCUUUUUCCAUGAGUCGUACUUUAUACUUUUCUAUAUUCCCAUUAGAGUCAUACUUUGUUUUGUGGACCCAUUUACAACCUACUGUUUUGGCUCCUUUAGGAAUAAUUUCUAAGUCCCAAACAUGGUUGGAACUCAUUGAGUUCAUCUCGUCUUCCAUUACCUCUAGCCACUUCUAUGAGUGAGGGCUUCUCAUCGCUUCUUCAUAUGAAGUGGGACCACCUUCUAUAUGAACCAAUUAUGUGUUAUAAACUUUGUAAUGAGUAGAAAUAGCUGAUCUUCUAGUUCUGUUAGACCUUCUAAAUGCCUCAUUCUCUCGCACAUCCUCUAAAAUUGGCUGCUGUACCUCCCUUUCAUGUUCAACAAUAGGUUCAGUCGGAUCCUGAAGGACAGGUUCCAGAUCUUCUCCCAUAGUUGUCAUGGUUGGAGUUACAACGGGUAGUGCGAAAAAUGGCUCUUGAAUCAUCGAAUUAGGUGCAUGCACCCUCUUCUUCUCAGGAUCAAUUGUCCGAGCUACCAUGCUCCCCUCAUCAUUUCGUCCUCUAAGAAGACCACAUGUAUCGUUUCUACAAACUUUGUGUAUCUUUCUGGACAGUAGAAACAAAAACCUUUUGAUCUUUCAGGAUAGCCAAUGAAGUGGCAACUCACUGUUUUGGGAUCUAACUUUGCAAUAUUUGCAUUAAACAUCUUGGCCUCAGCUGGGCAUCCCCACACUUUGAAGUGUUGCAAGGAUGGUACUUUUCCUGUCCAUAGCUCGUACGGUGUUUUGGGCACUGACUUGCUUGGCACUCUAUUGAGAAUGUGAAUGGUGGUUUUAAGCGCCUUCAUCCAUAAUCCCAAUGGUAGGUUGGAGUAACUCAUCAUGCUGCACACGAUAUCCAUAAGGGUACGGUUACGCCUUUCAGCUACUGCAUUUUGCUGAGGCUCGUCCGACAUUGAAUACUGGGCUACUAUGCCAGUCUCCAGCAAGAACUUUGCAAAAGGUCCAGGGACUUGGCCAUAUGGAGUGUGUCGACCGUAAUACUCCCCCCACGCUCAGAUCUCACUAUCUUUAUUCUUUUGUUCAAGGUGAUUUUCAACUUCAGCUUUGAAAUUUUUGAAUUAAUCCAAUGCUUCAUUUCUUUCUUUGAUUGAAUAAAUGUAACCGAAAAGAGAGUAAUCAUCGGUGAAUGUUAUGAACGAGUCAUAGCCAUCCACACUUUUCACAGGAAAUGGUCCACAAAUGUCAGUGUGGAUGAUUUCUAGUGUUUCGGUGCUUCGGUUUACACCCUUUUUAAUUUUUUUACAUACUUUUCCUUAACGCAAUCGAUGCAUUGUUUUAAAUCUAAGAACUCUAGUGGAGGAAGAAUCUCACUUUUAAUUAGUCUUUCUAUCCUCCCUUUCAAAAUAUGGCCCAAACGACAGUGCCAUAACUUCGAGGAGUCGUGAGUUCUCUUUCUUUUCUUUUGUUCUUUGUUCGACGAGGAAUCUUGCUCAUUCACAUUAUGAACGUAAUGCACUUUUUUAUGAAGUAAUAACAAAUAAAGCUCGUUGUGAAGUAAGGCAACACCAACAUAAACAUUAUUGUAGCAUAUGGCACACUUGCCAUGUCCAAAAUAACACUCGUAAUUAUCUUUAUCUAAGCAAGAAACACUUGUUAAAUUUCUAUUACAUGAAGGAACAAAUAGGAAGUUUCUAAGGAAAAGACAGAAUCCUUUAGCCAACUCCAAGGAGAUGUCCCCGACAACUUCAACUUUUGCUUGGAUGCCAUUUGCGACUUCAAUACUUCUUUCUCUUCUUUGCAUAGUCCUCGUCGAACGGAAUCCCCGUAAAGAGUUUGCAACAUGAAUAGUUGCACCUGAGUCAAUCCACCAAGUAGAUUUCGAAAAAUAUGAAUACAAGGAUUCAUUAAUAAAGGAAACGACGUCGUUACCUCUCUUUGCCAUGAUGGUCUUUAGCCAGUCAGGGCAAUCCUUUUUGUAGUGCCCUGUCUUCUUGCAGUGGAGACAAGUGUCCCUGUCCACUGGAAGAGGAUUUUGCUGAUGCUGAAAAUGCGAGGGGCCUUUACCAUGUGGCUUUGAAGGAGAACCUUUGUUGUUUUGACUGAAAUUCUUUUUCUGAUUGUCCUUCGCAUAGUUGAGUGAACCACCAUGUGAGGCUUUCAGUCUGUCCUCUUCUUGGACACACAUUGCUAUUGUCUUUUCAAUGUCCCAUGUUUCAGGGGACAUGUUAUAGUUCACAAAAAAAGUUUCGAACUCCUUUGGUAGUGAAGCCAUGACCAAGUGGACGAGGAGUGCUGGUUUGAUUUCCAGAUCCACGCCCAUUGGCUAGAGCUUUGCUGCCGUGUUGCUCAUCCGAAGGAUGUGCUCUCUAAUGCCAUGACCACCUCAAGUGUAGUUCUCUGUAACCAGUUGUUUUAUCAACUGGGUGGCAUAUGUCUUUGAAGAACCAGUGAACUAGCUCUUUAUCUUUGUAAGCAUCUCCCCUGCAAAAGUGCACUCUGCAAUUGAGCCCACAAUGGCGUUCUCAAUUGUAUUCUUUAUAAAUGCCAGACACUUUUUGUUGGCAUUGAUCCACUUUUGAUUGCAGAGGGAGUAGGAUAACUCCACUGGAGCAUGAUCCCUCUACUUUUUCGCCCAUGCAUCAUCAUCAUCAGUGGCCUCUUUGACUAGCUGUGUAAGUUUAACGGGUUGUGGUUCCUCCAGAAACCAGUCCACCUCAGCACAGACAAAAGCCAUGUCUACUUUCUUCCUUCACCCAGAGUAGUUAUUGUUGGAAAUAUGCCCUAGAGGCAAUAAUAAAUUAGUUAUUAUUAUAUUUCUUAGUUCAUGAUAAUCGUUUAUUAUCCAUGCUAUAAUUGUAUUAGUUGGAAACACAAUACUUGUGUGGAUACAUAGACAAAACACUGUCCCUAGUAAGCCUCUAGUUGACUAGCUCGUUGAUCAAAGAUGGUCAAGGUUUCCUGGCCAUAGGCAAGUGUUGUCACUUGAUAACGGGAUCACAUCAUUAGGAGAAUCAUGUGAUGGACUAGACCCAAACUAAUAGACAUAGCAUGUUGAUCGUGUCAUUUUGUUGCUACUGUUUUCUGCGUGUCAAGUAUUUAUUCCUAUGACCAUGAGAUCAUAUAACUCACUCACACCGGAGGAAUGCUUUNCGUUCUCUAACGCUUCUGCUGUACGAUCUACAAGGGUACGUAGAUCACUCAUCCCCUCUCGUAGAUGGACAUCACCAUGAUAGGUCUUCGUGCGCGUAGGAAAAUUUUUGUUUCCCAUGCGACGUUCCCCAACAGUUAUCAACUCUGAGUGUCGGAACAUCUUUUAGGCAACUCAUCACGUGGAAGCCUCGUGAAAUCACAAUGUAAGUGAGAUCAGUAUAACAACCAUAUGCAUUAAUCUAACGUUGGUCAAAUUAAACAUACAACUAUCUAUGCAAUUAAAACUAUAUUACCGUUGGGCAAAAAUAGAAAUAAAUGCACCUUUAAUUCUAAUAAUGAUAAAACAUUAUUAUGUUAUUAACAACGUUGGUUAGAAAAUAACCGAAUCAUAUUCUAUUUUAAUAAACAAUCACUUUAAUGUGCUCUUUAAUUUUAUUCUAUCUUAAAUUUUAUUUUCUUUGUAAAAGAGCACUAAAAUAAAUACUUUACAGCGGAAAACGUGAAUAAAAAUUAAUGUACUUUUUGCACUGUACAUAAAUUUUUUCUGUUAAAAUUCAAAGUUCACGAACUUUAUUAUCCCUUUUAUUAAAUCCAUGAACUUUUUUCUUUUUCUGAAAAAUUCUCUAUUUAGUUUCAGAAACUUUUAUUUUUCUUUGCAGAAAAAUUUCUAUUUAUUGUUCCCUUUGCUAAACAAAAUUUUCGUUGGAAAAUUAUGCCUAGAAAAAGAAAAAAAUAAAACUGUUUAAAAAAUGCCCAAAUUUGGAUAGAAUUAAAAAACAAAACGCGGUUUGCAAGGCCCGACUUGUUGGCCUCUCGGCCUGCUGGGCGAAUGCACGCCACCUAGGCAGCGUCUCCUCGGUCUAGGCCGACCUCCUCCCCUUUCGCCUGACGCGGCCUGGGGUUGCUGUUUUUGGGCCGACCUCCUCCCCUUUGGCCUGACGCGGCCUGGGGUUGCUGUUUUUGGCCCAACUAGCCCAGGAGGGACUAGGGUUUCUCUCCCGGGUAAUCCUGGCCGUCCAUCAGAUCGGACAGCCACCGGUGGGGAAACCCUAAGUUCAUUUCCUUCCCCUCACCACGCCGCUCACCUCUCCCUGGCUCCUGCAGCUCUCUCUCGCGGGAGCACUCUCUUGCGCGGUGGCUGCACUACCCCGCCGGAGAGCUCUUCGGCUGGCUGCCGGGAGUGGCGACCAAGGGCUCCUCGCCGCGCGUGCCAGACUCUCUUUUGGUCUCUCUCGCAGCAGCUCUCUCUGCUCGGGGCGCUCGGGGCAGCUCCUGCAGCUCUCUCUCUCGAGGUGCACGGGGCAGCUCCCGCAACUGCCACGCCGCACUACCCCCCCCCCAACUACCUUGGUCUCUUUCUCUAUCGUGAAGCCCCCUGCGACGGCGUGCAGUGACGGCCCCCUCAGCCCCCCUUGCCGGUGCGCGCGAGCUCCCGAGGGAGAGCGCACCGCCGUCAAGCGGUGCGGUGGGGUGCCCUUUUGUCCCUGCGAGAGGGUCUGUCCUUUGCGCGUCCCUGAUAACCCACAAGUAUAGGGGAUCGCAACAGUUUUUGAGGGUAGAGUAUUCAACCCAAAUUUAUUGAUUCGACACAAGGGGAAGCCAAAGAAUAUUCUCAAGUAUUAGCAGUUGAGUUGUCAAUUCAACCACACCUGAAAGAUUUAGUAUCUGCAGCAAAGUAUCAGUAGCAAAGUAGUAUGAUAGCAACAGUAACCAGUAGCAGCAAAGUGACAGCAGUAGCAGCAAAGUAACAGCAGUAGCAACAGAGUAACAGUAGCAGCAGUGACAGCAGUAGCAGCAAAGUAACGUAGCAAGGACUAGUAGGAAAAACUCGUAGGCAUUGGAUCGGUGAUGGAUGAUUAUGCCGGAUGCUAUUCAUCAUGCAACCGUUAUAACACGGAGAGAUAUGUAACUAGCUCCAGUUCAUCAAUGUAAUGUAGGCAUCUAUUCCGUAUGUAGUCAUACGUGCUUCGGGAAAAGAACUUGCAUGACAUCUAUUGUCCAUCCCUCCCGUGGCAGCGGGUUCCUAAUGGAAACUACGGGAUAUUAAGGUUCUCCUUUUAAUAAAGAACCGGACUAACGCAUUAACACUUAGUGAAUACAUGAACUCCUCAUACUAUGGUCAUCUCCGGGAGUGGUUCCGGCUAUUGUUACUCCGGGGUUGCCGGGUCAUAACACAUAGUAGGUGACUAAAACUUGCAAGAUAGGAUCAAGAACACACAUAUAUUGACGAGAACAUAAUAGGUUCAGAUCUGAAAUCAUGGCACUGGGCCCUAGUGACAAGCAUUAAGCAAGGCAAAGUAGUAGCAACAUCAAUCUCAGAACAUANNNNNNNNNNNNNNNNNNNNNNNNNNNNNNNNNNNNNNNNNNNNNNNNNNNNNNNNNNNNNNNNNNNNNNNNNNNNNNNNNNNNNNNNNNNNNNNNNNNNNNNNNNNNNNNNNNNNNNNNNNNNNNNNNNNNNNNNNNNNNNNNNNNNNNNNNNNNNNNNNNNNNNNNNNNNNNNNNNNNNNNNNNNNNNNNNNNNNNNNNNNNNNNNNNNNNNNNNNNNNNNNNNNNNNNNNNNNNNNNNNNNNNNNNNNNNNNNNNNNNNNNNNNNNNNNNNNNNNNNNNNNNNNNNNNNNNNNNNNNNNNNNNNNNNNNNNNNNNNNNNNNNNNNNNNNNNNNNNNNNNNNNNCAUCAAUCUCAGAACAUAAUGGGUACUAGGGACCAAUCCUCGUCAAAACUAACUCGAUUACAUGAUAGAUCUCAUCCAACCCAUCACCGUCAAGCAAGCGUACGAUAAGAUUACUCACGAACGGUAAAGAGCAUCAUGGAAUUGGCGAUGAAGGAAGGUUGAUGAUGACGAUGGCGACGAUUUCCCCUCUCCGGAGACCAGAAUGGACUCCAGAUCUACCCUCGAGAGGAAGAACAGGAGGUGGCGGCGCCUCUGUAUCGUAAAACACGAUGAACUCUUCUCCUUGAUUUUUUUCCGGACGAAGGAGGAUAAAUAGAGCUGAGAUUGGAGGCUGUGGAGCUUUGUGGGCCCCACAAGUCUGCGAGGCGCGGCCAGGGGGGCCCGUGCUUGGUGGGCUUGUGGGCUCCAUGCUCCACUUCCUCCAUUGAUUCUUGCGCCAGUAUUUUUUAUAUAUUCCACAAAAAUUCUCCGUAAAUUUCCAGGUCAUUCCGAGAACUUUUAUUUCUGCGCAAAAACAACACCAUGGAAAUUCCGUUGAAAACAGCGUCAGUCCGGGUUAGUUCCAUUCAAAUCAUGCAAAGUAGAGUCCAAAACAAGGGAAAAAGAGUUUGGAAAAGUAGAUACGACGAAGACGUAUCAACCCCCCAAGCUUAAAACCUUGCUUGUCCUCAAGCAAUUCAGUUGACAAACUGAAAGAGACAAAAGAAAAACUUUUACGAACUCUGUUUGAUCUUGUUGUUGCAACUAUGUCUAACUCAUAUCCAGAAUUUCAGCAAGAUCACAAGCUAACCACAUAAGCAAAUGACAUCUAGGUCUCACGGUAAACUCAUAUCAAUGGCAUAAUCAACUAGCGAGCAAUAAUAAUAAGUCUCAAACGUCAACACUUCAAUCAAAACAAUCAUGAAGCAGUACGAACAGAUGGUAUCUCGCUAGCUCUUUCUGAGACCGCAAAACAUAAAUGCAGAGCACCUUCAAAGACCAAGGGCUGACUAAACAUUGCAAUUCAUGGCAAAGAAGAUCCAGUCACAGUCAUACUCAACAUCAGUCAAAAGCAAAGCAUAAAAAUGACAGAGGUGCUCCCUAAUUGGUGCUUUUAUAAGGAGAGGAUGACUCAACAGGAACAUAAAUAAACAGGCCCUUCGCGGAGGGAAGCAUUGAUUUGCAGAGGUGCUAGAGCUCAAGCUUUGAAAAUAGAGAUAAUAAUUUUGGGUGGCAUGCUUUCAUUGUCCAUGCAAUGACCAAGAGUUCUAACCAUCUUUCACGCUACACAUGCUAUAGGCAGUUCCCAAAUAGAAAAAGUAAAGUUUUGACUCCCCCACCACCAAUCAAUCACACUCCACGACUAGCCAAAUACUCGGGUGCCGUCCAUACGAACAUCAAUCCAGGGGGAGUUUUGUUUGCAAUUAUCUUUUCGAUUUGAGCAUGGAACUGGGCAUUCCAAUUACCGGCCCCUUUCUCGUGAAUGAUAGUGAAUAAACACAUAUCGAGGAUAACACACCUAGCAUGGAAGAUAUUGAUAGCCCCCUGUCACCACAUGAGCAGUUCGGGCAUGCAAAAUAGAUUAUUUCUUGAAGAUUUAGAGAGUGGCACAUGCAAAUUUACUUGGAACGGCAGGUAGAUACCGCAUAUAGGUAGGUAUGGUGGACUAAUAUGUAACAACUUUGGGUUUAUGGAAGUGGAUGCACAAGUAGUAUUCGCGCUUAGUACAAGUGAAGGCUAGCAAAAGACUGGGAAGCGACCAACUAGAGAGCGACAACAAUCAUCAAAAUGCAUUGAGAUUAACCAACAUUGAGUGCAAGCAUGAGUAGGACAUAAAUCACCAUGAACAUGAAUAUCAUAGAGGCUAUGUUGAUUUUGUUUCAACUACAUGCAUGAACAUGCGCCAAGUCAAGCCACUUGAAUCAUUCAAAGGAGGAUACCAUCCUAUCAUACUACAUCAUAGUCGUCUCAAAAUUCAUGUUGGCAUCCAAGAUAAACCAUUAUAAGCUCCUAGAUAAUUCAGCAUGGCGUCAUAAACUAUGAUCUCUAAAUUGUCACUGCAAACAUGUUUCUCUCACAACAAAGCUGAAUUAGGCACGAUGAGCUAGUCAUAUUUACAAAAACAAAAUAGAUUGAGUUCAUACCAACUUUUUCCAGGCUCAGUCACUUCAUCAUAUAUCGUCAUUAUUGCCUUUCACUUGCACGACCGAACGAUGUGAACAAUAAUAAGCGUGCUCGCGCAUUGGACUAAGCUGGAAUCUGCGAGCAAACACAAAGGAGAAGACAAAGUAAUAUGGCUCUAUAACAGACAAACAGAUAUGCAUGCGAGAGCCACUAAACAUUGUAACCAUGGUCUUCUACCUUGACCCAAAGAAAAAGAAAACUAUUUACACGGGAAAGCUCCCAACAAGAAAAAGAAGAACGGAAAAUCUUUUUGGGUUUUUCUCAAACUAGACAAACACACGAAAAGAAGACGAGAAAAAGAAAAUAAACUAGCAUGGAUGAUACAGUGGCAAAGUGUGAGCACCGACUAGCAAAGUGAAAGCGUAAGCAAGAAUAUAAAGUCGGUGAGAAACACGUACUCCCCCUAGCUUAGGCUUUUGGCCUAAGUUGGUCUACUCCCAUGGAUGGUCUGGGCGAUACCCAAAAUCAUAAUGAAGGUUGUACGGGAGCGCUGCAGACACUGCCUGAAUAGCUGCCUCACGGAGACGAGCAGCCUUUGCCUCCCUCUCAUACUCCUCUGGCUCUCCUAUGGUUAUGUAAUGUCUCCGUUUUACGUGAAAGUCAAAGAAGGCAGGAGCAGAAAGGGUAAUAUGGAAAACACGCUGCCGGUUAAAUAUUAAACGGUAUAGGAGGGAUUCAUCAUCCCUCUCAAGAAACUUAUAGCGUGUCAAAGCGGUGCGAUCAAGGAAAGCUGUAUGGAGCGGGGGAUCUCCUUCGCCGAUGGGUAAUCCAAGAAAAUUUGCUAUGCGAGUGGUAUAGAUCCCACCAAAGAAAUCUCCUUCAUUAGCAUUAUUAUUCAGCCUCCUUGCUAUUAUAGCUCCCAUGUUGAAACUUCUAUCACCCGUAACUGCGCUCUUAAGAAUACUAAGGUCGGGUGUGCAGAGAUGACAAUGCUCAAUCUUGCCAUUAAUGCAUCUACCUAUGAAGAGGGCAAAGUAAUGCAAGGCAGGAAAAUGAAUGCUCCCCAUGGUAGCCUGUGUAAUAUCUCUAGUUUCUCCGACGGUGAUAGAAGAGAAAAAUUCUCUAACUGAAGAUUUAGGAGGAUCAUUGAGACUACCCCAAACAGGUAUCUUGAAAAUUCUAUUGAAAUCCUCUAAAUCCAUGGUAUACGAUUUGUCAUAGAGAUCAAACAGCACAGAUGUAUCAUGGCCAACUGAAAAUUUGAAUCUACGAACAAAAGAGGCAGUGAGAGCAACAUAAUGUUCACAUAUACCGGAGAUGAAUUCUUCGAGUCCGACGUUGUGAACAAGUGUAUCAAACUCGUCUUUGAAACCUGCCUCAAUCAUGAAUUCAUCAGAAGGCCAUUCACAUGGUUGUACCUGUGCGUUCCUCGGUUGCUAAGGAUCGGGCUCCCGAAUCGCGAGACGGGGACCUCUCUUGCUUGAGGAACCACCAUGAUAGUUUCUCCUGAACAUCUUCCUUUUCUGAAAUUUUCAGUGACCCAAAGGAAAAGUGAACAAGGCUCAACUAAACUCAUAGAAACUACUCCCUCAAGUGCCUAGAGGCCGUAUUACGCAUCAAAACUACUUGGGACCAGCUAAAAUUAGCAUGCAAAGCUCAAGAACAGGGUCACCAAUGCAGCAAAAAUACGCGAAGCAUAAGGCACUAGAGCAAAAACUAAUUGGACCAAUGGAGGAGUCACUUACCAAGGAGCAAUUUCCCCAAAACAGCUUGGUGAAUGGUGCUUUGCACAAGGAGAUCGAAAAUCACAGCAAGAAGAGCAAGAACACGGGUUUGAGGUGCAAAACGAUUUUUUCUGGAGGUAGGAGAAGCAGAUGGGAGCUAGAAUGAGUGGAGGGGGUGCACGUGGGCCCCACAAGCCUGGUAGGCGCGGCCAGGGGGGUGCCCGCGCCUCCAGGGCUUGUGGCCCACUGGUGCAGCCCCCUGACUAGCUCUUCGUCUCGGUAUUUUUGAAAAAUUACAGAAAAAAUCAUACUUGAUUUUCACGGCAUUCGGAGAACUUUUAUUUUCGGGGUACUUUUCUACGGGACGCUAAAACAGUAAACAGGGAAAACUAAACUAAAUCUAUCAUUUUUCUUCUAAGCUAUCGAAGAUGAAAGCUUGGAACACAGGUUUGUGAAUCUUCGACUCAUCCAUCCCAUGCUCAUCGAAAGGAAUUCCGUCAAUGAGGUUGAUCAAGUCUCCUUGACAAACUUUUUCGAAUCGCAAAAGAAGACGGAGAAUUUUCGAAUAGCCACUAAGUUACCUCAAUGGGGAUGUGAAUAUCCCCAACAAGCAAAUCAUACUUCAUCUUAACAAGAGGUAUAGGGCAUUCAAAGCUCCCAAUAAGAAUCGAUGAAGUUUUUUCAAUAGCAUUGAUGCAAUGUACUCGAUAUUGUUUCUUCGGAAAGUGCACCGUAUGCUCAUUACCGUUGACAUGGAAAGUGACAUUGCCUUUGUUGCAAUCUAUAACAGCCCCUGCAGUGUUUAAAAAGGGUCUUCCGAGGAUGACCGCCAUGGCAUCGUCCUCGGGAAUAUCCAGAAUAACAAAGUUUGUUAAGAUAGUGACGUUGGCAACCACAACAGGCACAUCCUCGCAAAUGCUGAUAGGGAAAGCAGUUGAUUUGUCGGCCAUUUGCAGAGAGAUUUCAGUGAGUGUCAACUUAUCCAGUUCAAGUCUACGAUAAAGAGAGAGAGACAUAACACUAACACCGGCUGCAAGGUCGCAUAAAGCAGUUCUAACGUAGUUUCCUUUAAUGGAGCAAGGUAUAGUGGGUACUCCGGGAUCACCUAGUUUCUUAGGAGUUCCACCCUUGAAGGUGUAAUUAGCAAGCAUGGUGAAAAUCUCAACCUCAGGUAUCCUCCUCUUAUUAGUCACAAUAUCUUUCAUGUACUUAGCAUACAAAGACAUUUUGAGCAUAUCUGUCAAACGCAGACAGGUCUAAUCAUUUCAACAAAUCUCUCAAAAUCCUCAUCAUCCUUUUUCUUGGAUGGUUUGGGAGGAAAGGGCAUGGGUUUCUGAACCCAUGGUUCCCUUUCUUUACCAUGAUUCCUAGCAGCGAAGUCAUUCUCAUCGUAUCUUCUAUUCUUAGCCUGUGGGUUAUCAAGAUCAACAUGUUCAAUCUCCACAUCCUUAUCAUUGCUAGGUUGAGCAUCAUCAUGAACAUCACUAUUGAUAUUAUCAUUAGGCUCAUGUUCAUCACCAGAUUGUGUUUCGGCAUCAGAGACAUAGACAUCGUUUGGACUCUCAGGUGUAACAGCAACAGGGUUGCUAGCGUGCAAGUUCCUAUCAUCUUUCUUCUUCUUUCUAGGAUGACUAGGUGCAUGAGUGCUAACUCCUUGAGAAUCUUGUUCAAUUCUCUUAGGAUGACCCUCAGAAUACAAAGGUUCCUGGGUCAUUCUACCGCCUCUAGUGACGACUCUGACAGAAUUGUCAUUCAACUCAUUGAGCAAGUCAUUUUGAGCCUUAAGUACUUGUUCUACUUGAGUAGUAACCAUAGAGGCAUGUUUACUCAGGAGCUUAAGAUCAUUGACAUUUAUGUCCACACAAGCACUUAAAUGACUAAGCAUACGAGCAUUCUGUUCCAAUUGUCUGCUAACAUAAUCAUUGAAACUCUGUUGUUUGGCAACAAAGUUAUCGAAUUCAUCCAGGCAUAAGCUAGCAGGUUUAUCAAAAGGAAUAUCACUCUCAUUGAAUCUAAGCAGAGAAUUUACUUCUACUACCUGUAUCGGGUUAUCAAGACCAUAGAUCUCUUCUAUAGGUGGUAGAUUUUUGACAUCUUCAGAUUUAAUGCCUUUCUCUUUCAUAGAUUUCUUAGCUUCUUGCAUAUCUUCGGGACUGAGGAAUAGAAUACCUCUUUUCUUCGGAGUUGGCUUAGGAGGUGCUUCGGGAAUAGUCCAAGCAUUCUCAUUGCACAAGAUAUCAUUCAAUAGGAUCUCAGCUUGUUCUACAGUUCGUUCCCUAAAAACACAACCAACACAACUAUCUAGGUGGUCUUUAUAAGCAUCGGUAAGUCCAUUAUAGAAGAUAUCAAGUAUUUCAUUCUUCUCAAGAGGGUGAUCAGUCAAAGCAUUCGGUAGCUGGACGAGCCUCCCCCAAGCUUGUGGGAGACUCUCUUCUUCAACUUGCUCAAAGUUGUAUAUUUCCUGCAAGGCAGCUUGCUUCUUAUGGGCAGGGAAAUAUUUUUCAGAGAUGUAGUAGAUCAUAUCCUGGGGGCUACGCACACAACCAGGGGCAAGAGAAGUGAACCAAGUCUUAGCAUCAUCCUUUAGCGAGAAAGGAAACAUCUUGAGGAUAUAGUACUGGCGGAUCUUUUCCUUACUCGUGAAUAGGGUGGCUAUAUCGUGCAGUUUGGUAAGAUAUGCUACAACCAUUUCAGACUCGUAACCGUGAAAAGGAUAAGAUUCGAUCGGAGUGAUUAACUCAGAGUCGAUAGAGAAUUCAUAAUUCUUAUCGGUCACAAAGAUAUGCGAAGUAGCAAACUUCGGGUCGUAUUUCAUCCUAGCGUUCAGAGAUUUUUCUUUCCACUUGCGCAUUAAAUUCUCAACAUCAUAGCUAUCCUUACAAGCAAGAAAAUCCACAACUAUCUCUCCCUCCAUAACAUAACACUCACGCAUAUCAGGCAAUUCAUAUCUAGGAGAGCUAGUUCUAGUAGGCAAAAUAACAGGUUCUGCUUCAAUAGUAUCAUCAGUUUUAGAAGUAUCAUCACAUAUAGCAGCAACUCUAGCAAUUUGUGCAUCAAGGAAUGCACCUAGUGGCAAAGCAGUAUCAAGCAUAGCAUCAUCAUAAGCAUCAUGGGCAGCAGAAGUAGCAUCAUCAAGCACAUGCGACAUAUCAAGAUUUCUAGCAGGAGGUGGUGUCGCAAACUUACUCAUAACUGAAGGUGAAUCAAGUGCAGAGCUAGAUGGCAGUUCCUUACAUGUCCUUGUAGUUGAGGGCAAGACUUUAAUUCUUGGAUCUUUCAGAUUCCUCAUAGUGAUCAGCAGACGUAAAUCCCAAGUGACUCAUAGAAUAUAGCUGUGCUUUCCCGGCAACGGCGGCAGAAAAUAGUCUUGAUAACCCACAAGUAUAGGGGAUCGCAACAGUUUUCAAGGGUAGGGUAUUCAACCCAAAUUUAUUGAUUCGACACAAGGGGAAGCCAAAGAAUAUUCUCAAGUAUUAGCAGUUGAGUUGUCAAUUCAACCACACCUGAAAUAUUUAGUAUCUGCAGCAAAGUAUCAGUAGAAAAGUAGUGUGAUAGAAACAGUAGCAACAGUAACCAGUAGCAGCAAAGUAACAGUAGUAGCAACAGAGUAACAGUAGCAGCAAAGUAAUGUAGCAAGGACCAGUAGGAAAAACUCGUAGGCAUUGGAUCGGUGAUGGAUGAUUAUGUCGGAUGCUAUUCAUCAUGCAAUAGUUAUAACACGGAGAGAUAUGUAACUAGCUCCAGUUCGUCAAUGUAAUGUAGGCAUGUAUUCCGUAUGUAGUCAUACGUGCUUAGGGAAAAGAACUUGCAUGACAUCUAUUGUCCAUCCCUCCCGUGGCAGCGGGGUCCUAAUGGAAACUACGAGAUAUUAAGGUUCUCCUUUUAAUAAAGAACCGGACGAACGCAUUAACACCUAGUGAAUACAUGAAAUCCUCAUAAUAUGGUCAUCUCCGGGAGUGGUUCCGGCUAUUGUCACUCCGGGGUUGCCGGGUCAAAACACAUAGUAGGUGACUACAACUUGCAAGAUAGGAUCAAUAACACACAUAUAUUGACGAGAACAUAUUAGGUUCAGAUCUGAAAUCAUGGCACUCACGCCCUAGUGACAAGCAUUAAGCAAGGCAAAGUAGUAGCAACAUCAAUCUCAGAACAUAGUGGAUACCAGGGAUCAAUCCCCGUCAAAACUAACUCGAUUACAUGAUAGAUCUCAUCCAACCCACCACCGUCCAGCAAGCCUACGAUGAGAUUACUCAUGAACGGUGAAGAGCAUCAUGAAAUUGGCGAUGAAGGAAGGUUGAUGAUGACGAUGGCGACGAUUUCCCCUCUCCGGAGACCAGAACGGACUCCAGAUCAGCCCUCCAGAGGAAGAACAGGAGGUGGCGGCGCCUCCGUAUCGUAAAACACGAUGAACUCUUCUCCUUGAUUUUUUUUCCGGACGAAAGAGGCUAAAUAGAGAUGAGAUUGGAGGCGGUGGAGCUUUGUGGGUCGCACAAGCCUGUCAGGUGCGGCCAGGUGGGGCCCGCGCCUGGUGGCCUGGUGGGCUCCACGCUCCACUUCCUCCGUUGAUUCUUGCGCCGGUAUUUUUUAUAUAUUCCACAAAAAUUCUCCGUAAAUUUUCAGGUCAUUCCGAGAACUUUUAUUUCUGCGCAAAAACAACACCAUGGCAAUUCUGCUGAAAACAGCGUUAGUCCGGGUUAGUUCCAUNNNNNNNNNNNNNNNNNNNNNNNNNNNNNNNNNNNNNNNNNNNNNNNNNNNNNNNNNNNNNNNNNNNNNNNNNNNNNNNNNNNNNNNNNNNNNNNNNNNNNNNNNNNNNNNNNNNNNNNNNNNNNNNNNNNNNNNNNNNNNNNNNNNNNNNNNNNNNNNNNNNNNNNNNNNNNNNNNNNNNNNNNNNNNNNNNNNNNNNNNNNNNNNNNNNNNNNNNNNNNNNNNNNNNNNNNNNNNNNNNNNNNNNNNNNNNNNNNNNNNNNNNNNNNNNNNNNNNNNNNNNNNNNNNNNNNNNNNNNNNNNNNNNNNNNNNNNNNNNNNNNNNNNNNNNNNNNNNNNNNNNNNNNNNNNNNNNNNNNNNNNNNNNAAAGAGUUUGGAAAAGUAAAUACGACGGAGACGUAUGAGUCCCCAAAACCGCUCCGUUGCCAUCCCCCUCGCCGGCUGCGCGUCCGCCUUGCGGUGAGCGCGCCGCCGUCGAGCGGUUUGGUGAUGGAGCUUUUUCCCCUUGUGGGGUUGUGCUUUUUCUGCUAUUUUUUUGUUUGUUUUUCGGAUUCAAUCCGAUUUGCUCUUUCCCCUCGGAGAGAUGAUACCUUCUUCCGACGCCUCGGCUUGCCGAUGUGCAUCGAGAUCGAGAGGGUCGGCGCGGCCUUGCGGCUAUGCUCUUUGCCGGCGAGGCCCGAGGCCCUCUCCGGUUUACUUUGCCCUUCUAGGGUUCUUUUUGGAUCGGGGAAUCGCUUUCUUUUGCUGUUGCUACCGAAAAACCUAAACCGAAACUAGUCUGAUACCAUUGAUAGACUAUGUGGAUCGGAUCGGCUAGGAUUCCAGCAGUAGAUAGGAUAGGUUUUACCUUGCCCUGCACUUGAGGAGCUCCCGUCGGCGUCGAUCGGUUAGAUGGUGACGGCGACGGCGACAGAGAGAUCUGAUGGCGGUAGUGCUUCUCGUUAGCACCGCGCUAACCUUAGAUCGGUAGGGCAUAUAGGUGGAGAAAGUGACGGCGACGAACCUCGUGUCCCGUGCACCGCCCCCCCCCCNNNNNNNNNNNNNNNNNNNNNNNNNNNNNNNNNNNNNNNNNNNNNNNNNNNNNNNNNNNNNNNNNNNNNNNNNNNNNNNNNNNNNNNNNNNNNNNNNNNNNNNNNNNNNNNNNNNNNNNNNNNNNNNNNNNNNNNNNNNNNNNNNNNNNNNNNNNNNNNNNNNNNNNNNNNNNNNNNNNNNNNNNNNNNNNNNNNNNNNNNNNNNNNNNNNNNNNNNNNNNNNNNNNNNNNNNNNNNNNNNNNNNNNNNNNNNNNNNNNNNNNNNNNNNNNNNNNNNNNNNNNNNNNNNNNNNNNNNNNNNNNNNNNNNNNNNNNNNNNNNNNNNNNNNNNNNNNNNNNNNNNNNNNNNNNNNNNNNNNNNNNNNNNNNNNNNNNNNNNNNNNNNNNNNNNNNNNNNNNNNNNNNNNNNNNNNNNCCGUUGGGCCCACGCGGAAGAGAUCAACCUAACAUGGUACUCGGUAAAGGAGACAUUUGUUCUCUCCCUAGUCAAAGUCUUCUUACUGGUCCAACCAAACGGGCAUUUUAGGCGCUCCGGAGUCUAGCUCUCGGCCAAAGCUCUCACAAGUGUUUUUAAUAAUCUAAUUUUAGAAAGGCUCUUCAAUUGAAAACACACAUAUAUUGUUUUACAACCAUAGAAAGCCAUCACCAUUUAUACAUCCCUAACGCACAGUCAUGUGAGAUUAUAUUCCAUUGCAAUAGGGUUUUCUCACUUAAAAAAUGAAGCUUGGGCGAACAAAUAAAGAGACAGCUAGUUUGCCUACUUGUUUCGUUGACUAGAUGGUGUUUUUAGCACCCAGGUCUCCAGUAUAUGUAAAGAGGGAAAAUUAUCAACAAUAAGGUACGUAGCCAUUGUUUUCAUCUUCCACGUACGGUAGUGUACAUUACCAUGUGCCUUUGCACAAGCUCAAAUCGUACAGUCUCAUGUAUAAAAAAUUACCAUGCACUCUGAAAGUAAGAAAAGAUAAGGCAGCCGUUGAUUUAUUUUUGGAAAAAUCUAAGGACAAGCGCCGCAUCAUAGCUUUUUCAUGCAGCGGUUUACACAAUCUCAUGCGCAUGCAAGAAUCUUCUACCUCAUGAUUACGUCAUUGCAUUAACUUUUUUUUAGAUUUUAAAAAUAAUUUAUCUCACAGAUUAAUAAUUUGAUUGGAGAUUCGUCAUCACCGUUAGAUUCGUCUCGACGAGACCUUUAAAAUAAGAUCCCAUGUUGACAUGUUUCGUUGAUUUUUUUUCGUCGUUCCUAGUUGUCACAUUUAUGUACUAGUAGAAAAAGGACCUAUUGUCCCGGUUCGUGAGGGCCAUUUGUCCCGGUUUUUGAACCGGGACUAAGGUGUCGGUACAAAUGCCCUAAACCUUUAGUCCCGGUUCUUGCAUAAACCGGGACAGAUGGGCCUCCACGUGGCCGGUGCGGCGAGCCCAGGUAGGAGGCCCUUUGGUCCCGGUUGGUGGCACCAACCGGGACCAAUAGGCAUCCACGCGUCAGCAUCUCAGGUGCUGGGGUUUUUGUUUUUCUUGAAAGGUGGGGGGGGGAGGGUUUGGGGGUUUUGGGGGGUUAAUUUAGGUGUUUCAUAUAUUGUGUUAGCAUGCUAAUUAAUAGAGAGAAGUGUCCUUUCUUAUCUCCGUGCUUGGUCGACGCUACAUACUAUACGUAUAGAGAGGACUAGACACGCUAGCUAGUUAAGCAAAUGAAGGAAACAGAAGAUCGUCAUGAACAGAUGCAUACAAAGAGAAGUGAUAUCGACCACCUCUCCUUCUCUGAGAGAUUGGUCGAACAACAAGUUCUCGUAUAUCUAUCCGACGCUACUGGCUACAUAUAUACAAUAUAAGUAUCUUUUACAAUAUAAUCUCGUAAUUAAAAUUGAACGCAUCAGGGUCCACAUAGUAUUCUCCGUCUUUAGCGAUCACGUGGUCAAGAAAGAAUGCCGCCAAUUCCCCUUGAAUUCCUCGCAUACGAUCUGGUGCUAGGAGUUCAUCUCGCAUCCGAAAUAUCUAAUUUGAAGAAGGGGGUCAAUACAUAUAUAUGAAUAAAUGAAACUGGACACAAAUGAUGGUAGUAAAAUAAAAUUGUGAAUAUAAUUAUUUACGCACUUCAUAUUGUUUCUCGGAGUAGCCCCGCUCACAGGUCGUGUGGCGGAUGGACUCGCAAAUGUAGUAUCCACAGUAAUUAGUCCCUUCUUCCUGCCACAACCAUUUUACAAGAAAUAGAGGUCAAUCAAACUGAUAAUUAGCAAGCAUGCUAAAUGCUAUUGAUGAAACUAGCUCUUGAAUCACUAGGAGAUGCGUGUAACAUAUAUGCUACUAUAGUACUUACUUUCGGGUGUCCAAACUGCAGCUUCUUUGGCAGUCCCGGAGUUUUUGAGGUGAAUUUACUCCAAACCCUGCCAGACAAAGAAAACAAUUACUUGAUAUCAGGAAAUGAACAAAUUGAAGUUGCCGAUAUGGUGCGAUAAUGAUAGAUUUAACUUACUUCUCUAGAAUUUCAGUCAUGUCCGCGUACUUCUUGGGAUCUUUUCGUCUCGAGUCUAAGACGGUUACUAGUCCCUGCUCAAGCGUAAUCUCUAGGAGAAUAUAGUGGAACCUGCGCACGCAUGCAUAACUCAUCAAUUACAUUACUAUAACCUCGACUAAUAAGGGAAACCGAAUAUGCACAAGACAAUAACACUCACUUGAAGUUGUAAGGGAAGAGUAUUAUAGCUUUGUAUUGAUUUAAUAUAAACGAUUGUAGCAGUUUGGCCUCGGUAUCUUUGGCCUGAAAUUUAACCAUAUAUGCAUCUAUGAGAUUUGUGUUAAUGAACCCAAUAUCACCGAUUUGUCUUUUCUUCAAUUCAGCGAUCUUCAAUCUGCAUAAUAUAGUGAGAAUAAUUAAAGAUACACGCAAUGAAAGAGCUGACCUAUAUAUAGAGACUUAAUGACAGAAGUAGUACUACUUACAGGCAGUAGCAAGUGAUCAUUAACUUAUCGAGAGCCCUUAGAUUGAAAAACUCGAAGAACUCCUCAAAUGAAACAUUCAACAGAUCAAUUCCAACGAGGUCAUGCUCCUCUUUAACUCUGAGCGUCAAAAUAUUCCUCCCCUCAGACUCUCUGCAGGUUUUCAUAUACCAAUCAUGGAAUCUUCGCAUCAUCGUUGUUAGAGAUUUUUCAUCUUUGACGAGAGGCUUCCCGUACACGUAUCUGUGUUCGUCCACCUCCAAGAAAUCAAAAUGUGCAUCGUCGGGCAGGUAAUCUCCAAGAUCAUUAUAACCGGGCACCAUCCCGCCAGGAUGAUUCGCGACGAUGCUAGACACCUGGAGCGGGGGCAACGAUUGGUUCACUUGUUCGCCGAGCUGGGCCACUUUUUUCCCAGCUCGUCGUUCUGCUAACCUUUGAGCACUCGUAGUACUUCCCGACCGCUCCGCUUCGAUAAAUGACUUUGUAAGAAUGCGCUCAUAGUUGUCUUUCACCGGAGACUUUGGUGGUUUCGUCAGGGCAGCCAGAGUACGCUUCGCUUUUACCGGAUCUAUCUUCUCCUCCGGAGGUGGAUUUUUCUUUGCUUUGACCCCUUCAAAGAAGUUGGUCACUUUGGCUUGCACGAUCUUCGCGUUUUCCUCCUGGCUCCUCUCGUAUGGUAACUUCUCUGGAGUCUUCAGAGAAGGACCGUAUCUGUAUUGCCUGCCUCUGGCUGUACUACUAGACGCCGGAGCAGACGGAGCGGUUGCGGCUGUCUUUCCUUUCUUACGAGGCGGAGGAGAAGGACGACGCGUCGGAGGAGCCGGAGCGGCGGCGGGUCUCUUCCGCCCUUGUUGACGAGGCGGAGAAGGAGGAGGCAGCUGGCUGCUUGGGCGCACCGGCGCAGGCUGAGAAGGAGGCGGAGUGCCGCAACGCGCCGGGGAAGGAGGCCGAGUGCCCUGAUCACUCGCCGGAGGAGGCGGAGGAGGAGGCAGAGUGCCCUGACUCGCCGGAGGAGGAGGCGGAGGCGUCCAGUUCGGAAGGUUGAUGAGCUCCUUCCGCCAUAGGCAUGGAGUCUUCAGAGAAAAACCUAGCCGAAUCUCCCCUUCACCCGUAGGGUGGUCAAGCUCAAGGUCCUCAAAUCCGUCCGUUAUUUGAUCCACCAUCACCCUAGCAUAUCCUUCUGGAAUCGGCUGGCCGUGGUAGGUUGAGCCAGGUUCAUUAGGUAUAACAGAGCCAACACCCGCCUUGACUUUCAAUGUCAUCCAUCACGUCAUAAGGUGGCAAUGUUGAGACUCUGUGAUAGCAUCCACGGGGUAGCCUGUGAAGACAGGCUCCAGCUGCUGAGUCUGCUCGGUGGAAGCCACGCUGCUUCUCCGCUGAGAUGGCGGGGUAGCUUUAGGGGAAGCUUCGACAGGUCGUUUGCUGCGAUCUGCUUCUCGUUCCUCUAGCCCUUGUACCCUUUCAUGCAGCGUCUGCAGUUGGCUAUGCUCCACUUUCUUCCUCCUCUCCUGGGUUUUCUAACCCCCUGCGUCCAGAAACCCAGCGUUCCACGGAAGGGAGCCUGGCGUGCCUCAUGUCCGUCCAGGGUGCUUAGGAUUCCCGAGGGCCAUUGUGAGCUCGUCCUUCUCUCUGUCUGGAAUGAACGUCCCUUCCCGUGCUGCGGUGAUAUAGUGUCGAAGCUUCCUGACGGGUAUUCCCAGUUGCUCUUCUAUCCAAACGCACUUCCCUGAUACAGGGUCCAAGGUUCCGCCAACCCCGAAGAACCAAGUCCGGCAACGGUCUGACCAUCUCAAUGUCUCUGGUUCGACCCCUUUAGCAAUCAGGUCAUUCUCAGCCUUGUCCCACAAAGGUCGGGCUUUGAGGUAACCACCUGACCCCGUGCAAUGGUGAUGCUUCUUCUUCGCAGCAUUUUUCUUGUUUGUCGCUGACAUCUUCUUACUCUUUUCCGAUGUCUAGUGGGCCACAAAUGCGGGCCAUUGAUCUCUGAUCUUCUCAAACCGGUCGGUGAAUUCUGAUGUCUCUUCUUUGUCGACAAACGUUUUCAGCUCAUUCUUCCACCUCCUGAAUAGUUCUGCCAUCUUCUUAAGAGCAUGAGACUUGAUCAAUUCCUCUUUAACUGGCUUCUAUGGAUCCUCCUCUGGCGGUAGGGUGAAAUUUGCCUUAAGCGUUGUCCAAAGAUCUUCUUUCUGCAUAUCGGAGACAUAAGACGUCGACACCUCAGGGUCUUCCUUCUUUGGCUUUAACCAUUGCUGGAUACUGAUCGGGAUCUUGUCCCUAACAAGAACCCCGCACUGAGCACGAAAUGCAUCCCUUGUCCGGAUGGAUUCAAUCAGCUUGCCAUCGCGCGCGAUUGGUGUGAUCUCAAACCUUUCAUCCGAGCGCAACUUUUUCUUCGGGCCUCGUUUCUUUACCGAAGUUGAGUUCGAUCCGGAGAGCUAGAGAAAAUAGAAGAAAGACGAGAGUUAAUUAAUAUGUGUACAUAUGAAAACAAUGAAUGCAUCAAUUAACUAGUCAGCACGGGCUUAACUAAUAUAUAUAUAUACCUGGCCAGACUCGGUUCGGUCACCGGAGCCGUCAUCACGGUCUCCUUCUUGUACCUCCAUUGGGUCACCGGAGCCAUCAUGAACAUAGCCCUCUUCUUGUACCGACAUUAAUGGGUCACCGGAGCCAUCAUGAACAUAGCCCUCUUCUUCACCCGGUCCUUCCUGACCAUCGGUGUCGUAGAGAAACAACGCAACGACAUCACUUCCUUGUGCGAUUAUCUCCCCCAACAUCGCUUCUGUUGCUUCGUCUCGGGAGUGAUCCAUAGUUUCUGCAAAUAUUUACAACAUGUCAAUUAUUAUUCAAACAUGGUACAGAUGGAUAUAUAUUACUGGCAAACGUAGAACUAGCUAGCUAAUCACAAUAAGGAAUCAUGUUAGUGGCCUCGAUGCUGCUUCUCUAGGGUUUGGGGUGGCCUAGACAACGCUUCAAGGGUUUGGGGUGGCCUCGACGACAACGCUCUUUUAACUUGGUAAAUUUGGGUGGCCUCGAGAGAGUUUGUUGGGUAGGGGCGCGGCGGGAGGGGGUAGGAGACCAAAAUCGUUUUUCUCUAGGGUUUGGGUGUCCUCGAGAGUUUUGGUCGAGCGAGAGGGCCGAGGGGUGCUCCCGUGGUAUAAGUUAUCACGGUCGAGAGUGGGUAUAUAUAUCGACCGCCCCUCAUGUCGAAGUUAUCCAGGAGGGGGUUAUAUCAACAACGACGUGACAUACAUAUACAUGGGAAAAUAAUGUUAUCAGGGAGGGGGUAUAUCGGUAUCCCCCCUCGUGUUGAAGUUCGAUCGGGAGGGGGUAUAUCGACAACGACAUACCCGAUAAAAAAUAAGAAGACAAAAGAAGAAAUAAAAAGAGGAUAAGAAGAAAGGAAUAGAAGAGAAGAAAUCGAAGAAAAAAAAGAAAAAAAGGAGAAGAAGAAAGGAAUAGAGGAGAAAGAAGAAAAAAAUAGUUUCUAUUUUUUUCUUCUUUCUCCUCUAUUCCUUUCUUCUUCUAUUUUUUUUCUUCUUUCUCCUCUAUUCCUUUCUUCUUCUCCUCUUCUUUUUCUUCUUUUUUCCUCUUCUUAUUUAUUUCUCCUCUUCUUCCUCUCCUCUUCUUCUCCUUUCUUCCUCUUCUUAUUUUCCUUUUUCUCCUCUCAUUCUUUUUCUUCUUCUUCCUUUCCUAGCUAGAUAUUUAAUUUUUUUCUAAAAAUUAAAGUAACCUAAAAUGUACUAAAUCUAACUUUUGUAUAUAUGAACAUAUAUACACAAAGAACAUACAAACAUAUAUACAUUUUUAUAAAAAAGCAAAAACAUCAUAUUCUAUAAAAAAUCAUAUACAUAUAAUCUGAAAAAACAUCAUAUUCUAUAAAAAAUCAUCAUAUAUAUGAACAAAAACAAUUAUCACAUAUAUUAAAAAAAACAGGGAGGGGCGCCGCCGGACCAAGGUGAGGAGGGGCAGGGCCGCGGGGUCGGGGUAGGGCGGUGAGCGUCGACGGCGACGCGUCAAGGCAGGGCCGGGGCGGCGCGCGUCGGGGCAGGGCGGCGAGCGGCGACGGCGUCGAGCGAGGGCGCGGGCGACGGCGUCGGGGCAGGGCGGCGAGCGGCGACGGUGUUGGGUGAGGGCGCGGGCGACGGCGUCGGGGCAGGGCUCGGCGACGACGGCGACGAGGAGCAGCGUGGGGGCGCCGGGGCGGAGAAGAAGUGAUUUUUGCAGAAACUGCUAAGUGUUUCUUAUAUACCCAAGGCAUUGGUACCGGUUCGUGGCACCAACCGGUACCAAUGCCCCCCUUUAGUCCCGGUUGGUGCCACCAACCGGUACCAAAGGUCACUUUUCAGCAACCCAAAGGGCGGGAAGCGGCGGCCUUUGGUCCCGGUUGGUGGCACCAACCGGGACCAAAGGUCACUUUUCAGCAGCCCAAAGGGCGGGAAGCGGCGGCCUUUGGUCCCGGUUGGUGCCACGAACUGGUACCAAUGCAUCCCCUUUAGUCCCGGUUGGUGCCACCAACCGGGACCAAAGGCCCGUGUGCUGCCCGCGUCGCGGCCAAAGUUUAGUCUCACCUCGCUAGUUGAGAGGGCGCGCGCAGUGGUUUAUAAGCCCCACUGCCGCACCCCUCUCGAGCUCCUCCCCACUGUAGGCUUACGGGCCUACUUGCUACUGCUUUGCCUGAUGGGCCUUCUGGGCCUACUGCGGGCCUGAAUCCUGGCCCAUGGAUGGGUUUCUAGUCGUAUUCAGGCCAUGGUGGCCUAGUUGGUGUCAAUUUUUUUAUUUUUUCCCAGUUUUUUUUGUUUUCUUUUUUGCUUUAUUUAUUUUGUUUUGUUUCUACUUACAAAAAAAAUACUUAUUUAUUUUAUUUUAUUUCGUUUAUAAUUACUUAUUAAUUUUAUUUUAUGAUAAUUCUUUUUGCUAUUAAAGUUUCUAAGAAAAAAAGUUAUUUAUGAAAAUUCUUUUUUGCUUUUAAUGAUUUUGAACAGAAAAUACUUUGAUAAUUUUAGUUGCAUGAAUUUUAUAUAAUUUUAGUUUCAAUAAUACUAGAAGUUGCUUAUAAAGUUUUGAACAGAAAAUACUUUGAUAAUUUUAGUUUCAAAAUUUUUAUUUAUGUUAUUAAAGUUUUUUUGUUUCUACUUAUCUAUUUUAUUAAAGUUUAUAUUAUUUUGUUCAAAUUACUUAUUUAUUUUAUUUUAUUUUGUUUCUGACUUCAUUUGUUAUUUUUCAUGCAUUUACUCAUUAUUUUGAGCUAUAAGACCAUGAAAUNNNNNNNNNNNNNNNNNNNNNNNNNNNNNNNNNNNNNNNNNNNNNNNNNNNNNNNNNNNNNNNNNNNNNNNNNNNNNNNNNNNNNNNNNNNNNNNNNNNNNNNNNNNNNNNNNNNNNNNNNNNNNNNNNNNNNNNNNNNNNNNNNNNNNNNNNNNNNNNNNNNNNNNNNNNNNNNNNNNNNNNNNNNNNNNNNNNNNNNNNNNNNNNNNNNNNNNNNNNNNNNNNNNNNNNNNNNNNNNNNNNNNNNNNNNNNNNNNNNNNNNNNNNNNNNNNNNNNNNNNNNNNNNNNNNNNNNNNNNNNNNNNNNNNNNNNNNNNNNNNNNNNNNNNNNNNNNNNNNNNNNNNNNNNNNNNNNNNAGACCAUGAAAUUGAAAAUCAUUUGAAAUGAACUUUGAAAAGGUUCCAAGUUGGCAUGGUAUCAUCAUUUCAUCCACAUAGCAUGUGCAAAAAAGUAGAGAGGCUUACGACAAAAACUGGAUGCACUACGUGUACAAAACAGACAAUCUCCUUCGAAGUAUCACGGUUUCACACGGAAACUCGUCUGUUACAAAGAGAUUUCAUUUUUGUUGAACUUAUUUGAACCCCCUUGUUUUUCUGUGUUCAAAAUGCAACAUUCAAAGCUACAUCAUCAAUUUACAACCCUUUCUGACUUCAUUUGUUAUUUUUCAUGCAUUUACUGAUUAUUUUGAGCUAUAAGACCAUGAAAUUGAAAAGCAUUUGAAAUGAACUCUGAAAAGGUUCCAAGUUGGCAUGGUAUCAUCAUUUCACCCACAUAGCAUGUGCAAGAAAGUAGAGAGGCUUACGGCAAACACUGGAUGCACUUCGUGUACAAAACAGACAAUCUCCUUCGAAGUAUCAGGGUUUCAUACGGAAACUCGUCUGUUACAAAGGGAUUUCAAUUUUUUUUGAACUUCUUUGAACCCCUUUGUUUUCUGUGUUCAAAAUGCACCAUUCAAAGCCACAUCAUCAAUUUACAACCCUUUCUGACUUCAUUUGUUAUUUUUCAUGCAUUUACUAAUUAUUUUGUGCUAUAAGACCAUGAAAUNNNNNNNNNNNNNNNNNNNNNNNNNNNNNNNNNNNNNNNNNNNNNNNNNNNNNNNNNNNNNNNNNNNNNNNNNNNNNNNNNNNNNNNNNNNNNNNNNNNNNNNNNNNNNNNNNNNNNNNNNNNNNNNNNNNNNNNNNNNNNNNNNNNNNNNNNNNNNNNNNNNNNNNNNNNNNNNNNNNNNNNNNNNNNNNNNNNNNNNNNNNNNNNNNNNNNNNNNNNNNNNNNNNNNNNNNNNNNNNNNNNNNNNNNNNNNNNNNNNNNNNNNNNNNNNNNNNNNNNNNNNNNNNNNNNNNNNNNNNNNNNNNNNNNNNNNNNNNNNNNNNNNNNNNNAGACCAUGAAAUUGAAAAGCAUUUGAAAUGAACUCUGAAAAGGUUCCAAGUUGGCAUGGUAUCAUCAUUUCAUCCACAUAGCAUGCGCAAGAAAGUAGAGAGGCUUACGGCAAAACUGGAUGCACUUCGUGUACAAAACGGACAAUCUCUUUCGGAGCAUCAGGGUUUCAUACGGAAACUCGUCUAUUACAAAGGGAUUUCAAUUUGAACUACCUUGUUUUUCUGUGUUCAAAAUGCACCAUUCAAAGUUGUAAGACCAUGAAGUUGAAAAGCAUUUGAAAUGAACUCUGAAACCAAAGUACAUACAUAGUUCUCCAAAGCAUUAAAACGAAAGUACAUACAUAGUUCUCAUUGAACAACAUAUAGCUAUCCAGAGCAUCUAAUUAAACCAUACAUUGAAAUUAUGUAAAACAUUUCAAUGCAAAAACAAAUGCGAUCAUAACCGCAACCAAGGUAACAACUGAUCCAACUGCAUAAUGAUACCAAGCCUCGGUAUGAAUGGCAUAUUUUCUAAUCUUUUUAAUCUUCAACCGCAUUGCAUCCAUCUUGAUCUUGUGAUCAUCGACGACAUCCGCAACAUGCAACUCCAAUAUCAUCUCCUCCUCCUCAAUUUUUCUUAUUUUUUCCUUCAAGUAAUUGUUUUCUUCUUCAACUAAAUUUAACCUCUCGACAAUAGGGUCGUUUGGAAUUUCCGGUUCAACAACCUCCUAGAUAAAUAAAAUCUAUGUCACAUUGGUCGGCAUAAUUGUCAUAAACAAUAAAUGAACCAAAUAGUUAUGUAAAGAUAAUAUAUACCACAUUUGAAUCAUAGACAGCACGAGGGCCGACGGGGGCGGAUACCAAACCAUCGCACUAUAUAAUAACAAGGAAUAAUAGAAGUAAAAAAAAUUUAGACAAGUAUGUAUCUGAAGUCAGAAUUUUUUUCUUUCAGAAAGAAGAUAAGAACAAGAUGCUCACCACGGUGGUGCCGGCGACGAGAUCGGCGCGGGCGAUCGACGGUGGUGAAGACGGGGCGGGGACGGCGCGUGACGGACCGCUAAAUCUAGACAAAUCUCGUUGAAAAUGGAGCUCGGAGGUCGAGUUUCGAGAGGAGAAAGCUUAACUAGUGUGGCUCGGGCAAUUGAUCGAACACCUCAUGUGCAUAGGAGGUGAACUAGAGCACCCAAAUGCCCUCCCCUCGCUGGCUUGACAAAGACAGAGCACUGUGGAGUGCUCUGCCGCGGCGGUGGGUAUAUGUAGGCAAGUUAUUUGUCCCGGUUCGUGGCAUGAACCGGGACUAAAUCCAACCCUUCUGUCCCGGUUCAAGCCACGAACCGGGACCAAUGGUUGUGGGCCAGCAGCGAGGACCAUUGGUCCCGGUUCGUGGCUCGAACCGGGACAAAUGGUUCCACACGAACCGGGACCAAUGCCCACGAGGCCCCGGCCGGCCCCCUGGGCUCACGAACCGGGUCUAAUACCCCCCAUUGGUCCCGGUUCUUGAAGAACCGAGACUAAUGGGCUGGCGAGGGCCGAACGGUACCCUGUUUUCUACUAGUGAUGUCAUCAUAAUUGUCAUCUUACGGAUGUACAAUUGUCAUAAAAAUUAUACAUAGUUAUCGGGACAAUAAUUUUAUACUUUUAAGUGUUGCAGUGUUAUGUGGAGCUAAAAAUGGUUAUUAAAGUACUAACAAUAAGCAAGUAAAUGCGUGAACCAACACAAGUACAAUGAAUUAAGUUUUUAGUGGGGUAUAUCGGCAUUCAUAAAUCUGAUAAUUAAGUUGAUUUAAUGUGAGAACUAUGUGAUAAAUAAUGUGACAAGUAAGUGAUAAUAAUUUGGCAAUUACCGACGAAAACAAAAGUUAUCGAAACAUGUCGAUAUGGGAUCUAGUUUUGAAGAUCUCGUCGCGAUAAAGUCAGUGGUGAAAACAAAUCAUUAAUUGAGAUAACGGUUUGGAAGAUAAAUCUUUUUUAAAAUAUAAAAUCAAAAAAUACGUAAUUAUGUCAUGUUGCAUGCAUGUAAAAAUGGAUGGAAGGGAGCCGUCCCAUGGGAAUAGUAAUAGGAAAACACUUCCUAUCAUACGUCUGAUAGAAAAAUUUCCUCAGACCGAUCACGUGGCGUCGAUGCUUCUGUAAUCCCACGGCUGAUAUUUUCCUAGCGAUUAUCCCACCCUAGAUUUUCUCUUUCCUCAUCCCAUUAAUUUUGGCUGCCCAACCGGCAAUCCCCUGAGAUUGCUCGCAACUACCGUGACCUCCGUCCCAACUAUUAUCCGCAGAAGCGGCUACGCAUCGCUGGUGCGUCGUCCCGCUCUCCUCCACCCCAACGUUGCCUGCACCGAUCUCGCAACCCCCAUACCGUCCCAGUUCCCCGCUAGAUCUGCCCUUCCGCCCUUCCUUCCUAGUUUCUGAGUCGUUUCAGUUGGGGAACAAAGCAGUCAGCGAGCUCACAAUCCCCUCCCAUCCCGGUCCUCUUCACCAGGAUCGGGUCCUGCGACCCCCAUACCGUCCACCAUGCAGGAGCGCCGUCUCUGUUGGGGAAGGAGACAAUCACUGAAGGACCAUUGCAGGACCAAGACCCGAGCCUCAGCCUAGGUAUUGAGUCCUCUCUUCUGGAUACAUACUGAUUUCUAACCUGUUUUAUGUUGCGAAUAUCUUUUUUAUAUAUCUUUAUGGGUACCCUUUUCUUAUGUCUGAUUUUCGUUAUGUCAUGUGUUGUGUGGAUCCAAAUCAGGACGAAUAUGUGAAUUUUGUAUGAACAUGCCACAAAUAUGCUCCUCCAUAUUGGCAGCAGUACCAUGUUUGCGUAACAUCUUCAAAUAUUCAUGCUUCCAUUUAACACUACUCACCCGUUUCAUAUUUCUUACCAAUUUGUGCUUCUGCAUUAUAAUACAUAAGAUUCUUCGGGCUAUAGUUUCCUUCAUUUGGUCCAUAGAAACCGAUUAAAUUUGCACGUACUAUGGCAGAAAUAGGCAUCAUAAUUUUGUCCGCAACCUUAGUUUCUUUUCAUUUUAAUCGUGUCAUCAUACCAGCUAAGAUGAGACAUGCUUUCCUAGUGUAUUUUGAUGCUUCAUUCCAAUUCGGCUUCCCAAACAUAUUUCAUGUGAUUCUUCAGUUAACAGCUUAAUGUUCAUUGCUUUCACAAUCCCUGAUUCUUUUUGACACAAAAUUGAUAAUAUGAGUGUUAUUCACAUUCAAACAUACAAUGCUUCCGCAUUAUAUUAUGUAUGUUCCUUCCUUGUAUUUAAUUUGCUUCCAUAGUUCCAUCUAAUUCUUUGUUUUUUCAUUCUUCUAAAAUUUUCAGCAUUGUUGGAAUGCAUACAUUACAGUGCCGCCCAAAUGGAUCUCCGCACCGAGCCACUCGACAGGGUCCUCGUUCAUAUUGUGGGUGUACCUCGCACUAUUGGUGUUUUACUCUCUUAUGGUGCUUCCUGUUUCCGUCCACAUGACCAACUCUGGCCUGGGCUUCUCAUGCAAUCCUUGUUGGGAGGUUUCAAAUUUGUGAAUUUGUGAGCCUCCCGUAUGUAUUAGUGGUAGAACAAUACUUGUGAUAUAAUUUCAUUCCUUUUAAUACAUGCUUCCAACAGAACUAAAAUUUGGGUCGACCAAUACCAUUCGUGCUUCAUUACUUGGUGUUAAUAUUUGCAUCAGGCCAUAUUAGUUUACACUUCUUUUAUUUCCCAUAGUUAUUUCAGAUAGGUCGUGUCAUCUUUUCGAAUUGUUGCUAGCAAUGCUUCAAAGUAUAUCAAUUGUGUUUUCAUGGUUUUGAGUAAUUAUUUCAACUACUAUCAGGCCAUGCUUGUCUGCGUACAUACCAUCUCGUGCAUGCUUCCAUUACAAACCCUUUUUUAUUUAUUUUCAUGCUUCCGAACAUACUAAUGUAUAUUUAGGUAUUUGCUGAUCGUUUUCUAUUUUCUAUUUCAAUAUGCUUUCAGUUGAGAUGGGUUAUGUUGAGAUAGUACUGUUUUCAUGCUUCUUACGUGUUAUGGAAUUUCUAAAUUAUACUACAUAUGUUUCUUCAGUGUCCAUAGUUUAGUUUCUUACUUCCUGCUUCUUCUAUAAAAUUUGUUUUCAUUAUUAUCUCCACUGCAAUAUGACAUGCUCCCAUAAGAUAUGACAUCUGUUUUCUUGUUCUACGUAUUUUGCUUUCAUAUAUUAUACUCACACUUUUUUCAUAAUUGUCGCGCACUACACUAUAUGUCCUCAGUUCACUAGAAUGAGGAAACAGGUAGAAGCAGAUUAUGCUGAAGCGAACGAUGCAUCCACUAAGAAGCGCGAUGUCACUUGCGUCUGAUCCCACAAUGAAGACAAGCUCACGCUAAAUGAAGAGAAGCAAGUCUAUAGUCUAUAGGAAACCUAUGAUAUAAACUUAAAAAAAACAUUGUACCAUUGCCAACUUGAAGGAAGCACAUUUGUAGCAUACGAAGAUGGUGUACGAACUAACGAAGCAUGGCAACAAACUUAUGUAUGAUCAGGAGAAAAUUAGUUUUACGAUGAAAGCACUUUUAUAGUGGAUGGAAGAAAUGUUUUCUCGUGUUGCAAACAUAAUAAGAAAGAUUCACGGGGCUCUAAAUUCCCAUGUGGAAUUCUUAUAUGCAAAAUUCUGUUAUAUUAAAGCAAACUUCUUGGACCUUUAUUCUUGUUAGGGGCAGACAAACUUUGAUUGCAUCAGAAGCAAAUUUUUUUGUCACUGAUGCAUUCUUUUGUUCCGUUCGAAACAAAAUAAAAUGUUACACCUAAUGCAUUUUUUAAGCAUUAAAAGCAAGAAAUAAAUCAUUCAAUAAAGUUUUCAAAAUAAUCAAACAUGAACUUUUACCGUCAUACGAGACAUUCUCGUCAAUGGAAGCAUCAGCAAGAACGAACUUUACUACUCGUACAUGCAUGCGUUUCGGUAGCCGUUACUACUGAAAGCCUGUAAUAAGAGCAGUCUCUUACAAACAGACUAGCCUUCCCAUGUAUUGAUCCAACGUCCAUUAUGCUACUAAUCCAAUGGUUAGUGAGUGGUCUGAUUGAUACAAGAAAUCAGUAGUCUGAUUCCUAGCGCAUGCGGGGCUCAUCCCUAGUGAAGUCCUUUAUUUUUCCAUGAAUGGUAGUGUACAUUCCAUGUGGGUUCGUACAAGCUCAAAUAUAUUACAGUCUCAUGUAUAACAAACUGUCUCUAAAAAGAAAAGGUAAGAUAACUCUUGCAUGUAAGUGCAUCAGCUCUAGUUGUAUCUCUCCACUAAGGGCAUCUCCAAUGCAGGCGCUUAAAUAGACACUCAAAUGUCUGCGGACACGUCCAGGGACGCUUAAACAUACACUCUCAGAUAACAUAGGGGGGAAGGUGUCUGGGCGGAGAGGUGAAGGUCCGCAAAGGCCUGGGCAGUGUCUAUGGGUUGCGGCAGUAACUAUGUGCUUCAGGAGUGGAGAUAGAGAGCAAAGGAGGAGGGCCAUAUUUUCAAAAACGUCAGGCUUCGGAUGAGGUUUUUAGUGGGUCCGUGCUAUUCAUAUAGAGAGAAUUCAACGCUAACUAACAAAAAAAUAAAGAAAAUCAUUAAUUAUACAAGAUCGUCAUGCUGAAUAUAUAUAGAGAAAAGUAACAUUUCUUUCUCCGUGCUUAGUCGAACAACAAGUUUUCGUAUAUCUAUCCGACGCUACUACAUAUAUAUACAAUAUAACAUCUUUUACAAUCCCUAACAUCAUCUACCCAAGAUUCAAUCACAAAUCCAUGGUAUUCUCCGUCUUUAGCCGUCCGUUUGUGAUUGUAUGAAUCUUGGCAAGUUUUGUCAUAUUUUCCAUGCCACGUAGGACUGGGCUCGUGUGUGCGCGUUUAUCAGUUCGCCUACACAUCUGUUUCACGCACGUAGAGCUCACGGCUGCCAACCGGACGUGUGAUGGAACUGACAUCGCGUCCACACGCCCGCAUGCCUGUCAGUUGCCAUGCAUGUCUUUCCAGUGUUACAUGGCAACUGAGUGGAACUACCGUUGCGCGCUCACACGCCUGUCAGGUGCCAUGUAUUUUUUCAGUGUUACAUGACAACUGGGUGGAACUGCCGUCGCGCGUCCACAUGCCCGCACGGCUGUCAGUUGCCAUGUAUUUCUAGUGUUACAUGGCAAUGCAGUUGCUGAGACAUGGCGACUGCAGUUGAGCAACCAUGACAACUAUAGUUGUUCAGACAUGGCAACUGUAGUUAAAUAAACAGUUGCCACGGUUCAGCAACCAUGACAACUGUCACACAGGGGCAUGCGGGACCGUGAGGUGACAGACUGUAUGUGUGGGUCACAAGGCAGGAGGCCGGACGUGUAGGCGUUAGCUGUUUUAUCAUGUAAACGUGCGGGUUAUUUUUUUUACACACCAUACGAAACGUGUGGCAAGACUCACUUAAUUAACGUUCACACGUGUGGACAAUAUCAGGACCCUUUAAAUUAUAGGAUGUGGACUAUAAUUUGUGGCUACCAAUGGAAUAUUUUCAUUAUUUGUAGCUAAACCUGGCACUGAUUGGACAAAAGGUGUGUGUACCGUAACUGUUCAAAACAUGUCCUAAAUACGGUGUAGAUAUAUGUUUUGCAGCCAACAUUUAUUUGCAGGAGUUCCGGAGUAAAAGACUUGGCAUGGCAAAUGGGAAGCUCAAAAAUAAUGUAUUACAGAUCCAAAAUCAAAUUUCUCAACUUCAUUUUGGCAUGGGGUAAGUAAUGCCAAUUAUCUUACAGUUGAAAGAUCAACUUUCGGAAAUUCUUCAUGUGGUCGACCUGUAGUGAGAUUGCGAUGGACAAGCUCCCAUCGUUGUGUACGCUUGGGAGAAUGUAGGCGAGCCCCUCAAAUGCGACGCCUCCAGGACCCAUGAACACCGGACGGCCCCAUCCAAAAUCCGCGUUGUGGACUGGCAGGUUAACCCAGCUGGUGAUUCCAAGGUUAGGACAACGGUAGGUAUGCGCUCCUCGGACCAAUGGCGACAAAUCAGGUUGCAGCUCAAGGUAGUCCAACGCUGAGCGGCAGUAGUCAUCAUCCAUCCUAUCUAGCUCCCUUUGGAUUAUCUUUGCUGCAUCUGCCAGCCCACCGACCACCUUGCCAGCCUCCACAAUUGGUGUGGCAGUGAACAAUACAUUGCCUAAAAAACCCUCUGGUAGUGGGGGAUUAAGCCGUUUCCUCCCAUCAAUGGCACAAUACAACUUGGUGGGCUGUUCAGAUGGCAAGCCACGCGCGAGAGAGACACAACGCCAUACAUGUGCAGAUAUCAAUGUGUAUGUGCUGAACCGUGGCAAAUCGUGGCCUUUGGGAAGCUGUGAACGCAAGCGGCCAAUGUCGUUGCUGGUGAGCUUGAAGAUGUCAACAGCACUGGCAGGCGAUGUUCCUUUAGAAGAGAGAUCCUGGGGUAUGGAUGACACCAUGGCCGGGGAUGGAUGGUACUCAACAUGUGGGUAGCAUGGACUCGGGGGUUUUCGAGGCCGGAUGAGGGUGCGGUCAAUGAAGGGCAUGACUGCAAUUUUAGCUCUACGGCAGAGAUCAGACCAUGAGUUAAUGAAAUGCAAGCCGGACAUGCCAUCAGCGACAUGGUGUUGUAUGGCAACACCAAGGGAGACACCUCCACACUUGAAGUAGGUAACCUGGUGUAUAGUAAAAUGCAAGUAUGAAGACACAGGCCGCAUUAGUUAUGGACAGGGUUAAUUACGGGUUUAGCCUAAGUUAUCUUACUUAUCUUAGAGUCCAAGUUAUAUUAGAGUCCAAGUUAUCUAGGGUUUAGUGGAGGCUGUCCUCCUAUAUAAACACAUGUACCCCUUCAAUAUUAAGCAGACAAUAAACAAUAUAUUCUGUUGUUGUCUCCCUCAGGAGACGAGAGCCCCAAACCCUAGCCGCCUCUCUCUCUCUCUCUCUCUCUCUCUCUCUCACGCCGCAACGACGCCCAACCGCCGGCGCCGGCGUCCCCAACCUCGCAGCCCGCACUUUCACCCCUACAACCUACGUCCGAGACCUGGUAGAACCCUAGCCUCUACCAAUUUGGUAUCAGGUAGCUUGGGUUCGAUGAGUUUGUCGGACCUUCCCACCACCACCGCCGCCGCCACCACCGCCUUCCCCGCCACCUUGCAGCAGCCGCCAUCGCCGCACCACUCGCCGCUGCCAGCCACCUCAGGUCCGGCCGCCUCCGGUCCCGCGGCCCUGGCGGCCGAACCCGCCCCCGUCCUCUCCCCGGCGGAUAUGUCCUCGACGAUCCGCGACCUCAACCUGGCGGUCUCGAACCUCCGGACUUUCCUCCAGGCUCCGUACGCAACCCCGCGACCACCGCCUCCGCAGGCGGCGCCCUUCGCGCCACCGCCCCCGGCCACUCUCGCGCCCCAGGGCCUGCCGAUCACCCAGGUCCGGUGGCCGCCGUCGCCGUCCCCGCUACCGACGUGGAUUGACACGCCGACCUACACGACGGCGCCACUACAGCCGACGGUGUUGCAGCCACCCGCCCCCACCUUCGGGGGGUUCGGCGGGUACACUGAUCCGUAAGCCGGGAGCUCCGUGGUGCCCCAACACUCUCCUUCCGCCGCACUGGGUCGUCACGAGGGCACCUACGCGGCCUCGCCACACGUGCAGCAGCCACCCCGCUUCACCAAGCUGGAGUUCGCCACCGACGACGGCACCGUCGACCCCCUGAACUGGCUCAAUCAGUGCGACCAGUUUUUCAGGGGGCAGCGGACCAUGGCGUCCGACCGCACGUGGAUCGCCUCCUACCACCUCCGUGGCGCCGCCCAAACUUGGUACUACGCCCUCGAGCAGGACGAGGGCGGGAUGCCUCCGUGGAAGCGCUUUCGCGACCUGUGUCUCCUCCGGUUCGGCCCCCCAUACGUGGGAGCCGCUUGGCCGAGCUCGGCCGCCUUCCCUUCACCACCUCGGUGCAGGACUUCGCCGACCGCUUUCAGACAUUGGCCUACCAUGCGCCUGACGUCACGGCUCGCCAACGCGCCGAGCUCUUCGUCGGCGGCCUUCCCGACCACAUCCGCAUCGACGUCGAGAUGCGCGACCCCCAGGACCUGCAGACGACCAUGUAUUACGCACGCGUGUACGAGCAGCACGCCAACGCCCUGCAGCAGGCGUUCCCGGGCCGCGACACGCGUCCCCCGACCCGCCCCGCCCCGGCGGCCGCCACCCCGGCACGCCCCGCCCUGCCGGCCGCUACUGCGGCUGCCCCCGCGCCGACACGCACCUUCCGGCGCUUGAUGUCGGCCGAGCAGCUCGAGCGGCGCCGCAAGGGACUGUGCUUCAACUGCGACGAGCCGUAUGCGCCGGGUCAUACGUGCGCCCGUCUGUUCUACUUGGAGACCGUCGACGACUCGGGGGUGGAGGCCCUCACCGCGGAGCUCGACGCCACCAUACUCUCCAAGGCCGGCGUCACGACCUACGGGCCGGUCGACGUGACCGCCUUCGUCGUCUCCCUUCAUGCCAUGGCUGGCAUCAAGACGACAAAGAAGAUGCUGCUUCCGGUGACGAUCAACGGGGAGCGUCUCACCGUGCUCGUGGACACAGGUUCGAUGCACAACUUCCUGUCCGGGGACGCCAUGCGCCGCCUCGAACUCCAACCGGCGGGCUCGGAGAAGUUCAGCGUCACCGUCGCCAACGGGGACCGCCAUGCUUGCCAGGGGGUGGCGCGGCAGGUUUCCGUCCUCAUCGGCGACGAGCCGUUAUCCAUCGACUGCGCCGACACCGACCUGGGCUGCUACGACUUCAUCCUCGGCAUCGACUUCCUGUCCACUCUCGGCCCCAUCCUUUGGGACCUCGAUGUGCUGUCCCUCAUCUUCUGGCGCGAGGGCGGCCGUCGCGUUCAGUGGACAGGCAUCGGCGGCUCUGGCGCCGUGACUCCACAGCUCCAGUUGAUGGCGGCCGCACUGGACGAGGCGCAUCCCCUCCUGGCCGACCUCGUGCAGCAACACAACGACAUCUUCGACGAGCCACAGGGCCUCCCUCCCGCGCGGCCCUGUGACCACCGCAUCCACCUGCUGCCGGACACGGCACCUGUAGCCGUGCGUCCGUACCGGUACCCUCAGCUGCAGAAAGACGAGCUCGAGCGUCAGGUGGCUGUCAUGCUCGCGCAGGGCAUCAUCCGGAUUUCGACAUCGCCGUUCUCCGCCCCGGUGUUCCUUGUGCGCAAGCCCGACGACACAUGGCGCUUCUGCAUCGACUACCGUGCCCUCAACGCCCUGACGUCCAAGGACAAGUUCCCCAUCCCCGGUGUGGAUGAGCUCUUGGACGAGCUACACGGAGCGCGCUUCUUCACCAAGCACGACCUUCGCUCGGGCUACCAUCAGGUGCGCAUGCACCCUGACGACAUCGAUAAGACGGCGUUCCGCACUCACCAUGGCCACUUCGAGUUCCUGGUGAUGCCGUUCGGCCUCUCCAACGCGCCGGCAACCUUCCAGGCCCUGAUGAACGACGUGCUUAGCCCAUACUUGCGCCGCUUUGUGCUUGUUUUCUUUGAUGACAUUCUCAUCUACAGUGCAUCUUGGGCGGAGCACCUACAACACGUGGCCAUCAUCUUCAACGAGCUUCGAGCGCAUCGUCUUCACCUCAAGUGCUCGCUCGGCACGACCUCCGUCGCGUACCUGGGGCACGUCAUCUCGGCGGACGGGGUAGCGAUGGACGCGGACAAGGUCGCCGCCGUCGCCGCAUGGCCGAUCCCGCGGUCACCGCGGGCACUCCGCGGCUUCUUGCGCCUCGCCGGCUACUACUUGAAGUACAUCCGGGACUUCGGCCUCAUCGUCGCGCCAUGACGCGACGCCUUCUCUUGGGACGAGGAGGCGACUACGACAUUCGAGGCUCUCCAGCGGGCGCUCACGACGGGACCCAUCCUCCAGAUGCCGGACUUUGAUAUGCCGUUCAUGGUGGACUGCGACGCCUCUGGCAUCGGCUUCGGCGCCGUCCUCCACCAGGGCGAGGGACCGCUCGCCUUCUUCAGCCGCCCCUUCGCCGCUCUCCAUCACAAGCUCGCGGCCUAUGAGCGCGAGCUUAUUGGGCUUGUUCAGGCGGUGUGCCACUGGCGGCCUUAUCUUUGGGGCCGGUCAUUCUGUGUGCGCACUGACCACUACAGCCUCAAGUUCUUGCUGGACCAGCGCCUCUCCACAGUUCCGCAACACCAGUGGAUCAGCAAGCUCUUUGGCUUCGACUUCACCGUUGAGUACCGCCCCGGCCGUCUCAACACGGUCGCCGACGCCUUGUCCCGCCGCGACACUGAGAAUGUCGCGGAUGACGUCGCCAUGGCUGGCACUAUCAUGUGCAUUCGCUCCGGGCCAUCUUUCGCCUUCAUCGACGACAUUCGUCGGGCAACUUCGACGGCCGUGGACGCCCAGGGCCUGCGCCAGCGCCUUGAGGCCGGCGAGCUGCUCCUACAUGGCCGCCGCAUCUUCGUGCCCGACCAUGGUGACCUGCGCCACCAGGUCCUGACCUUGGCGCACUCUACAGGGCACGAGGGCGUGCAGAAGACUCUCCAUCGUCUCCGUGCUGAUUUUUACAUCCCCGGUGAUGGCGCGAUGGUCCGCGACUGGGUGCGGUCGUGCGUGACGUGCCAGUGGAACAAGACGGAGACACUACGACUCGCGGGUCUACUGCAGCCGCUGGACGUACCCUCCCAGGUGUGGGCGGAUAUUUCCAUGGACUUCAUCGAGGGCCUUCCCAAGGUGGGCGGCAAGUCCAUCAUCCUCACGGUAGUUGACCGCUUCUCCAAGUACGCGCACUUCAUCGCCCUGGGUCAUCCAUAUACAGCCGCCUUCGUGGCGCGGGCCUUCUUCGACGGCAUCGUCCGCCUCCACGGUUUUCCGUCGUCCAUCGUCAGCGAUCGUGAUCCCGUGUUCACGGGACAUGUCUGGCAGGAUCUCUUUCGACUGGCGGGCAUGAAGCUCCUCAUGAGCACGACGUUCCACCCUCAGACAGACGGCCAAUCCGAGGUGGUCAACAAGGUGAUCGCCAUGUACCUGCGUUGUGUUACUGGUGAUCGUCCACGAGCAUGGGUGGACUGGUUGGCGUGGGCGGAGUACUGCUAGAACACCUCCUAUCACUCCGCCCUGCGCACCACGCCUUUCGAGGUGGUCUACGGGCGCCAACCUCCGGCGAUGCUCCCUUACGAGCCUGGGACGGCUCGGUCUGAGAAGGCGGGCGACUUACUCCGCACCCGCAACGACAUUCUGGCUGAGGCACGCCAGCGUCUUCUCCGAGCACAGCAGCUGGCUCGGAAGUACUAUGAUGCUCAUCAUCGCGAGGCGGAGUUCGCGGUGGGUGAUUGGUUGUGGUUGCGCCUCCUCCACAGGACCACGCAGUCUCUGGACCCGCGCUCCAAGCGCAAAUUGGGACCUCGCUACGCCGGUCCCUUUCGUGUGCUGGAGCGUGUCGGCACACUCGCAUACCGCUUGGAGCUGCCAGCUGGUUCUCGCCUCCACGACGUCUUCCAUGUCGGCUUACUGAAGGCCUACUGCGGGGACCCUCCUGUAGCGACGCCGGCCCUUCCUCCUACUUCGGAUGGCCGCCUCCUUCCAGCUUCGGCACAGGUAGCGAAGGUACUGCAGGCGCAGCAGCGUCGCGGCGUCUGGCAUGUCUUGGUACAGUGGACCGGCCUGCCAGAGGAGGAAGCGACUUGGGAGAAGCUCGACGAUUUCCGUCAGCAGUUUCCAGAUGUUCAGCUCGAGGACGAGCUGUUUGAGAAGGCGAGGAGAGAUGUUAUGACCGGUACAACGUACCAACGGAGGAGGCCCAAUGGGCAGGGUUAAUUACGGGCUUAGCUCAAGUUAUCUUACCUAUCUUAGAGUCCAAGUUAUAUUAGAGUCCAAGUUAUCUAGGGUUUAGUGGAGGUUGUCCUCCUAUAUAAACACAUGUACCCCUUCGAUAUUAAGCACACAAUAAACAGUAUAUUCUGUUGUCGUCUCCCUCAGGAGACGAGAGCCCCAAACCCUAGCCGCAUCUCUCUCUCUCUCUCUCACGCCGCGACGGCGCCCAACCGCCGGCGCCGGCGUCGCCAACCUCGCAGCCCGCACUUCCACCACUACAACCUACGUCCGAGACCUGAUAGAACCCUAGCCUCUACCAAGUACACCAAGUGAUAAAUCAAAUUCCCCACCCUCCUAUGUUAUGUCAGUGUUUAGCUUUUACUUUUUGUUACCUUCGUCCAGCUGCAUGGUAUUCCUUAUGCUUGGCUUUUGUAUUUCUUUAUUGUUCUUUUGCUUUUGUGAGAAACAUAUUUGGCUAGUGUAAAACAGUGAAGAACAUAAGGCAUUUAUUUCACUAAGGUUAAUUAGAGUAUCAUUACAAUCAGUGCACUCAUAGUCAAUAUGAGACAACAUUUUGUUGUGGUAGUACACAUGUUCGCAGGGCAUUUAUUUCACUAAGGUUAAUUAGAGUAUAAUUACAAUCGGUGUACUCAUAGUCAAUAUGAGACAACAUUUUGUUGUGGUAGCACACAUGUCCGCAGAUAACAUAGGAGUGGCAGGUGUUGUAUUACUAUACGACAACACCAAAAAAUCUCUGAUUUUAUAUAGAAAGAGUUAAAAAAAUGUUUGCGAAUCACACCUUUACGGUUAGGGAUGUGUUUUUUCAAUGUCCAAUUUUAUACUUCCUCUUUUCAAUAUAAGGUACAUAUUAGAUAUUUUAAAGUCUUAUAGAAAAGACAUAUGAAUAUCUACAGUACCAAAUACGUAAGAGACAUGGAAAUAUAUUUCAUCGAUAUUUGUAGUUGUCCAUAAUUUUUAAUGACCUUUUUCCAAAGCUUACAAACUUUGAUUACGGACAAAAGUAUGUAUGUGCUAUAUUUUUUACAUGGAGAGGGUAUCAAGUACUUCCUCCGUCUCAAAAUAAAUGUCUUAAACUUAGUACAAUUUUAUAUUAGAGAUAAUACAAAGUUGAGAUAGUUAUUUUUGGGACAGGGGGAGUAUCAACCAAUGAAUUAAGCAACAAAUUGUAGUGUUGCCAGCAAACACAACAAACUCAUUAAUAGCCUGAAAACAGGACUCCCUCCGUCACAGUUUAGAAGACAUGCACGUGUACCUUGAUCGUUAAUUUGACUUAUAUAAAAUAUAUUAUUUAACUUAAAAUUAUAUCAUUAGAAAAUAGAACAUCUAAAGUUUCUGAUGAUGUAUUUUUUGUUAUAUAUGACUCUUAUUAAGUUGGUUAAAUUAACGACCUAGGUACAUGUACCGGACUCUUGUAAACUCAGACGGAGGGAGUAGUUUUUACCAUCUCAUACUAUUAGAUUAUAUAUAAUCAAGCUCAAGAAACUAUUAAUUAUAUAUUCCCUAUGUUUCAAUAUAAUGCAUAUAUAGUGCAUAUUACAUUUUUUCUAUGUUUUACAGGAAAAUAUAUAAAUAUUUAUAGUACCAAAUACAUAAGAUAUUUUUAGGCAAGAAAAUAAUUACGACAUGGGAAUAUAUUUCAUCAUUAUUGUAGAUAUGGAUAUUUUGGUAGAGAAACUUUGUGAGUUUACGAAGUUGGACUUAGGACAAAAAAUAUUAUGCACUAGUAUAUUCUUAGAGGGAUGUCUAGUGAUGAGGCGUCAACUACAGUAAACACAACAAGGCAAACUCAUGUCGUUAGCUACAUCGUAAGUUAGUUGUGCCGUGUCCCGUGUGGCCUCUAAUCUCCCAAUAACUGCGAAUAUAGCUAUUCCUAGCUCAUUGCGCGCGCAACGCCUAUCACAGCCAUUGCUUCAACAUAUGGAUUCGGGUUGUUUUGCAUGUGCAUGACCCCUCUUUCUCCCUUUUCCUGCUAACGCGCUGACACAUGCAUGCAUGCCUAUGUCAUCUUUCCUCUCUCCUCAAACUCCAUUACUUUUAGUUGUUUCUUGACAGUUUAGAUGCUUGAUAUCUUUAAAAUUAAAAUUUUGUUUUUAAAACUUUAUAUACAUUUGAACUGCUGGUGCUAAGAUCUUUAGAACAAGAUCAGUCAUGGAUAACCUUUAAACAAACUUUUGUUAACUGCAAUUGAAAUAUGGAGUUUUAAAAGAUUAGCAGUGUUUUCUGUAAGGAACUUUGCCGGGCAUAGUGAAGAACUUUUUUAUUUUCAUCGCAAAGUGCUAAAUAAGCAGAAUCGGGAGAUGAAGAACUUUCUGAAUAGCGGGUCUGCACUUUAUUAAAAAUAUUAAAGAACUUUCGUAGAGAAUGUAUUUGAAACCAAAGAAUUUUAUAGACAACUUGUGUGAACUUUGAUGAAAAGUGUAUGAAACUUUGUUAGAAAUAUAUCCAUAUUGGACUUGUUUCGUAGAGCUAACCGUGAGAAACUCCAAUGCAUAAACGAAUUUAAAUUUACAUAAUUUAUUUAGAAGUUAGGGCAACAUAUAACUUUUCCUAGCAAAUACUAGUAUGGUGGAGUAGCGUGGCAUUAAAGUAUAUGACAUAUUGAUUUGACCUGCAUGCAUGGGACCAGCUGCAUGUCGAUUUGAUGUCCAAGAUGAAGAGUGGUCCAGAUAUAGGUUGCAGGGGCAAUGAGUUAGGAAAAAUCCACUCUCCAAUAACUGCUACUAGAAAAUGAGCUCACCUGGAGCAGGACCACUGGGAAGGAUGAUAUUUCCUGUGUGUAGUCAAUGGCCGGGAUGAGGCGCUUGAGCUCCAUGGUGGGCGCGAAGUCACCGUAGUCUGCCACUGUGGCGUCCGGCGCGUCGGCCUCGACGAAGAGCACCCCUUCCCCGUUGCAGUCGAUCUCGACCCUCCCGUCCUUGUCCCGGGCGAGGCGGCCGGCCAUUGGGUUGAAGGUCACGAGUGCCUCCGCCAGCGCUUGUCGCAUACGCUCGCCGUCGAAGAAGCCUUCCGUGGCUGCUGCCCCCUCGGGGCGGGGCGGUAGAAGUAGACGCUAGGCGUGUGGAAGCGGGGCACCAGUAGGUCGAGGUGGGAGUUCCAUAGCUGAGUCCGCGACGUCUCCCUUGCCGGCCUGACCAUCGUUGAUCGCCGCACCGUGAUCGCCAUCUAUCUGCCCAAGAAGCAAAGUUUGUCAAUGACCACUAAAAUUGAAUGGAAACAGGGCUGCUCCUUGCUCUUGGGCACCGUACAGUCGCAACGGAAGACAAGAAAAGGAGCAGCAUAUGGAUGAACAGGAUGAAAAGGUAGAGCAAAGCCUGACCUUGGAAGAGGAAGCAAAAUUAUGGUGAUGGUUGGGCCACAACAGUAGGUAUGUACGUCUUGGCGUCUUUAUAUAGAAGAAAGAAGGCUCUUCUAUCUAGUACUCGCGUGUGCAACAAUGCAAGGGGUCGUCAGCGAGAAACUUCAAGGUCGUCAGUGACAGGUGUUCCUAUUUUAUCAGGACUAGUCCAAUACCAACGGACACACAAAUAUAUAUGAGUAUAUGAUAGUCCAUGAUCCUAUGCAUGAGUAUAUUAUUUUGGAUAAAGGGAAAUAUAUUAAUAUCAGGUUGAUUUUAGUACAUAUAAAGCUGAUUUUAAUAUACCUGUUAAUCAACACAUGGUUAGCUUGUUAGAAGGUUAGUCGUAUUCGAGCUCCCCAAGGUUGAAUUCUUAGACUUGACGUUGGUGCUUGCAUUAUUUUUUAUUUAUUUCAGUUUUCCGGCAAGAGACAUUCCUUCGAAUGCGAGGUGUCUAUGAUGACUUCGUAAAAUCUCAAGAUGCUAUUCAUGUCCGUCGCUCCGAGAUGUUUAUAGGGAUAGAAUGUGUGUGCCUAUUGUAUGUUCAUGUAUGUGAGGGAAUUCGAUGGUACCGUGUUCAAGAAAAAUAGUUGAUUUUCAUACAACUAAAUUCUGCAACAACAGGAUCUCGCAACAUCCAUGCACAUACCAAAAUAUUAGUAGAAUAUCUGUAUUGUAGCCUCAGGAAGCAGCCCUGCGUCGCUCUCCCACGAGCGGCUCGGGCGGACUCUCCCUACGCCGCGGCCGGCUCCCUCACGCCUCCUCCCUUCCCUCGCCGCCGCCACAGGGCGCCGCCGGGCAAACCCCGUGCGUCGUCGGCGGCGGCGGGGCUGUCUUCUUUCUCGCGCGCCUCGUCUUGGAGCGUGAACACCGGUGGUGCGUGGCUUGGAGCUGGGCGUGGGCCUGGUGCCUUGCCUCGCGUGCCGGGGUUGGCUUCAACGCCGCUGGAGGCUGCCUGCUGUGGUUCGGGGAGGCGACCGAUGCUCGUGGCGACCGGAUGCCGGGGCGACGGUCCCAGAGCUUGGCGGUGCUCCUACUUGGCGUCCCUACGGUGUUUGCUGCGGAUCGGAGCGCGGCGGAUCGAGGGUUCUGGCGCCCUGAUCUGGAGUCAACGGGGACGCUCAGGAUCUGGCCUGGCGGAGUGAAGGUGCACAUGUGAAGGUUGUGCGCGGAUCUGACAGGGCUGGCGGCUUGGCGCGGCUCCGUUGGGCUCUAGUGAAGUAGGCGGAGGUGCAGUUUUGUGUUGGCUCGAAGGAGGAGAGGAUCUAGCUGGUGGUGACUGCAUCGGCAUGCUUUCGAGACGGGCUUCAACAAUGCAAUGUUGUACAUCCAAGGAUGCCAGGGCGACGAUUUUGGGUGGAGGGAUGCAAUGUCAGGGGCGAGGUAGUGGCCGGGGAGGGUCAUUUUGGCACUUCAUGCUUGGAUCUGACCCUCACAAGCGCGAUGAUUCUCGUGGCAUGAGGACCCGCGUUGAAUUCUCGUGAAGUGGGCUAUGGUGGCUGGCAAUGGGAUUGUGCUGCAGAGCGAGCUUGGAUCGAGAUGGUCUUCGGUUCCUAAGGUGCUGAUCUAGAACCGCAUGCACACUACCGGGAGAGAUGGAGCUCCGGCGAAAGCUUUUCAACAGCAGCGGCGGCGUCUGCGGACGUCGUGAUCUCCUUGGAGGCGUUGUCUCGAAGUUCGUUUCCUCUUCGUGCUCGGUCUCUCUCGAUCAAAACCCAAACUCCAGCUUGCUGGAGUGAGCGACGGCGGCAGCUACAUUGUGACCUCCUUGGAGGGGUCGCUUUGAAUGGUCAUCCUUUGGCUAUCGUUUGGAGUUUUUUCAUCGUCAUGGAUGGUGUACGUCGGGGCAGCGGCUCCAGGAUACUUGUUGUAAGCCGAGACUCCAUGCGGCGGCCGGCGGCCGGCGGCAACUCCAUGAGGUAGGGUUGCAGUCUCAUUGCUUGGGCGACGAUCUUGAUUUGCGUGGGCGACAGGAUUGUCGGCUCGGUCAACGCGUCCCAGCGGGGGCGGUUGGACGGAAUGUCGGGGCGGCGGUCCCGGAUGUGGCACAGACGCGCAGUGUUCGUGGUCUGCAUGCAGUUAUCCUAAGCAGUGUGGGCUGCGGAUAGUUGUACUAUGCGGCGUUGCUGGUCGAGGGUGAGAGAUGGCAUGUCGGGGCGGCGGCCCCAGAAGGUGGUGUCGGCUGAGUGCGCCACGCGCAUUGGAGCAGUGGAUGUCGAGGCGGCAGCCUCGAGAGAUUUGCAGUUUUGAGGGCAUGGACCACGUGUCGUGUGGGCGACGUGGUUGUCAUCGAUGUUGGUCGUCGGCAUGUCAGUUGUUGCACCUAUCGCGGGACUAUGGAGUACUUGCCUCUUUAUCAAUGCCCACGAGUCCCUGGUCUGCUCCUCUCAUGGCAGUAACAGCUUCUUCUCUCGCAGUGAUGGAAGGUCAGUUUGAUAGGUGAAGCGGGUCAUGUCCUGUUGAUGCGUGGUUUGGUUGGAUAGCGCUUGUUGUUGUGUUCGACAUGUGGUCGAUGAGGAUGGGCUCUGCCUUGUGUGUUUCAGUCUUUGGAAGUGGGCUUGACCCUCGUUAUUCUGGUUUUUUCCCAGUUUGGCGUAAUUAACUGCAUAACUCUAUUCUGCUUCAUUAAUAGAUGAGGCAAAUCUUGCCUCCGUUUUGAAAAAAAUUAGUAGUAGAAGAAAAUAUGAACAAAAAACUGAACCAAUUAGCAGACUAUAUGUUUACACGUGAUUAAGUGACGUGUUGUGCAACAACGACCAUUAGCUCCAACCAUUGCACUUACAAUAAGUAAUGUAUCGCGCAUGGUAAAAGCUUUGCCGUAACGACGAGGUCUCUUACGAGGGAGGAAAGUUACUGGCACCGCCAAAAUCCCACAUACUCCGUCUGUUCCAAAAUAACUGUCUCUACUUUAUAUUAGCUCUAGUACAAAGUUAUACUAAGCUUAAGACAAUUAUUUUGGGACGGAGGGAGUACAUGAUUCUCCCACAUCCCUGUCAAGUAGUGGUUGAUGACAGAUCUACAUCAGACCACAUGCCAUACGCCUCCUCUUGCUCUGUCGUUCUCGAACUGCCUCAGCACAGUACUGGCUGUUCAUUGUGCCGAGGAAGAGGACACGGAUGAUUUAGAAAACACAAGGAUCAACUAUCAUUUUCAUAUCUCCCCAUAAAUCUGAUGGACAAGACUUAUGCCAUGUACUUCCUCCGUAAAUAAAUAUAAAAAAGUUUAGGUCAUUUGAAGACCGCACACUUAUGUUAACUAAUAAACAAAGUACACUUACAUACAGAUGCCAAAUCUACUAAAGAUACAUUGAUAGGACAUAUGACCUACAAACUUUACUGAAAGAACCUCAAGAAGGAUAUUCCAAAAAAGUUCUUAGGAGUUUACCACACAAUCAAAAUACCGCUGUCGACCACUCGCCACGUCGUGACGUUCAUCGGAAGAAGCAACCGAUCUCCGGCAUUCCAUGAUCCAAGAUAAGAGCAAUUCUAGCAGACCCUGCAAAAUCUAAAUCCGUAAAACGUAUUUGUGAUUUCAUUUAGAUCUCGUUUACGGGUCGAAAAUGAACGCGGCCGAACAGAAACCGUAAACGAAAUUGCAUAAUUUGAAAACAUAGUUUCGUGGAAAGUUCAUACUACGUACUACAUAUAUUACAUACUGCAUUUGAAAAUGAGCUCAGUACUCCUCGUCGGAGCUGCCGAGGUCGAUGUACAUCGCCUUCUGCUCCUCGCGGAUGCGCCGCUACUCGUCGUCCUUCGCCUUGGCGGCGAUGUUGGCCUCGAUCGCCUGCCGCCACUGAAGGUCUUCGAUCUCCUCGUCGUGGCGUCGGCGCUCCGCCUUCUCGUGCAAGCUGCACUCGGCAAUGGCUGCCGCAAUGGCUUCCACGUCGGCGACGAAGUCCUCCGGCCCGACGACUCCGCAGCGGCCGAGCUCCUCGGGCUCCUCCUUGACGGCGACGACGUCCUCCAGCUCCUCCGACCACUGCCUCUUCACAGGGAGCAGGCGCGCGGAAAAGGAGGAGCCCGCGGCCGAGGACAAGCCCGCGGCGACCUGUCGACGGUCGUACUCCUCCGUCUCCCAGACGCAGAAGCUCGCCGGCGGCGAAAUGCCGCGGUUGGUCCACCUUCCGGCCCCGCGCUUCCUCGCGGCGUCCGACCGGACGCGCCGCUCGCGCUCCGGGUCGCUUCCGCCGUCGGAUCUGCUGCCGAAGCCGCGUCCGGAGCUCCACAUUGCGGCUGGAGGCGGGGGAGGUGGUCGCCGGCGACGAGAAAUGUGGGGAAGGGGUGGGGAAUCGUGGGGGCUCGGCGGCGGCGGGGGAUGGGGUUUCGACCCGCAAACGCGCCGCGGAACCGUAGAUAUAGUGAUCGGGGCGUGCGUUUUGCGGGCCGCGAUAAAAUUUUUUACGGACCGGACGAGUAUGCGGGCUCUGUUCUGACCGAAAAAAUGGAUCUAACCUACAAAAUCGCCGGACUUUUACGGGUUUACCUCUUUUGCGGGGUCCGCUAGAGUUGCUCUAGCGACAUAGCCAGAAAGAUAAAACCCAACAAGGCAAAUCACAGAGUACCAACAAGAUCGGUUCACGAGCCAAACAAACAGCCAACAAAGGUAUGCGACACGCAGGCCAAAUGAAGUAAACGGAAGGGGCCUGGUUCGAAUGGGCGGCAGGACAAAGGCUGAGGGCAGACACACGAAUCUUGGAGAUGAAGUCGGUGGGCACGUGAGUGUCCGUUUGCUUAUAGAAGGACUUCCAUUGCUAUAAAAUGGCAGCUAUUUAAAAAGACAAUCAGUUAAACAGUUUGGAACAAUAUAUUCGAUACUCCAUACUCCCUCCGUCAUAGUUUAUAAAGCAUGCACGUAUACCUAAGUCGUCAAUUUGACUUAUAUAAAAUAUAUUGUUUAACAUAAAAAUUAUAUCAUUAGAAAAUAGAACAUCUAAAGUUUCUAAUGAUAUAUUUUUUGUAAUAUAUGCCUCUCAUUAAGUUGGUCAAAUUGACGACCUAGAUGUAUGUGCCGGACUUAUAAACUGAAACGGAGGGAGUAGUAAACUUGUUUCUAGUGGUCCAAAAGGCCCACUCACCGCCAGUCACGCGCUCGCGGCACCCGCAGCGUGCGUCUAACCCGCGUCUCUGAUGGUGGCCCCUCCUCGCAUGUUGCGCUAGAUAAUGCUGCCAGUGCUGCUGGUGUCGGGCCCGCCUCAGGAACCAGCGAUGCCAAGGUGGUUUCGUCCGCGUCUUCUGGCACGAUGUCUCCCUCGGGAUCGCCGGCGCACACGGGCGUGGGAUCUUGUGCGACCAGGCCUGCGUCCACCUCUACACGUGCCGGUACACGGCUGCAGAUAGAGAAAAUUAAACUGGUAAACUACAAAAAUAUUCUGAAGUUUGGACUAACCUGUACUACAGGGAAGCCCCGAUCUGUUGAAGCAGCUUUGGCAGAUCAGAACUGGAAGAGAGCCAUGGAAGAAGAACACAUGGCCUUAAAAAGGAAUGAGACAUGGCACUUGGUUCCACGAGGCAAGGUAAAAAAUUAUUUGACUGUAAGUGGGUAUAUAAAAUUAAGUGAAAAUCAGAUGCGAGCAUAUAUAGGUAUAAAGCUAGACUGACAGCUAAAGGUUUCAAACAAAGAUAUGGUAUCGAUUAUGAGGACACUUUUAGCCGAGUUGUUAAAGCUGCUACCAUCAGAUUGGUCUUGUCUAUGGUUGUGUCUAAGAAAUGGAGCUUAAGACAGCUGGACGUACAAAAUGCGUUUUUACAUGGUAUUCUGAAAAAGGAGGUGUAUAUGAAACAACCACCUGGGUUUGAGAGCAAGAAUGCACCAUUCCAUGUGUGCAAACUUGAUAAGGCUCUUUAUGGCUUGAAACAGGUCCCUAGAGCUUGGUACUCUCGGUUGAGCAUGAAGUGGUAAAGCAUUGGUUUUGUUCCUUCCAAGUCUGACACUUCAUUGUUUAUUUUUCAUAAGUCCAAUAUAACACUGUACAUGCUUAUAUAUGUUGAUGAUAUUAUUAUCACAAGUUCAUCAGAUGAAGCAGUGAGAGCACUCUUGAAGGAUCUGGGCUCAAAGUUUGCCUUAAAGGAUCUUGGAGAUCUAAGCUUCUUUCUGGGUAUUGAAGUCAAGAAACAGAAAGAUGAUUUUUUUUUCAAAAUUACUACGUAUUUUAUAAUAAAUUCGAAAAGCAUAUGUGCUUUUUUUAAAAUGUCAAAACUAGCACCCCUGUUGGCCUAUGGGAGGCCGAAGUGGGCAUGUCGGUCUGCGGUUGGCCGAAGAGCCUCCUGUCGGCCUGCGGUUGGCCGAAGAGGGCCCGUCGGCCUCCAAGAGGUCGAAGAGUGUCAGGGGGACAAAACGUGAUUAAGACGGUCUCAAAUGAAAAAGUUAUCAACUUGAAAAAUCUUAGUCUCAUCAAAACGGUUGAUUUUGAUUUAAAAAUCGUCUUAAUCCGAGAUCGUAUGCAACCUGUAAAGCCAAAACAAGGUCAGGGACAAAAGGUGUAGAGUUACUUCAGACAGACCGAAUGGAUGUCAGAAAAUUUGUCAUGGGGCAUCCGAUGCACUCGGUGAGAUCGUGUGGAAUACAUAUGAGUACAAAAAUUUGGUCACGUUCACUCCGAGCACAAAGAGAAGCACGAAGCAUCAAAACAAAUUUCAGCCGAUGUGAACAAACAAAUUUCAGCCGAUGUGAACCGAUGUGAUUGUUCACAUCGGCUGAAAUUUGUUUUGAUGCUUCGUGCUUCUCUUUGUGCUCCGAGUGAACGUGACCAAACUUGUGUACUCUUCUCUAUUCCACACGAUCUCACCGAGUGCAUCGGGUGCCCCAUGACAAAUUUUCUGCCAUCCAUUCGGUCUGUCCGAAGUAACUCUACAAUUUCUGUUCCUGGCCUUGUUUUGGCUCUACAGGUCGCAUACGACCUCGGAUUGUGACGAUUUUUAUAUCAAAAUCAACCGUUUUGACGAGACGAAGAUUUUUCAUAUUGUUAACCUUUUCAUUUAAGGCCAUCUUAACCACGUUUUGUGCCCCUGACACUCUUCGGCCUCCUAGAGGCCGACGGGCCCUCUUCGGCCAACCGCAGGCCGAGAGGCCCACUUCGGCCAUCCCACAGACCGACAGGUCCCCCGUCGGCCCACCAGAGGCUGACGGGGUGCUAGUUUUGACAUUUUUAAAAAACACAUAUGCAUUUUAAAUUUAUUAUAAAAUACGUAGUAGUUUAACAAAAAUCCAGAAAGAUGGUAUAGUUCUGUCUCAAGAAAAAUAUGCAAAUGAUUUGUUGAAAAGAGUUGGUAUGCAGGGUUGCAAGCCUUCCUCAACUCCUUUGUCCAGCUCAAAGAAGCUGUCUUUAUAUGAAGGUGAGCUUCUUAGUGAAGAGGAUGGUACUCAGUAUAGGAGCAUGAUUGGUGCUCUUCAAUAUCUCACUCUUAAUAGGCCGGAUAUAUCCUUUGCUAUGAACAAAGUAUGUCAUUUUUGCAUGCUCCUACCACUUUGCAUUGGACCGCUGCUAAGCGUAUCCUGAGACAUGUGAAACAUACGGUUGGUGUUGGACUAACAUUCAGAAGGUCACAAUCCAAUCUUAUUAGUGCUUUCACUGAUGCUGACUGGGCAGGUAGCGUUGAUGAGAGAAGGUCCACAGGCGAUUUUGCCAUAUUUUUUGGUCCUAACCUUGUUUCUUGGUGUGCCAAGAAGCAAGCAACCGUUUUCAGGUCUAGUACAGAGGCUGAAUAUAAAGCACUAGCUAAUGCUACUGCAGAAAUUAUUUGGCUUCAGUCCAUGUUGAAAGCGCGCGAGACCUAACGGUAGGCAGCCGACCGGCCGAAAUUUGGGCCUGCUGGCCGGCCCCUAUGGCUGGCCUUUCAAAUUUGUAGCUAACAUAUAAUGUUCUUCAACUUGGACACUAUUUCAAUUCCUUUUUCAUUAUAUGCGGUGUGAAGAAAUCCAGAAUGGUAUUUAUCGUCGAUCGAGCGGUCUUCAGCUGCCUUCCAUUUGAGAAUAGCCAUGCAAUUCAGUACGGGACAAAGUGCCUACGAGCAGAGCUGCACCGUUGAGUGAAGCACAAAAGGUGCCAUAACUGAUCUGUACAGGUGAAGAAUGUUUCCAAGUUAAAUCACUUUUCCGAGUGCCGCUCAUCCCUAUGUCACGGUCAUACCAAAAUAGCGAUGGGAGCAGAGAUUUUUUUUCAUAUGAAGAUAUGAAAUUUGGAGGAUCGGAGUAGAUAAAGAGAUAGUCUACUUAUUUCUUUGCUUGGCUAUAUGGGCCAGGUCACCCUUGAUAACUCUAGCAUGUAAAGAGGGAAGCCAUAUAUAUUUAUACAUGUAUGAUGGUACAAUAUUAGGCGUGACUUUACUCAUUGCAUUGCCAUGGGUACAAUAGCCAUUAAUUGUUUUUUAGGUUCACAAGUAAAGUGGUUGGCAUACCCGCGAUGGCAAAACACAACACCCACCGGCGAUUUAGACUGCCCGUCACAUGUAUUAACCUACUUUGAGCUGCUUUCUUCAGCAUAUGGUGUGAGAAGAAUUGAUAUGCUCUGCACGUGCGUAAGCAAGUUGUUGGCGGGUGCAGUGGUGGUUGAUAUCAGCAACUUGGACAAUUAACACAUUGUAGAACUCACGUCUCGGUGUGCAUGUAAUCAGUAUUCUGUGCUACUGAAAACUACAAGUCUUUCACACAUUUAUUGUCGCACAAAACCAUGAUAAGUUGUAUGAACAUAUACAACAAUAAUAAUGUAGACCUCUAAAUUUGUCAUUGUAAGACAUGGAGAACAAGUGUUACAAAAAAGUUGCAUCGAAAAAACUUUCGCCCCGCUUUAUACAUAAAGCAUUAGUCAAGCAUUACAACCAAUAUUACAGCACGACACUACACCACACAAACGACAAAGGAAACAACAAGAUACGACAAUACCGAGAAUGGCAAGAAAGCCCCAAAACAACAAGCAAACAAGAAAAUAAAGAUUAUAGCGCCACUUGGAGUCCUAGGAUUGCUCAUCCUUGAUCGGGUAACCGGAGCUGAGAGAGAAGCCAAUUUGAGAGGGAGACAAGCCAUCGGAGGAGUGUAUGCCAUCACUAACACUCGGAAUACAAUCACCGCCGUGCCAACCAGCUCCAUCACCUUAAGGCCUUGUUUGGUAUUAGUGUUUUUUGAGGAGAUUGGUGGGAAUAAUCCUCCAAGGGAUUGGGUGAAACCCCAACCUUCACCCAAUCCCUUCAAAUCCCCAUUUAUCCCCAAUACACUAGGUAGGGGUGGUGUAUUGGGUAUUGAUAAAAAUGCACUAUAAUUUGGGGAUUUGAGGGGAAAUGUGGGGAUGAAACAUGUCAAAUACACUAGAACCAAAUGGUGUUAUGGGAUGUGUGGGGAUUGAGGGGUUUGACCGAGAUAAUCCCCACAAAUUCCUUAAAAUACACUAGUAUCAAACAAGGCCUAAGGAGCCCCAUGCCCCCCUCGCUCUGGAUCGAAGGGUGCCACAUCAUUGGACGAUGAAGAUACUCACCCAAUGCUAAUUGUGAACGGAUGACGGGUUCCCGAGUUGAGGCCUCCAAACAUCCACGUCGAACUAGCUCACCAUGGGAGCAUACUGCCGUGGCUACCGAACCCCAACGCGGAGAUAAUAUGCUAUAGUCCACCGCACCUCGACAACCGACGGGAACGGACCAUGCUCACACAACGGAGCCUCCAAGGAGGGAAUGACGUCGUAGCGCCGCUAGCAGCACUACGGAACUAUAUGUACUAUCUUUUGAAAUAGAAUCGUGUACAUGGGUAUGAUCCUGUUCCUACAAAUCAAAAGGCUCCAAAGCCCUACAAAUCUUAUUCUUUAGAAUUCUUACAAAUUUUUCUCUAAAUCAUAAGAUGCCAAAAUAUGGCGAUCCAAGUUAAGACAUGCACUAUAUGGAAUCAUCCAUAUUAGCAAGACACUCGAAAUCACAAGCUUUUUUUUGGACUUUGGUUGAUUUAGCAUCUCAGGUUCCAAAUUAAUAAAGUGCAAAAAUUCAUGAAAUCUCAUAAAUGCUAAUUAUGUCCAGGGUCAAGAAUACAAUAGUGUAGCAAAUUCAACUUCAGCCAUGAACUACGUAGAAGAAAAUUGUGUGUGUUAGCAAGGCACACGAAACUGGUAGGCAGUAGCUUGUUUUGGGUUUUGGUUAGUUUUGCGCCUCUCAUGGUUCUAAUAUAAUACUCCCUUCGUUCCAAAAUAAAUGUCGCUGCUUUAGUAUAAAAUUUGUACUAACUUAAUAGUCAAUUUGAGUCACUUAUUUUGGAACAGAGGGAGUAAUAUUAUACAUAUACAAUAUAUUGGAGCAAAUUGAGCUAUCUCAUUCAUAUAAGAACCGCUUAACGCGUUGCCAACACUAAUAGAAAACAGGGCUAUCGUUCGGCCCUGGCCAGCCCAUUAGUCUCGGUUCUUCAAGAACCGGGACCAAUGGGGGUAUUAGACCCGGUUCGUGAGUCCAGGGGGCGGCCGGGGCCUCGUGGGCAUUCGUCCCGGUUCGUGUAGAACCAUUUGUCCCGGUUCGAGCCACGAACCGGGACCAAUGGUCCUCGCUGCUGGCCCACAACCAUUGGUCCCGUUUGUGGCAUGAACCGGGACAGAAGGGGUGGCUUAGUCCCGGUUCAUGCCACGAACCGGGACAAAUAACUUGUCUAUAUAUACCCACCGCCACGGCAGAGCACUCCACAGUGCUCUGUUUUUUCAAUCCGGCGAGGUUUCUAGUUCACCUCCUAUGCACAUGAGGUGUUCACCUCCUACGCACAUGAGGUGUUCGAUGAAAUGCCCGAGACACACUAGUUAAGCUUUCUCCUCUCGAAGCUUGACCUAGGAGCUCCAUUUUUUUCGAGAUUUGUCUCGAUUUAGGGGUCUGUCACGCCCCGUCCCCGUUUUCACCGCCGUUGAUCGCCCGCGCCGAUCUCGUCGCCGGCACCACCGUGGUGAGCCUCUUGUUCUUAUCUUCUUUAUGAUACUUGUCUGAUUUUCUUACUUUAGAUAGAUAUUUGUCUGAUUUUCUUAAUUUUGACACACAUAAUUAUAUGUAAUGCACGCACAUGAACCGGCAAUGGAUGUAUGGUGACAGACACACCUCCGAGUACAUUAAGGGCGUGCAUAUUUUUCUCGAAGUGGCUGAGGCAUACAAGCAGAAUGGUUUUAUGUGUUGUCCAUGCAGUAAAUGUGGGAAUACGAAGUCUUACUCUGACCGGAAAAUCCUUCACACCCACCGCUUUACAAGGGUUUCAUGCCACACUAUAAUGUUUGGACGAGGCACGGAGAAAUAGGGGUUAUGAUGGAAGACGGCGAAGAAGAAGAGGACGAUGAAAACUAUGUGCCCCCUGAAUACGGUGAUGCUGCAAUGAGGGGGAGCUGCUGAAGAUCAAGAGGAACCAGACGAUGUGCCCGAUGAUGCUGCAAUGGGGGAAGCUGCUGAAGAUCAAGAGAAACCAGACGAUGUGCCCGAUGAUGAUCUCCGCCGGGUCAUUGUCGAUGCAAGAACGCAUGCCCGGUAUGCGGUGCAUUGCGGUAUAAGAUCAAACGAGAUGACCCUGGUGAUGUUGACGGCGAGCCCCGCAGGAAGAGAGUUCCUGCGAAGGUGAUGUGGUAUGCUCCUAUAAUACCACAAUUGAAACGACUGUUCAGAAACAAAGAGCAUGCCAAGUUGAUGCGAUGGCACAGUGAGGACCGUAAGAAAGACGGGAAGUUGAGAGCACCCGCUGACGGGUCGCAGUGGAGAAAAAUCGAGAGAGAGUACUGGGCUGAGCUUGCACGUGACCCAAGGAACGUAUGGUUUGAUUUGUGUUGCCAAGUUGAGAGUACUGAGAGAGAGUACUGGAAAAGGCACGCUUGGAGGGGAGACAAUAAUAUGCAGGGACGGAUAUUCUUGGUCUCAGGCACACUGCACAGUUCUACAGAACUCUACCUUGGUGACCCCUUAUGUCGAUGAACACAAGAACAGUCUGCGCUCCAAACACCCGGAGCAGUGCAACGACUGGAUUACAUGUGAACACAUCAGGACUUUUAGCAGUUGGUUGGAAACACGUCUCAGAGAUGAAAACACUAUUUGUGAGGAGAUGAACUCAUUGUCCAGGGGACCAUCUUCGACUGUUACGAUUUGGAAAGAAUACGAGAUAAAUGGGAAUACAUUUUACAUGAUCGCCCAAGAUCAAAAGAGCACCAACCAAAACAACGGUGUCCGCUUUGAUGCAGCCACCGAGAGGGGAAAGGACACAUAUUAUGGUUACAUAGUGGACAUAUGGGAACUUGACUACGGAGUAGAUUUUAAGGUCCCUUUGUUUAAGUGAAAAUGGGUCAAUCUAUGAGGAGGCGGGGUACAGGUAGACCCACAGUACGGAAUGACAACAGUGGAUCUGAACAAUCUUGGGUACACUGACGAACCAUUCGUCCUAGCCAAUGAUGUAGCACAGGUUAUCUAUGUGAAGGACAUGUCUACCAAACCGAGAAAAAGGAAAAAUAAGGAAGCGAAUACAUCAUACGAUGAGCCAAAGCGCCACAUAGUUCUUUCAGGAAAAAGGGACAUCGUGGGAGUGGAGGGCAAGACAGACAUGUCCGAAGAUUAUGAAAAGUUUCAUGAAAUUCCUCCCUUCAAAGUCAAGGCUGACCCAAGCAUCCUGAUGAUGAAGAUUAUCCAUGAUUACGGCGCAAUAAGGAAAGGACACAAGCGAAUAAAAAGUGAAGACUUUCUCCACAACUAUUAUGAUGAUACCAUGCCAACUUUCAACCUUUUUGUAGUUCAUUUGAAAUGCAUGUUGUAACAGACAAGUUUCCGUAUGAAAUCCUGAUACUUCGAAAGAGAUUGUCCGUUUUGUACACGAAGUGCAUCCAGUUUUUGCCGUAACCCUCUCAACUUUCUUGCAUAUGCUAUGUGGAUGAAAUGAUGAUACCAUGCCAAAAUAAAAGAGAGGCGCAAUGCUCACCUGCACGUUACUUAGCUUCAGGCCAACGUGCAGGUGAGCACUGCGCUUCUCCCUUCAUCGUCUAUACACUCAGGGCUUAUAAACCGCUGCGAGUGCCUCUCGCUUGGCGAGGUGGAACUAAAAAACAGUUGCAGAAAGAAUCAACUAAAAAACUCUUUUACCGGUUCAUGCCACGAACCGGUACUAAUAGGUGCUCGUGGGGCCCCAGCCUUAAAACCUGUACCAAAUAAAAUGCCUUUGUAACAUCCUUAGAACUGGUACUAAAGGAAUCAACUAAAAAGCUUUUAUAAACCUCUAGUAUUAUUGAAACUAAAAUUAUAUAGAAUUUUGUUACAAACUUUAAUAGAAAAAGAUUAUCAUAAAAGAAAAUAAAUAAGUAAUUAGAAUUUUGUUCAAAACAGUAAAAGCAAAAAGAAUUAUCAUAAAAGAAAAUAAAUAAAUAAUUAGAAUUUUGUUACAAACUUUAAUAGCAAAAAGAAUUAUCGUAAAAGAAAAUAAAUAAGUAAUUAGAAACAAAAAAAAAAGCAAAAAAACUAGGAAAAAUUUAAAAUAAAGGAAUCAACUAAAAAGCUUUUAUAAACCUCUAGUAUUAUUGAAACUAAAAUUAUAUAGAAUCUUGUUACAAUAUUUAAUAGAAAAAAGAAUUAUCAUAAAAGAAAAUAAAUAAGUAAUUAGAAUUUUGUUCAAAACAUUAAAAUCAAAAAGAAUUAUCAUAAAAGAAAAUAAAUAAGUAAUUAGAAUUUUGUUACAAACUUUAAUAGCAAAAAGAAUUAUCGCAAAAGAAAAUAAAUAAGUAAUUAGAAACAAAAAAGAAAGUAAAAAACAGGAAAAAAAUUAAAAAAAGUGCCACCUACACGGCCACCACGGCCUGCAUACGACUAGAAAGCCAUUACUAGGGCCAGGAUGCAGGCCCGUAGUAGGCCCAAUAGGCCCACAAGCACAGAGAGUGAUUUUAGGCCCGUAAGCUUGCAGUAGAGAGGAGCUCGAAGUGGUUGAUUCGGCAGGGCUUAUAAACCACUCUGAGCCCCUCUCGGCUAGCGAGGUGGGACUAAACAUAGCACCGCACCACGCAAGGCCUUUGGUCCCGGUUGGUGGCACCAACCGGGACUAAAGGGGGGGCAUUGGUACCGUUUGGUGCAACCAACCGGGACCAAAGGCCUCUGCUUCCCGCCCUUCGGGCUGCUGAAAAGAGACCUUUAGUCCCGCUUUGUGCCACCAACCGGUAUCAAUGCCUCUGCUUCUCGCCCGUUGGACUGCUGAAAAGAGACCUUUGGUCCCGGUUGAUGCCACCAACCGGGACUAAAGGUGGGGCUAUAUAAGCGACAAUUUAGAACUUUUGAUCUCUCCCCCCUCUCUCCAUUCGAUCCCGACGCCGACGCCGCCGCUGCCCCCAAUGCUGCGAGGCUGCCGGAGUCACUGCCGCCCCCGAAGUCGUCCUCGUCGUCGCCGCCACCUAUGCCGGUCGCGUGCGCCUCCUCCAUCUGCCCGCCGACGAGCAACCCGGCCCUCCUCUGCUUCCCCCGGUGAGAUCCGCCGCGCCACUCCUCCCUCUCCUCCUCUAGCUCCGGCCUCCUCCCGUCGGCACGCGCCCUCCUCUCCCCACGCCGUGGUCAGGCGCCCCCAUCCUCUCCCCUCGCCGGCAGGGCCGGUCCUAUGAUUUCGGGGGCCCGGGGCAAAACUGACUUGUGUUCGUAGGAUUAUAUGUGUGUAGCUAUUAUUGGUUCUAGUAGUACUUGCUCACUUCAAGAAAUUUUAUCCUUGGAGCAGUCUGCAUAUGGACGUUGCUCCUUGAAAAAAAUGCAUUUUUGUGUUCUAGGAAAGGAUAGUACGUGUCAGGCAUGAUACUUGAUAUUUUACUAGUACUAUAUACUCAUUUUUGUGUUCUAUGCAUUUCUUUUAGACAAGUUAAUAAUUAGCUGGCUCCUUGUUUCAAAAUAAUAUGAUACAAUGUCACUACUAGAAGGUGAAGUACUUGUGAUGCCAAUGCAAUCAAACUGGACAUAUAUUCAAAAAAAAGCCAUUGCAUAUUGACCAACUAUUAUGAGGUGUAUCCAACGCUUCUAAAAAUAUAAGUUCGACUAUUAAAUGUAAAAUAUGCUGACUUUUUAGAUUUAAAGGGGGGACUAUGCUAUAAAUUUAGAACAUUUAGGUAUAAUGACGUUGUAAAACAGUUCAUGAGACAUUUUUGCAUAACACCAAAAAAAUAUGAGAGUGUGUAAGCAAGUUCAUGGCUAAAUACAAACAAAGAUGAAAUAUUUUUAAUUUUGUAAUAAUUUGACUAAAUCCAAAAUUGUCAAUGGGCACAAAACAUGUUCUUUAUUGGGAAAUAAUUUAUAUUCUCAUAUGGUGCUUUCCUUGUUCUUAAUUAGUACACGGAAAAAAAUUAUAGAACAAUCAAAUCAUUAUUCUCCUUCCAUUGUUUUAGAUUACUUUUAUAUGCUAUGCCGAAGAGAAUAAGCGCUGAAAGCAUGCUUGCGUUGAACUAGUUUAUUUUACUAUAUAUAGAAGUAGUUUAUUUUUAGCAAGAAAAUUAAUAGAACUAGUUUAUUUUUUAGUUCAUUUUACGAUGCAUAUCCCGCAUCCUCGUCGUCGACUCGGCUAAGGACACCUGCUUGAUCAGAGGGGCCCUGUCCGGGACUGGACUCCGCCUGGCUGGUAUUGGGAGGUGCUACCUUCCGGGGGGCGUAGGUUGGUGAGGAGCCGGCCCGUUGUUGACCCGAUCCUUGUUCGGUGGCGGUCGCGUGGGCCAGUGACGGUGCCGAGGCUUCCAGACACCGCGGAGGUGGUACGUCACCGUGUCAGCGAGGAGGACGAGCACGUCCGUCGCUACAUGGUUGCGUUGGAGGGCAGGUUCGACAAUACCUGGCAGGUUCUUCAGGGAUCCCACUGGAGCUAUGAUCCUGUGAUGGUUCCUUCUCUUUGGGUGUCCACCGCCCGCGACGAUACCCGUCGGGCGCUACGGUUCUAGCUGUAUUAGUGAUGCUAUAUGUAUGACAAGAGAUGAUGUAGUUUUGCUUAUAAUUGAAUGCAUGCUAAUUUGAAUACUACUUUAUUUUACGAUUUGGUUUUGCUUAUUGAAUGCUCAAAUUGGAAAAGUACUCCUACUUUGAAUGCUAAAAUUGGAGAGCACUAUGCACAAAUCUAGGAGCCCCCUCCAUCAUCCACGUCGUCGUCCCCGUCACCGACCCCCCUCCGACGUCGAGUCAGGGUCUGUAUUGUUUUAUGCUAUUUUACCUUAAAGAGGGUAUUUAAUUAGGUCCUACCUAAUACUGAUGAUUAUGUUGCUGUAAAUGUAGUAUGACAAUGUUGUAAAGGGUAGUAAUUGGUCUCUUUAGCUGCUUUUCAGAGAUGGAGUUCUUCACGAUUAUACUUGAGAAAUCCUCCAGCAGGCAGGUGUUGUCGGACAAGUUUGUGAAGAUGCUGGACGGCCAUUGGCCACAGAACAUGAAGCUGAGGCAGGCCGGCAACGGGCUUCGCAAGCUGUGGGACGUGGAGGUGGUGUUCGACACCGAUGGAAGCAUGUACCUAGAUCGUGGCUGGAAGCAGUUCGUCUGUGCCUACGACCUGCGGCACGGGUACUUCCUUGUCUUCAGGUACCACGGCAACGCCACGUUCGCCGUGAAGGUGUUCGACACGACUAUGUGUCGGAGGCGCUACCAGGACGACGACGAUGCCAGUAUGCUCUGUCUCUUCUUCCUCUCCAUUAGGUUAUGUCUCACACCCAUUUUUAAAAAAACUUUUUUGCAUUUGGCAAGGCAAUGGGAGCAGGAGCAGCGAGUACUGACAAUGUUGUAAAGGGUAGUAAUUGGUCUCUUCUGCUGCUUUUCAGAGAUGGAGUUCUUCACGAUUAUACUUGAGAAAUCCUCCAGCAGGCAGGUGCUGCCGGACAAUUUUGUGAAGAUGUUGGACGGUCAUCGGCCACAGAACAUGAACCUGAGGCAGGCCGACAACGGGCUUCGCAAGUUGUGGGAUGUGGAGGUGGCGUUCGACACCGAUGGAAGCAUGUACCUAGAUCGUGGCUGGAAGCAGUUCGUCCGUGCCUACGACCUGCGGCACGGGUACUUCCUUGUCUUCAGGUACAACGACAACCCCACGUUCGCCGUGAAGGUGUUCAACACGACUAUGUGUCGGAGGCGCUACCAGGACGACGACGAUGUGAGUACGCUCUGUCUCUUCUUCCUAUCCAUUAGGCUAUGUCUCACACCCAUUUUAAAAAAAAACUUUUUUGCAUUUGGCAAGGCAAUGGGAGCAGGAGCAGCGAGUACUGCGACAGGUGCUAUGUCUACGGCAGCAGCGACACUGGCUAUAGAAAAAGUAGCAGCGACUCUGGCUACAGCAAAAGUAGCAGCGACGAUGGCCUCGCAAUGGUGAUCCCAUAGCUGGGCGACAGAGCCAUGCCAAUUCUGGUAGAAGAGUACAUCCCACAGCCUGGCCUGGGGCUUCGCCGCUCUAAGCGCAUCAGGAUGAUGAAGGAGAAGGUGAAGAAGCAGGAGUGAAGAUCUUAAGAACCUGAUGGAGCUUUAAUCUUUAUAGUGUAAACCUUUUAAUUACGAUAGUGUUGAACUGCUACUGCACUUUUAAGUAUGAUGGUGGUGUGCCUGAUGAAAUUUUGUGCAUGUUCAUGGAUGCUCAUUGAUGAAAGAUAAAAUUAUUUCUUUUUGUGCUUGCUCAUGGAUGCUCCUUGGUUGGUGUAUAUAUAACAACCUAAAUUAACCCCUAAACCAGCCCCUUUCAAAAAAAACUCAGCUUCAGCCAGGUGCUGACGCGUGGAUGCCUUUUGGUCCCGGUUGGUGUCACCAAUCGGGACUAAAGGCCUCCCUGCCCGGCCUAGCCACAGCGGCCACGUGGAGGGCCAUCUGUCCCGGUUGGUGUAAGAGCCGGGACUAAAGGCCGAGGGCAUUAGUAACGACCUUUUAGUCCCGGUUCCAAAACCGGGACAGAAGGCCCUUACAAACCGGGACAAAAGACCCUUUUCUACUAGUGCAAGUGCCUUAAGGAACAUACAUCAAGCGCGUGACUGCGAUGACAGAGUGGUGUGUGGUCACGUAUGAACCGUCGUAGUUACAGCCAACGAGAAGAGCGCAUAUGAGCUUCCGUGUGCGGAAAUUGAAGCGCGGAUCAUGGUCUUGGAUAUCCCAUGCUUCCCUUUUGGAAAAAGUCCAAAAUGAACCUUGAACUGGUAGAGGCUAGCGAAAUCGAACCCUAAUGUCCAAAUCCCUGAAAUUAGCACUCUGAACUCUCAAAUCCCAGUCUAAAUUAAACCCUGGAGGCAUUGCCAAACAAACAUAGCCGGGAUUCCUAUUUUUUUGCAGUUAGACAGGAUUAAACUUGGCCGGCCCACUGAGAGAGCCCGUCUACUCGGGCUUAUGUAACCCGUCCAGUCGAAGGAGCCCGAAGCCCAUCGAACGUAGAACUGAAUUCGAGGCGUCGCCUCCCCUGCUUUUCCUCUGUUUCCUCUGCUACGGCGGCGACAAUGGCGACAGGCGGAUGAUCGACCGCAGCGACGACGAUCGGAACGGCGAACUGCGACGAGGAACGAGAAAAGGUAUGCCCCAAAAUCUUGCUGUUCUUGGCUUCGUCUGGUGGUCCCUGUUGGCAGCAUUAGGGUUAGGGUUACAAGGGGAAAAGAAGGGUUUUUUUUUGUUAGAUUAGAAGUCAAUUUUUCUGUUUAUAUGGUAUUGAAGAGUGAUAUGGUUGUGUUUAUUUUCAGUAAACCAUGGACCCGACAGAGAUUUUAAAUGUUAGGUUUCAUUUGGGUGGCGAGUUCAUCCGCAUUGGUCCCAACUUAGAUUAUGUUGGAGGUGAUGAGGAGUAUUCAGAAAUCGAGAGGGACAAACUAUCAUUGCAGGAAGUAAAAGGGUACUUGAAGGAUCAUGUGCAGCUGAAAGAAUCAAUGAAGAUUUAUUUUCUCAUUCCUGGGAAAGCUCUGGCAGAUGGAUUGGUAUUCUUGAAUGAUGACAGGAAAUAUGUUGAGAUGGGUGAGUAUAUAUGUGUUGGAGGAGUGGCUGAUAUUUAUGUUGAGUAUCAUGGGGAGGAGGAUACUGAAAGUAGUAGCUGCAGUGAUUUUGAGGAUGAAAUGCAUAUCAGUGAUGAUCAACCUCCUGUCAUGACUGCUGAAGCUGACUCUGAAGAUAUUGUUCUAGUUCCUGAUGAGAGAGGUGUUAUUACUGAAAUAAUAUCUAGUCCUGUGAAGCAUUCAACAGCAAGGAGACAUUCAGUGGACACUAAUAUUGAUGAGCCUGUGUUUUCCCAACUUUGCAAUCCAAGUCAAGCUUCUGUUUCUGAUGCAAUGCCACAAACUGAUGAUUUAAGCCUAAUUCCUGUUGCUGCACAAGAAGCUGAACACAGUGAAGACAGUGACAGUGACCCUGAAUACAUGCCUCAUAGUGAGGACAGUGGUGAAGGUUCAGAAGUGGUAGAGCUAAGAAGGCAUGCCAGGAAAUUUAAAAAAAAUGAAGGAUACUAAAAGCUGGAUUGGAAGAGAUCUCACUGAAGCAGUCCCAAUUAAUUUGAUUGCAAACAUGGAGGAACAGCUGGAUGGAGAUGAGAAGGACUCGAACUAUGAUUCAUCAGAUGAGGACUACUCUUACAGUGAAGAUUCAGAUGGAAAGUCAGUGAGGAGGAAGAGCAGGUUUCCAAGAUACAAGAAUGACACUGAAAUUCCAAAGUUUGAGUUGUCAAUGGUCUUUAGAAGCAAGAACCAAUUUGUGAAAGCACUGAGGAGAUAUGGGCUGGUGACAAAAAGAAGCAUUGUGUUCAAAAAAUCAGAGUCAGACAGAGUGAGGGCCAAGUGUGGCUGGGAUGGCUGUCCUUGGUUGAUUUAUGCAGCAAAGACAUCAAGGACAAGCAGAUUCCAAGUCAUUACAUUGAAUGAUGAACACCAUUGUGCCCAAAAUAGAGAGAACAAACUUGUGACCUCCAAGGUUAUUGCACAAAGGUAUGAACACUUUAUACUUGCAAAUCCAAUGUGGAAGAUUGACAGCAUGAAAGCCAUUGUGUUGCAAGAUAUGUUUGCUGAUGUAUCCACCUCAAAAUGCAAGCAUGCAAAGAAGAUUGUUAUGGAUAGACUAAUGUGUGGGUUGAAGAAUGAAUACACCAGGGUUUUUGACUAUCAGUUGGAGCUUCUUAGGAGUAAUCCAGGUAGUACUGUGGUUGUGUGUUUGGAUCCAAAAAUCAUGGAUCAAAAUGUUUUCCAGAGCUUCUAUGUAUGCUUUAAGGCAUUGAAGGAAGGAUUUAAAGCUGGUUGUAGGAAGGUAAUUGGAUUAGAUGGAUGUUUCUUCAAAGGAGUUGUGAAGGGUGAACUACUUUGUGCUAUAGCGAGAGAUGCCAACAAUCAGAUGUAUCCAUUGGCUUGGGCUGUAGUUGAGCAAGAAACAAAUGAGUCAUGGAAAUGGUUUAUUGGACUGCUUAUUAAAGAUCUGGAUAUUAACAACAAUGGAGAUGGUUGGGUAUUCAUCUCAGAUCAGCAAAAGGGACUGAUAAAUGCCAUGAGUGAUUAUCUGCCAAAUGCAGAGCACAGAAUGUGUGCUAGGCAUAUCUAUGCCAACUGGAGAAAGAAGCACAGGGCACAUGAGUGGCAGAAAUUUUUUUGGGCAGUUGCCAAAGCAGCUAACAUCCAAGAUUUCAACUACUACAAAGCCAAGCUUGCACAAGAAACACCAGAUGGUGUCAAGGAUAUGAAGAAAACAGAUCCCACACAUUGGGCUAGGGCAUAUUUUCCUGUUGGUUCCAAGUGUGAAUCAGUGGACAACAAUUUGUGUGAGUCCUUCAAUCAUGCAAUUGUGGAUGCAAGGUUCUAUCCAAUAAUUUCCAUGCAAGAGAAAAUAAGAAAGAAAAUAUUCACUAGGAUUCAGGAGCAGAGGGAAAAAGGUGAAAAAAUUCAAGGAAAAAUAUGCCCUAGCAUAUUUAAAAAAUUGCAAGCAAGCAUAGCAAAACCCAGUUCAUGGAGGUGCUCUGGAAUGGCAAAGAUGGUUAUGAAGUGAAGUUGCUCACUGGGAGAAGAAGGCAAUACACAGUCAGUUUGCAGAACAGAACUUGCUCUUGUGGUUACUUCCAGCUCUCUGGUCUACCUUGCUCUCAUGCCAUAGCAUCAAUAUACAAGUGCAAGAAACAAGUGGAUGACUACAUUGAUCCUUGCUACAGCAUUGAAACAUUCAACAGAAUUUAUGACCACUGCUUGGAACCUGUGGAGGGUGAGGAGAUGUGGCCUAUUUCUGCUAAUCCUAGGCCACAAGCACCUGGUUAUGUUAGGAUGCCAGGGAGGCCCAAAAAGAAUGCAAGGAAGAGGGAAGAGCAAGAGAAACCAGUGGGCAAGAAAAUGAGCAAACAUGGCACAAUUAUAGUCUGUUCAAUGUGUGGCACAGCAGGGCACAACAAGUCCGGUUGUAAAAAUAAUCCAGAGAAAGGCAAGAAGAAAAAUGUCCAUCUAGUGAAGACUGCCAACAAAAGAUCCAGAACAGAGGUAAUAUAACUAUUUUGUGCAAUAAUCUUGGAUUUUUCAUAAUUUUUCAUUGUUGUGAAUGACUGACAUUACUGCCAAUGUUUCCAGGACACUACUGGCAAUGUUCCUGGAUCAUCUAGCUCUCAACCUGCACCUCAAGCUCCAGCAACAACAAGGCAGUUUAAACCUCCAAGAAACAAAGCUACAACUGGUCCUUCUCAAGCUGCUCCACCACCAAGAAGUGCAGCAGGCCCUUCUCAAGCUGCUACAGCACCAAGAACUGCAGCAGGUCCUUCUCAAGCUGCUCCAGCACCAAGAACUGCAGUUGUGAGAGGCAGAGGAAGAGGAGCAAAGAGGGGAAGAUCUGCUUCUUCAAUUCCAUCUUACUCAUACUUCACUUGCAGUGGCAACUACUGAUGUAGCACCUGAUGCUUUUGUGGUUGUAAGAACUGAUGUAGCACCUGAUGCUUUUGUGGUUAUAAGAACUGAUGUAGCACCUGAUGCUUUUGUGGUUGUAAGAACUGAUGCAAGCCUGAUGCUUUUGUGGUUGUAAGAACCUGAUGGAGAUAAUAUUAUGUAUUGCAGACUCUAUUGUUCAUUGCAUCUAUCCUAUUUUGUGGUUGUAAGAGCCUGAUGCUUCUGUUGUUCAUUUAAAUUCAUAAACCAGUACACUGCAUAAAACACACAAACUGCAUAAACCAGCACUUAUCUUGCAGGAACAAAUUCAUUCCACAUUGCACUUGCAUAUAACCAGUAUACAUUACACUGCACUUGCCAGUUCACAAACUCCAUUACAAAGGGCACAAAUUCAUUAAACUACAUAUUUCCCUAACACCAAACCAAGGACAAAGAUAAUGAACACAUAAAACAGAUUUGUAUAUUUGUUUUUUAUUGCAUCCAGCUCUGCAUUCUUCAUCUUCAACUGCUCUUGGAGAUUCUUCAUAGCAAGCAUCUUUGCUCCUGCUUCAUCUUCAGCCAUAUGGACAUCUCCAAAUGCAGGAACAAAUGCAUCUUCAGCCCGAGCCAGACAACCAUCACCCUUCAGCUUCCUCACCUCGUUCCUCAAAUCCCCAAUUUAAUCACUAAAAAACUUUGGCAAUGGAGGAUCAUGCCAUUCAGCGAAACCACAACCACCAUGCUAUUCAAUUGCCAAACAAAUCAAUCAGCAAAUAGACAAAGAACACAAAUGCUAGCACAAAUUGUGGGAAACUGACCAUUGCAUCCACGCACGCAUAGUACCGCCGCCCUGGAUUCAUCUCGCUCCAUGAAAUCCAUCUGGGUGCCUUCCUCCUUGGGUUGCAGUGGCACAUCUUCGCCGGCUCAUACUCCAUAGCUCCCUGGCGGUAUGGGACCGGCGACCUCGCAUCCAUGCCCUGCCUACCAGACGCACGGCGGAAGCCGGGGGCAGAGGAAGACCCCGAUGACCACGACAUCGCGCUGCCCACCGCCGUCCGCCGACGAGAAAUCCCCAGUCGCCCCUGUCGCCGCCGUGCAAACCCUAGCUCAGAAGAGUAUCCCCAAUCGCCCCUGUCGUCGCCGACGAGAUAUCCCCAAUCUAUUUCAAUUCCUCUCGUGCACUUACAACGGCUCCAGUCAAAGAAUCCCGGUUGACUAUGCCACGUAAGCGUUUUUCUGCCCAAAACCACUCCAGGGUUUAAUUUAGACUGGGAUUUAAGAGUUCAGAGUGCUAAUUUCAGGGAUUUGGACAUUAGGGUUCGAUUUCGCUAGCCUCUACCAAUUCAAGGUUCAUUUUAGACUUUUUCCUUCCCUUUUCUCACUAGCUCUCAGAUCGCAGCGUACACCUUUGGCCUUAUCAUGAUUUGACCUUUAUUCCAGCCGUGGUCUGAGUAGUGGAACACAUAUAAAAGAUGUUUACAUUUACGUGUACUAGUGUUGCUUGUAGGUUGCAUCGAUCGAGCCGAAGGAUGAAGCAAAUUAUUGCAAACACAAAUGUAACAGCUAAUGGUUUCACAGCAACCACCUCAUGCCGCUCCGUCUCAAAAUAAGUGACUCUAAAAUGACUCAAAUUACGUAUGAACCACCCUAAUACUCCCUCCGUUCCUAAAUAUAAGUCUUUUAAGCGAUUUCACUAAGAAACUACAUACAGAACAAAAUGAAUGAAUCUACACUCUAAAAUAUGUCUAUAUACAUCCGUAUGUAGUCCUUUAGUAAAAUCUCUAAAAUGACUUAUAUUAUGGAACGGAGGGAGUAGCAAAAAUCGCAGCCACCUAAUCGAAUAGAAUAGCGCAUACAUACGAGCCUCGGCGCACAAAACUCGAAUUCGAAGAGCGGAACAUGCUCUGGGAUAUCCACAUCAUUCGUUUUUCUCGUUAGCUCGCAGAUUGCGACGUAUGCCUUUGGCCUUUCCGUGAUUUGAUCUUUAUUCCGGUGGCCUCAGGGAAUAAAGAUAAAAGAGAUUUGCAACUGCUCUGCCCAGUUUUUCUUCUACGUAUCCAUCAUCGUUCAGCCUAGAGUGUCAUGCAUGCAUGCAAUGCAUUGCAAUAUGACCUCUCACAUUCAGCCUUUGUUCAUGACUCUACCUCCGGGUAUUGUCCUACGGCAUAUCCAUCCUCGUUCGGAUUUUCUGCCCUUGAAGAAGAUCACACGCGCUGAGAGUAGCUCGUGCCUUCCAUAUCGUGCAAGACCAAGACCGGCUAAGCAGAGUUAGCGAGUAUAAAUGCCCCUGCCCGCUGCAUGCGGUGAUCACUAACCUUGUGUGCUCCACAUAUGAAACAAGGUGGCACGUAAGGGGGAGGAGGGAGAGUUGGCUGUGAUCAUGAAUUCAUGAUCAGGUAGAAGAUGUGCAGCUGAAUUGCUGGGCAGGGUCUCCUUUGGCAGAUGUCACCGCCGUCGGGGUCGUCUCCUGGCUGCUGCCAAAGGAAAUUUGCCCCGGAAUUCAUCUGCACAAGGCAAGCACCGACAGGAGAAGAGAAGAUGUGCCUCUAGGAUGUCAGGUUGCCAAGGUGUGAAUGUACUAGUACAUUACGUACUUGGCCUUACAGUUUGUUGUGUGUAGAAAUAUUAAUUGCAAUGACAUUUUUUCUUACUUCAAGAUUUGAAGCUAGGGAAAAUAGAUGGAGAGAUGGUCUGCAUGUUUUGUUAUCUGGGUCAUGUCAGCACUCACAUCUCUAGCAUAUAAACAGGACGAAGGUAUAUACUCCCUCCAUUCCUAAAUGUAAUGCCCAUAGAUAAAAACACACAUACCAAUGCAUGUGCUGGCGAUAUGUUUUGGACGAGAAAGCCCUAGCCAAUUUGUUCCAUGUCCCAUGUGCUCAACGUAGCAGUAGAUCAGAAAAUUAGAGAGAAAGUACGGUACCCUCCCACCAUCUGGUUCUGUCCCAUCUGAUGUGUACGAGAGCAAAUAAACAAGGGAGGUAGCCUGUGCAUUUGAUGGGUUCGUGGAGGGCUAGUUUCGUCCAGAAUCGGGUUGGACUCAAACUACGCACUAUAAUAUGGAAUUUUCCUAGAAAACUAAGAGCAUAUCCAGCUAUUCGGCUCCAGGGCGUAAAAUAGCAUCGUCUGUACGUGCCCGCGAAAAAUUCACCCUAGAAGCUCAAUAAGAUUUGUGUAUUCACAGGCUACCUAAAAUAAAACAUCUUCCUUUAAAUUAUAGAUGUUACAAUCCUGCUAUAUUGCUUAAACUUGGAAUUACUGUACUAAUAGUCAUGACUCAUGACCCUCUAAUAUGAACUAGCAUGGUGUCCACACGAUUGUAAGGAAACUGGUUCCACUUACCUUUGAAAAAAUGUCCUGGUAUAUUUAUUUAGUCAAUAUUUUUUAUCAUUAUGCGCAAUAAGAAUUUACUAGAGGGUACACAUCACUAGAUUUAGCCAAUGGAAAUUACAGGAGACUACACAUCAUUAAAUCGAUAAACAGAAUUUCAGCUCGCAUAUCCCGCAAAAAGUAAUAGAGCAAGGGUGGCAAAGCUCUGGCUGAUUGUGUUUUUGUACAUUAUAGGUCGUCAAGCUUUUUGUACAUGAUGUUAGAUUAGGAUGCUGAAUUAGAGGCUAGCUGAUACAGUUGUACAAGGUAGAAUCAUGAUUCUGAAUCGGAUGGGAUCACACCUGCCAGGAUCUUAGAUCAUAGAAUCUUUACUAUUAGUAAGAAUCAUAGGAGUUAAUUUGGAUCUUAAAGUAGUUGUACAAUCGUACAGUAAAAUCGUAAUUCUGUCUACCUCAAGUUGUACUAUCACUUCGUUUCCUCUUUGUGUCGGUGUUAGAUUAGGACAUUGAACUAGACGCUAGUAAAGCUGAUUCAUUAGAUGAUGAUUUCUUAGCACGUGUAUCUGAUGAAAUGAGCUUGAUGACUUGUGGUACCACGGAUCCCCUGUGAGGCGGAGGGGCCGUCGCGCGCGGGGAGGACGGGGGCGGCAGUCAAGGCGGCAGGGGCGGCAUCCCUACUGCGCGGCGGCGUUCAAGGCCUUGAUGGCCGGCUGUGGUGUGAGGUUGGACGGUGGCAGUGGCGGCGCUCCAUCCAGCAAGGGUGGCGACUGCGCGCAUUGGCUGGCAUCGAGGGUUGCGGAUCUGGCGUGUCCUGUCCAGAUCCAUCACGGUUUGACCUUGGUCGACCGAUGGUGCGAGGAAGAUCGGUGAGGGGUGAUAACCCUCAAGUAUAGGGGAUCGUAACAGUUUUUGAGGGUAGAGUAUUCAACCCAAAUUUAUUGAUUCAACUCAAGGGGAAGCGAAAGAAUAUUUUCAAGUAUUAGCAUUUGAGUUGUCAAUUCAACCACACCUGAAAGAUUUAGUGUCUGCAGCAAAGUAUCAGUAGCAAGGUAGUAUGAUAGCAGUAGUAGCAACAGUAACCAGUAGCAGCAAAGUAAGAGCAGUAGCAACAGAGUAACAGUAGCAACAGUGACAACAGUAGCGGCAAAGUGACAUAGCAAGGACCAGUAGUAAAAUACUCUUAGGCAUUGGAUCGGUGAUGGAUGAUUAUGACGGAUGUGAUUCAUCAUGUAACAGCUAUAACACGGAGAGAUAAGUAACUAGCUCACGUUCGUCAAUCUAAUGUAGGCAUGUAUUCCGUAUGUAGUCAUACGUGCUUAGGGAAAAGAACUUGCAUGACAUCUAUUGUCUAUGCCUCCCGUGGCAGCGGGGUCCUAAUGGAAACUACGGGAUAUUAAGGUUCUCCUUUUAAUAAAGAACCGGACCAACACAUUAACACUUAGUGAAUACAUGAACUCCUCAUACUAUGGUCAUCUCCGGGAGUGGUUCCGACUAUUGUCACUCCGGGGUUGCCGGGUCAUAACACAUAGUAGGUGACUACAACUUGCAAGAUAGGAUCUAAAACGCACAUAUAUUGGCGACAACAUAAUAGGUUCAGAUCUGAAAUCAUGGCACUCGGGCCCUAGUGACAAGCAUUAAGCAUGGCAAAGUAGUAUCAACAUCAAUCUCAGAACAUAGUGGAUACUAGGGAUCAAUCCCCGUCAAAACUAACUCGAUUACAUGAUAGAUCUCAUCCAACUCAUCACCGUCCAGCAAGCCUACGAUGAGAUUACUUACGAACGGUGAAGAACAUCAUGGAAUUGGCGAUGGACGAAGGUUGAUGAUGACGAUGGCGACGAUCUCCCCUCUCUGGAGCCCAGAACUGACUCCAUAUCUGCCCUCGAGAUGAAGAACAGGAGGUGACGGCGCCUCCGUAUCAUAAAACGCUUUGAAUCCUUCUCUCUGAUUUUUUUUCCGGGCGACAUAUAUAGAGCUGAGAUUGGAGGCGGUGGAGCCUCGUGGGCCCCACAAGCCUGCCUGGCGCGGCCAGGGGGGUGGCCGCGUGAUACGUCUCAAACGUAUCUAUAAUUUUUUAUGGUUUCAUGAUGUUAUCUUGUCAACUUUGGAUGUUUUAUGUACCUUUUAUAUCUUUUUUUGGACUAACUUAUUAAUUCAGUGCCAAGUGCCAGUUCCUGUUUUUCUGUGUUUUUGACUCUUUUCAGAUCUGAUUUUGGAACAGAAUCCAAACAGAAUAAAAUCUCCGAAAUAAUUUUGUCCAGAACAGAAGAAGAUCGGGGGACUUGAGGGCCAAGGCAGGAGAGCCACAGGGGGCCCACAAGCCCUGUAGCUGCCACCAGGGGGGCGGCUACCAGGCUUGUGGCCCCCCUGGAGCUCCCCUGCCCUAGCUCUUUGGCCUAUAAAUUCCCUAAAAAUCCAGAAAAAAUCAGGGCAUCCACGAAAAUACUUUUCCGCCGCCGCAAGCUUCCGUUACCGCGAGAUCUCAUCUGGAGACCCUUCCCGGUGCCCUGCCGGAGGGGACUUUGGAGUUGGAGGGUUUCUACAUCAACAUCAUCGCCUCUCCAAUGACUCGUGAGUAGUCCACUUCAGACCAACGGGUCCGUAGUUAGUAGCUAGAUGGCUUCUUCUCUCUCUUGGAUCUUCAAUACAAAGUUCUCCAUGAUUUUCAUGGAGAUCUAUCCGAUGUAAUCCUCGUUGGCGGUGUGUUUGUCGAGAUCCGAUGAAUUUUGGAUUGGUGAUCAGAUUAUCUAUGAAUUAUAUUUGAGUCUUUGCUGAUUUCUUAUAUGCAUGAUUUGAUAUCCUUGUAAGUCUAUCCAAGUCUUGGGUUUUGUUUGGCCAACUAGAUCUAUGAUUCUUGCAAUGGGAGAAGUGCUUGGUUUUGGGUUCAUACCGUGUGGUGACCUUUCCCAGUGACAGAAGGGGCAGCAAGGCACACAUCGUGUUGUUGCCAUCAAGGGUAAUAAGAUGGGCUUUUAUCAUAGAUAUGAGAUUGUCCAUCUACAUCAUGUCAUAUUGCUUAAGGUGUUACUCUGUUCUUAUGAACUUAAUACACUAGAUGCAUGUUGGAUAACGGUCGACGUGUGGAGUAAUAGUAGUAGAUGCAGAAAGUAUCGGUCUACUUGUUUUGGACGUGAUGCCUAUAGAUAUAAUCAUUGCCAUAGAUAACGUCACGACUUUGCGCGGUUCUAUCAAUUGCUCGACAGUAAUUCGUUCACCCACCGUCUACUUGCUUUCAUGAGAGAAGCCACUAGUGAACACUACGGCCCCCGGGUCUAUUCACAACUAUCGUCUCCACUUUCACUUUUACUUUGCUUUGUUUACCUUUUGCUUUCAGCUCUCACUUUGCAAACAAUCUAUAAGGGAUUGACAACCCCUUCAUAGCGUUGGGUGCAAGAUCUUUGUGUUUGUGCAGGUACUUGUGACUUGACGCGAUCCUCCCUCUGGAUCGAUACCUUGGUUCUCAGAACUGAGGGAAAUACUUACCGCCGCUGUGCUACAUCACCCUUUCCUCUUCGAGGGAACACCAACGCAAGGCUCCAAGGCCAUGGGGGAAUCCUUUGCAUAUUUGCCAAGGAAGUCCCUAAAGGCGUAGCCGUAGCAGAAGGAUUCCAGGCGCGGUUGCCAUCAAGACAAGAAUAGUCUCCCCUCAACACGCUUAUUUCUGGCGCCGUUGGAAGGUCUUUUGUUGCAGUAGCAGAAGUAUUUCUGGCGCCGUUGCCAGGGAAGGAGAGAUCAAGUCAAGAUCUAUCCAAGUAGGUGUCACAAACUCAUCUCUUGCAUUUACUUUUUUGCCAGUUGCCUCUCGUUUUCCUCUCCCCCACUUCACAUUUGUCGUUUUCAUUUGCCUUUCUCCUUUGUCGUUUUCUUUUGCCUUUUGCCGUUCUCUUUUGCCCGUUUCACUCACUUUCUUUCUGCUCGUUUGUGUGUGGGAUAGUCCAUCAAUGGCUAGACCCACCACUCCAAACGAUACCCUUGAGAAUGAAGUUCUCAAUUUCAAGCAGAAUGAGGAAGAAAAUUUAAAGGACGCUUGGUACAGGGUUUGCAAUGCUCAAAGUAGAUCUACUCAUAAGCAAUCCACUACCGUUCUUCUUCGCAGUUUUCAUGCUGGAAUCUCUCCAUAAAAUAGGUAUAUUCUUCAUACCAUCGUAGGCGGGAAUUUUUUGGGGAGCCAUACUAUUGACUCCUAUGGAGCUAUCAUGAAUUUGGUAGGCUCACCCCCGCUCAUGGUUAAUGGAACUACCUUGACCUUGGAACACGUGAUGCAAAGGCUUGACGCUAUUGAAAACAAAAUUGCCACAAUUGAACUUAUUGAGGGUUUGGAUAGAAAGAUCCACAAUCAAAUUACUCAGUACGGAUCCAAAGUGGGAAUGGUUUUGAAAAUUUGAAGGGAGAAGGAACCUAUAGUUAAUGAUUCCUCUAGAAUUGGCAAACUAGAAGAUGUCAUAACCAACUUGGGUUCCGCUUUUGCCGCUGUGCAAAAUACUCCAAAUCUCACUCUCAAAAAGACCGUCAAGUCUGUUUUUGUUCCUAAAGCUAGUGGUGAGUCAUCCAAUAAAGAUGAAGAUCUUAAGAUGAUAAAUGAUCACGCUACUUAUGGUUUGAGCACCAAAGAUGACUAUACAUGAUUCCAUCACCUUUUGCCUAGCUAAGGGCGUUAAACAAUAGCGCUUGUUGGGAGGCAACCCAAUGAAUCUAUCCUUUUUAUUUCUGUUUUGUGUUUUCCACACUUUCAUAAUUCUGUUAUGAUUGUGUUUUUUGUGUUUCUUUUUGCGUUUGUGCCAAGUAAAACCGUUAUGAUUAGUCUUGGGGAUGAUCGUUUGGUCAUGCUGGAAAAGACAGAAACUUUCUGCUCACGAAAAGAAUUUUCAUUUUUUUCUGUAAGAUCUUUUGAGUUGAUUAUUUUUGCUGCUGAUUUCUAUGCAAAUUCUCCAGACUGUCGUAAUAUUUCAGAAUUUUUGAAGUACCAUAAGUAUACGAAGUAUACAAAUUGCUACAGACUGGUCUGCUGUUAACAGAUUCUGUUUUUGUUGAGUUGGUUGCUUAUUUUGAUGAAACUAUGGAUAGUAUCGGGGGGUAUUAGCCAUGGAAGAUUGAAAAUACAGUAACCCAACAUCAACAUAAGUAGAAUCUAAGUUUGCUACAGUACCUAAGGAAAUGGUGGUUUGCUUUCUUAUACUAAUGAUAUCACGAGUUCCUGUUUAAGUUCCGUGUUGUGAAGUUUUCAAGUUUUGGGUGAAGUUCUUAUGAACAAAGAUAUAAAGAGUGGCAAGAGCUCAAGCUUGGGGAUGCCCAAGGCACCCCAAGAUGAUUCAAGGAUGCCAUAAAAUCCUAAGCUUGCGGAUGCCCCGGGAAGGCAUCCCCUCUUUUUCGUCUUCAAUCCAUCGGUAACGUUACUUGGGGCUAUAUUUUUAUUCACCACAUGUUAUGUGUUUUGCUUGGAGCAUCUUGUAUCAUAGGAGUCUUUUAUUUUUUGUUGUGUCACAAUCUUCCUUUCUGCACACCUAGAGACAGAGACACAUGCACUCACCGUGAUUUUGUCAAGCUUCACUUAUAUCUUUUGAGCUAGUUGAUUUUGCUCUAUGUGCUUCACUUAUAUCUUUUAGAGCACGGAAGCGCGUGGUUUGGUAAUUGAUCUAUGCUAUGAAAGUAGUGUCAAAAGGGGUAGUUAUCCAAAGGGAUAUGAAAACUUCCACCUUCAUGUGCAUUGAAUAGUUAGAGAAGUUUGAUUCAUCUCAAUUAGUUUUGAGUUGUGGUUGUGGUAAUAUUUAAGUUAUGUUGGUAUGGUGUUGUGGAUCUACAAAUACUUGUGUUGAAGUUAGUGAUCCCCGUAGCAUGCACGUAUUGUGAACCGCUAUGUGAUGAAGUCUGAGCAUGAUUAGUCUAUUGAUUGUCAUCCUUUGUGUGGCGGUCGGGAUCGCGCGAUGGUUUAUACCUACCAACCCUUCCCCUAGGAGUAUGCGUUGAAUGCUUUGUUUCGAUUACUACUAAAACGUUUGCAACAAUUAUAUGAGUUCUUCAUGGCUAAUGUUGAGUCCGUGGUUUAGAUGCACUUUCACGUUCCACCAUCACUAUCUUCUUUAGUGCCAUGCAACUUUCGCCGGUACACAAAACCCACCAUUAGCCUCCCUCAAAACAGCCACCAUACCUACCUAGUAUGGCUUUUUCAAAGCCAUUCCGAGAUAUAUUGCCAUGCAACUACCACCAUGACAUGUGCCACAGCUUCUACAUUGCCAUUGCAUGAUCGAAGAUAGCUAGCAUGAUGUUUCCAUUAAUGUCUAUGCCAUGCUAGAUUAUUGUCACGGUACACUACCGAAGGCAUUCCAUAUAGAGUCAUCAUUGCUUUAAGUUUUGAGUUGUAAGUGUGAUGAUCAUCAUUGAUGGAGCAUUGUCCCAUGUGAGGAAAUAAAAGAGGCCAGCGAAGCCCAUUUACAAAAAGAGGCCAAAGAUGCCCACCAAAAUAAAAAAAGAGGCCAAAGAGCCCACCAAAAAAAUGAGAGAAAAAGAGAGAAGGGACAAUGCUACUAUCCUUCCACACUUGUGCUUAUUAAGCACCAUGAUCUUCAUGAUUGAGAGUCUCUCGUUUUGUCACCACCAUAUAGCUAGUGGGAAAUUUUCAUUAUAUAACUUGGCUUGUAUAUUCCAAUGAUAGGCUUCCUCAAAAUUGGCUUAGGUCUUCGUGAGUAAGCAAGUUGGAUGCACACCCACUAGUUUUCUGUAAGAGCUUUCACAUACUCUUAGCUCUAGUGCAUCAUUUGUAUGGCAAUCCCUACUCAUUCACAUUGAUGUCUAUUGAUGAGCAUCUCCAUAGCUCAUUGAUAUGCCUAGUUAAUGUGACCAUCUUCUCCUUGCUUGUCUUGCAACCUCCACCACACUCCAUUCCACUUAUAGUGAUAAAACCAUGGCUCACGCUCAUGUAUUGCGUGAGAAUUGAAAAAGUUUGAGAAAGUAAAGGUGUGAAAACAAUUACUUGGCCAAUACCUAGGUUGUGCAUGAUUUAAAUUCGUUGUGCAAGGAUGAUAGAGCAUAGCCAGGCUAUAUGAUUUUGUAGGGAUAACUUUCUUUUGGCCUCGUUAUUUUGAAAGUUCAUGAUUGCCUUGCUAGUUUGCUUGAAGUAUUAUUGUCUCCACGUCAAUAAUAAACUAUUGCUUUGAAUCUAAUGGAUCUGAACAUUCAUGUCACAUAAGUGGAGUUACAAAGGACAUCUAUGCUAGGUAUCAUGAAACCAUCAAAAAUUCAUUCUUUAUCACUUCCAAGAACCCCCAAGGGGUCGGCCGAGCCAAGGGGGGAAGGAUUCCCCUCCCAAACCGAGUCCUACUUGGUUUGGAAGGUGGAGUCCUUCUUCCCUUUCCCACCUCCUCCUUUUUUCCUUUUCUCUUUGAUUUUCUUCCCAAUGUGCAUAGGCCCCUUUUGGGCUGUCCCACCAGCCCACUAAGGGCUCGUGCGGCACCCCCAACACNNNNNNNNNNNNNNNNNNNNNNNNNNNNNNNNNNNNNNNNNNNNNNNNNNNNNNNNNNNNNNNNNNNNNNNNNNNNNNNNNNNNNNNNNNNNNNNNNNNNAGAAGCGUUAGAGAACGCGGUUGAUGUAGUGGAACGUCCUCACGUCCCUCGAUCCGCCCCGCGAACAAUCCCGCGAUCAGUCCCACGAUCUAGUACCGAACGGACGGCACCUCCGCGUUCAGCACACGUACAGCUCGACGAUGAUCUCGGCCUUCUUGAUCCAGCAAGAGAGACGGAGAGGUAGAAGAGUUCUCCGGCAGCGUGACGGCGCUCCGGAGGUUGGUGAUGAUCUUGUCUCAGCAGGGCUCCGCCCGAGCUCCGCAGAAACACGAUCUAGAGGAAAAACUAUGGAGGUAUGUGGUCGGGCAGCCGUGAGAAAGUCGUCUCAAAUCAGCCCUAAAACCUCCGUAUAUAUAGGUGGGAGGGAGGGGAGGAGGCAGCCUCAAAACCUAAAGGUUUGGCCGAAAUUGGAGGUGGAGGAGUCCUACUCCAAUCCUACUUGGAGUAGGAUUCCACCUUCCCACUUGGAAACUCUUUCCACCUUGUGUUUUUUCCUUCUCAAACCUUAUGGGCCUUAGUGGGAACUUAUUCCAGCCCACUAGGGGCUGGUUUAUCUCUUCCCAUAGCCCAUGAGACCCCUUGGGGCGUGACACCCCUCCCGAUGGUCCCCGACACCCCUCCCGGCACUCCCGGUACACUACCGAUGAGCCCGAAACUUUUCCGGUAAUGCACGGAAACCUUCCGGUAACCAAAUGAGGUCAUCCUAUNNNNNNNNNNNNNNNNNNNNNNNNNNNNNNNNNNNNNNNNNNNNNNNNNNNNNNNNNNNNNNNNNNNNNNNNNNNNNNNNNNNNNNNNNNNNNNNNNNNNUGGUCAAGGUUUCCUGGCCAUAGGCAAGUGUUGUCACUUGAUAACGGGAUCACAUCAUUAGGAGAAUCAUGUGAUGGACUAGACCCAAACUAAUAGACAUAGCAUGUUGAUCGUGUCAUUUUGUUGCUACUGUUUUCUGCGUGUCAAGUAUUUAUUCCUAUGACCAUGAGAUCAUAUAACUCACUCACACCGGAGGAAUGCUUUGUGUGUAUCAAACGUCGCAACGUAACUGGGUGACUAUAAAGAUGCUCUACAGGUAUCUCCGAAGGUGUUAGUUGAGUUGGUAUGGAUCAAGACUGGGAUUUGUCACUCCGUGUGACGGAGAGGUAUCUCGGGGCCCACUCGGUAAUACAACAUCACACACAAGCCUUGCAAGCAAUGUAACUUAAUGUAAGUUGCGGGAUCUUGUAUUACGGAACGAGUAAAGAGACUUGCCGGUAAACGAGAUUGAAAUAGGUAUGCGGAUACCGACGAUCGAAUCUCGGGCAAGUAACAUACCGAAGGACAAAGGGAAUGACAUACGGGAUUAUAUGAAUCCUUGGCACUGAGGUUCAAACGAUAAGANNNNNNNNNNNNNNNNNNNNNNNNNNNNNNNNNNNNNNNNNNNNNNNNNNNNNNNNNNNNNNNNNNNNNNNNNNNNNNNNNNNNNNNNNNNNNNNNNNNNUUCGUGCGCGUAGGAAAAUUUUUGUUUCCCAUGCGACAUUCCCCAACAUGUAAUGCGUCCGUGCAUCCAACUUUCUAGUCGGGCCUCGUUUCGUAGAUUUACUCGAUGUGGAGGCCUAAGAGGGAGAAACAUUCGUCAAAUGAAUGUAUAUGUAUACAAUAUAGAGCUAUCUCCAAUAUUUUUCACAUAUUACAAGUGAUUGUCGAACUUCAUAUGUAUACCUCGCCGGACUUUAUUAUUUCUUCACCGGCUUCUCCAUGAGUGGAGCUAUCACCUUCUCUGUCAUUGGACCUAUCUCCUGCCCCAUCGGCUUCAUCUUCGUGUCGCUCGACCUCCAUUCCAUAUCCGGAGUCGUUUAGAUAUGACGACGGAGAUUCAGCUGGUUCAACGUUGGGGCCGUCUUUGAUUAUAUCUUCGAGAAGUUCUUCCUCUUUGAGGUUCCUGAUAUGUGGAUCCAUAGUUCUGCAAAAAACGGACAUUUGAUUAACUAAUAAACUAACAAACUAUAUAAGAGGGGUUGGAAACUUUGAAGUGUCGUUUUAUAUAGGAGAACCUAAACUCUAAAAUACCAGCCGGGCGGAGCCCAGUCCCGGACACUUAAGCAUAUACAAUAGAAAAAUUAAACUAGUUCUAUUAAUUUUCUUGCUAAAAAUAAACUAUGAACACUUAAACAUAUACAAUAGCAAAAUUAAACUAUUAACUCUUAAGCAUAUACAAUAGCAAAAUUAAACAAUAAUCUAAGAAACACUAUUAACACUUCUCCUCUCCUCUUCUUCUAUUUUUCCUCUUCUUCUCCUCUCCUCCUCUUCUUAUUCUCCUUUUUCUUCUUUUCUUCUCCUCCUCUUCUUAUUUUCCUUUUUCCUAAUUCUACAUAUUACUAACCCUAAUAAUCUAGCACAAACCUAAUAACAAUAGGAAUUAAAUGACAAAAAAAAUCUUUUUCUUCCUUUCUUCUCCUUUUUCUUCCUUUCUUCUCCUUUUUCUUCCUUUCUUCCCUUUUUCUUCUUUUCUUCUCCUUUUUCUUCUUUUCUCUCCUUCUCCUUUUUCUUCCUUUCUUCUCCUUUUUCUUCCUUUCUUCUCCUUUUUCUUCUUUUCUUCUCCUUUUUCUUNNNNNNNNNNNNNNNNNNNNNNNNNNNNNNNNNNNNNNNNNNNNNNNNNNNNNNNNNNNNNNNNNNNNNNNNNNNNNNNNNNNNNNNNNNNNNNNNNNNNNNNNNNNNNNNNNNNNNNNNNNNNNNNNNNNNNNNNNNNNNNNNNNNNNNNNNNNNNNNNNNNNNNNNNNNNNNNNNNNNNNNNNNNNNNNNNNNNNNNNNNNNNNNNNNNNNNNNNNNNNNNNNNNNNNNNNNNNNNNNNNNNNNNNNNNNNNNNNNNNNNNNNNNNNNNNNNNNNNNNNNNNNNNNNNNNNNNNNNNNNNNNNNNNNNNNNNNNNNNNNNNNNNNNNNNNNNNNNNNNNNNNNNNNNNNNNNNNNNNNNNNNNNNNNNNNNNNNNNNNNNNNUUCUCCUUUUUCUUCCUUCUUCUCCUUUUUAUUCCUUUCUUCUCCUUUUUCUUCUUUUCUUCUCCUUUUUCUUCUUUGCUUGUGCUGGCCGGAGUGUUGGGGAGGAGGGGGCGUGGGGCUUACCGGCCGGAGGACGGCGGCGCGCGGCGAGGAGGAGGGCGGCGCGCGGCGAGGACGGCAGCGCGCGGCGAGGAGGACGGCGGCGGCGAGCAGGACGACGGCGACGGCGAGGAGGACGGCAGGCGGCGGCGAGCAGGACGGCGGGCAGCCUGACGGCGUCGUCGAGUUCGUCGUUGUGCCGCGCCGGGCAGGAGAACGAGAGGAAGAAGAAGAGAAAUGGACGAUUUGGGUUCAAAAUUUUCUAACUCCCGCUUAUACAGCUGGAUCUUUAGUCCCGGUUCGUGGCUCGAUCCGGGACUAAAGACCCCUUUAGUCCCGGGUGGAUCCACGAGCCGGGACUAAAGGCCCUUUUUCGACAGACCAAAAGGCGGGAAGCAGGGGCCUUUAGUCCCGGUGCGUGGCUCGAACCGGGACUAAAGACACCCCUUUAGUCCCGGGUGGAGCCACGAGCUGGGACGAAAGGUCCUUUUUCGGCAGACCAGAAGGCGGGAAGCAGGGGCCUUUAGUCCCUGGGCGUGGCAAGAACCGGGACUAAAGUGUUGCCUAUAUAAACCCUCGCCCCUGCCCACCAUAUCCCCUGUUUUUUGGUUGUUGAAGUGUGACCAUGCCAUGCUCUUGCCACUCUAGUUCAUGCAUAUGACGUGUUCGAUGAAAUGCCCGAGCCACUCUACUUAAGCUUUCCCCUCUCCAAGCUCUACCUCCAAGCUCCAUUUUCCUUAAUAUUUGUCUAGGUUUGGACGUGCACCAACUGCACAAGUGUUUUAAAAGGUUAGCUACUUCAUCCUUUCAUUUGUCACUUCUAGUGUAGCUCAUUUCAAAUGCUCAAAUUAACUUCUUAGAGUCUGCACAUGCGUAGGGUGUCGUCCCGUGCCCGUCCUCACCAUUGUCGAUCGCCCCGUGCCGAUCUCGUCGCGAGCACCACCGUGGUGAGCCUCUUGUUCUUAUCUUCUUUUUAAAAUAAAAAAAUCUUACUUGUAUGAUUUAGAUACAUACUUGUAUAAAUUACUCACUUCAUUAUUUUUUGUUAUUAUAUAGUGCGAUGGUUUUGGUAUCCGCCUCCGUCGGCCCUCGUCCUGUCUAUGAUUCGGAUGUGGUAUAUAUUAUCUUUUAUAACUAUUUGUUUUAUUUAGUGUUUAUGACAAUUAUGACGACCAAUGUGACAUAUAUAUUUUUAAUCUAGGAGGUAUGUGAACCGGAAAUUCCAACCCACAUAAAAAUUCUUGUCGAGAAGUUAAAUUUAGUUGAAAAAGAAAACAAAUACUUGAAGAAAAAAUUGAAAAUAAUUGAGGAUAAGAAUAUGAAACUCGAGUUGCAUGUCGCCGAUGUCAUCGAUGAUCGCAAGAUGAAGAUCGAUGCGAUGCGGUUGAAGAUGAAUGCAAUGCGCUUGAAGAUGGAUGAAAUGCGCUUGAAGAUUAGGAAUAUUAGAAAAUAUGCCAUUGAUAAAGAGGCUAGGUAUCAUUAUGUUGUUGGGUCAAUUGUUACCUUAGUUGCGAUUUUGAUCGCGUUUGUUGUUGCAUUUAAAUGUUUUACAUAGUUGUAUGUUGUUUUAUGAGAGAACUUUAUGUAUUCAUUUUUUGCAAUGAUAACAUUUGAUCACUACUGUUCUUUGGCUUUAAUGUGAUGAUGAACUUGUAUUAAUUUGGUCAUAUGUUCUGCAAUGGUUUUUUGAGCUAGUUGACCCUGAAAUUGAAAAGCACUACAAAUGAACUCUGAAAAUGUUGAAAGUUUGCAUGCUAUAAUCAUUUCACCCACAUAGCAUGUGUUAAAAAGUUGAGAGGGCUACGACAAAAACUGGAUGCACUUCGUGCACAAAACGGACAAUCUCUCUCGAAGUAUCAGGGUUUCGAACGAGAACUCAUCUUUUACAAAGGGAUUUCAUUNNNNNNNNNNNNNNNNNNNNNNNNNNNNNNNNNNNNNNNNNNNNNNNNNNNNNNNNNNNNNNNNNNNNNNNNNNNNNNNNNNNNNNNNNNNNNNNNNNNNCAAGAUAAAUGCCGACAAGAAGAAAUAUCACCACAAGCUGGGGCCAGGGGGCUAUGAGACUGCCAUCCCAAAGUGGGAUAAGAAAGAGCAAGAUUUGAUAGAUAAAGGCAUCGUACCUGAAACACUCCGUGAUGAGUGGGAAUUGAGAGCAAGAAAUUGGUUCCUUGCGCAUGGUGGGUCGUACGACGAAACAACAGGGGACCUCAUCUGCAAUGACGAUCUUAGGAUACCCAGGGAGAAUUGGAAAAGGAUAGUGAAAGAAAUUAAAGAGGGACAAAGAAAGUUCACUGCAGAUAGAGAUAAAGAUUUGCUCACACUGGUCCUCGGCAAUGACGAACAUGGAGGACGAACGCGAGGCUUCGGUCCUUCUUACCCGUGGUGGCUUGGGUUUGCCAGAGACCAAGACACUUACAGAAGCCGAGAGAGAGCAAAGAAGCGGCAGCAGGAUGAGGAGAAUGACAAGUUCAACCAGUUGCUUGCCAGGAUUAACGAGCAACAGAAGAAGAUUGAUGAGAUUAGAGGAGUACCGCGCCAGGAAGAUCCUGCACUUGAUAUUACCGGCGCCCCAUCUAAGCGGAAAAGCAGCGUGGCUGAAUCUAAGGCCCCGCCCGACGAUGAACGAAGAAUGAUAGAGGGCGGUCCCGGCUACCCCGUGGAUGGAAUCAAGGAGUCAACAUCAUGCGAACUCCAUCAGAAAUUCAAGAACAUAUGCAUGAAGGUAGCCGUCGGACAAGCUUUACCUUCUGGCCCUGAUGCACGCUGGCAUGGCCGUGAGAUUCCAGCUGGCUUUGCUAAAGUCGGGGUGGAUGAAAUCAUGACGGGGUUUAAUGAUAUGGAGCUCGACAUAGCUGGACCCGAAGAUGAGAGGACACUCGGAGAAGUACUGGGUGGAGUCAUCCUAUGGGACAAGAACUACAUCAAGCUUCCAGGCUCGGCCCCAAGGACAACACCGCCUCCGAGUCGUCGCAGGUCACCUACACCUCCAUUACCUCCAAGCCCUCCACAUGAGGUCGGCCAGCACAACACGNNNNNNNNNNNNNNNNNNNNNNNNNNNNNNNNNNNNNNNNNNNNNNNNNNNNNNNNNNNNNNNNNNNNNNNNNNNNNNNNNNNNNNNNNNNNNNNNNNNNUAGGGCGAAUUCAAGUAGUUGCUUAUAGGACAAUCUUCCAACAAAUACAUGAUGUUAGGUUGGGGUUCGACAUCUAGUGGAUUCGUUUGUUCACGGUCGACUUACAGCGGUACACGUUGUGUCUUAAAGAGUCCUUGUAGCUUGCUACGACUCGGGGACGCUUCGUAUGUCGGGUGCACUGCCUUGCACUUGAUGGCUACUUUAAAAUCGAGCCCGUGCGAUCCUCUCCACGAAAAUAUCGGACGAAAUCUUUCUCAUGAGUUUGUUCUGGCUUGUUUCAUAAGCCUCACCCUUUGUUUUGUUGAAAUGUGGUAUUUUGAGUUGCUUCGAUGUCAAGUGGUGAUUUCAGAUCUUUUCUAAGAGGUGUUCUCAUAUUUUUAUGAGAGUAUUAAUUCUUUUCUCAAUCAAUUGUCAUAUCAAUUCUUGUCAACCGGAGUCGUCAUGUUAAUUCUUUUUCAACCUGUGUGUCUCUCUUCAAGUAAUUCUAUCCUUUCCAAUUUUUGCAAGAUCAUUCUCUCAUAUUAUUCCGGAGUUCAUCUCAUCUGUCCCAAGUUGUCUUUAAUUUUCCUCGCCCUCCCACCCUUUUCUUCAGUGAUUCAAUUUUCAUCCAAGAGUUUUCUUUUCAUUGUGCUUCCGCUGUCUUUUCUUUUCUCUCUUACCCGGUGAUUCAUUGUGAUGAUUCUCAGGAGCUUCGUUUUCAUCUUUUUUCAGUCUUGUUAUCUUUUCCGGUGAAUUCAAUUCAGUUAUCCGUGGUCAUCAUAUCCUUUUCAUCCUUGUAAAUUCUUUCCCAUGUUGGAGUUUCUUGUCAGCCUAUCAUGUUGUUCAUUUCUCUCUAGUCUACCCGGAGUGCUGAAGUUAUCUCAGAAAUUCUUGUUUUCAAUUCUUUCAUUUAUUUCAAGGUGCUAACCUCAUCUAGUUUUCUUUAUACCGGUGCAAUAUCUCUCUUUCUAGCAAUUUUUCUAACGGUGGUUUCUUUGAGUGGGCCCAUAACCCACAGGUUCUUUCCCAGGAUCUUAUCUGGCUUUUGUAAUCUUUCCCGGAGACCACUAUAUCUUUUCAACUCUGACGUAAGUAUGAAUUUCAUCAGUCAUAUCCCUUCUUCAAGAUCUUUUGGAGUUCAUUCUAAUAUUUGGCUCAACCUUUCAUUAUAAUUUAUUCCGGAGUAUCUCAGUUAUUCUUGGUGGUGUUCUCCUCAUCAUUUCAGUUUUGAAGAUCGAAGGAGUGUUUCUCUCAAUCUUGGUUCAUUCUCUUGGAGAUAAAUCAUUUCAGCUUGGUGCCAUCAUCUUAAUUGUUCCAAUCAUGAGUAAUCCCUUUCUUGCGAUCCGGUGCAUUUCUGAGUUAUUUUUAUUUCUCGAUCCUCCGAAGGCCAUCAUCUAGAAGAUUCUUCGUUCUUAGCUUUCAGCUUUCAUCCUCAAUUCUUCUCAAUUGUUGUCUCUUCGUUCGUCUCUCGAUUAUCCGGUGCCUUGUUCAAGUUUUUUUAUCUUGUGGCUUAUGAUCCCUUCAUUCUCUUGUUUCUCCAUUAAUUCGUGGUGUUCCCUUUCAAUUAUGAAUUCUUACCGGCACUUCCUUCAAUUAUGCUUCAAAUGGUGCUUAUCUCUCUGUCUCUUCAAGAUCAUUUCAAGAAGAAUAAGUUGCAUGCUAAAUCCGUUGCUUGUCAUCAAUUUAACUUGAUGAAGGAUAAGCAUAACAUAAAUCUUAUUCUUGUUCUUAGUAAUCUGAAUUCUUCUUCCGGAGGGCUCAUGAUAUCAAUUCCUUUUUCUCAAGUAUGCUUAUCUUUUCUUUUCCUGAGUUCCAAGUUUUCUCAAGUAUCUCUUUGUGAGGCUUCAUCUAAAUCUUGGCAAGGCUUCAAUCUUAUUCUUUCAUCCUUCUUAUCUUUGCAUCGUCCUUUUCAUACAGAGGCUCGUCAUGGUGAUUCUUCAAGGAUGUGAUUUUUCUCAAAGUGUUCUUCAAAAUUCCUCUUGGAGUACCUCAAGUAUUCUUUCUCUUCCAUUUUAGUGCAUUGUCCUUUCUUUAUCCUUUGAGGUGGUAUUAUAGCCUUCUUGUUAGUGUAGGAGCCUCGAAGAGUUUUCCUUUCAAGAAUGAGAUAAUUAAACCCACCAAUUCUUUGAUCAUGAAAUAUUUCAAUCAUGGUUUCUUCAUUGAGCUAUCUUGGUUUGGAUGUCAUCUAAAGCUUUUCCUAUGGGUUGUCGCUAUCAUGGUGCUUGUCAUUAAUCCAAGUUCUCAAUGUAUCCUCUUGGUGUAAGAUUGUUCAUAUCUUGUUUCUCCCAACCUAUCCUUGUUUCUUUUAGUGGUUGUUUGUCACCUCAUAUUUGUUGAGAUGAUUUUCAUAAGCCCACUACUAUCUUGUUCUUUUUGUUGUUGGUUUUCCAACUACUCCGUCAAUUCUCUAUCCGGAGGCUCUUCAAUUCUAUCGUGAUGAUAGUUGUCAUUUCUUUCUUUAUUCUCUUCUUCCGUAUGUGCUAGUUCAUAUUCUAUUGUUCUGGAGGCAUUGUGAUAUCGCUCUUUUGGGUCUAUCUUGUUGUUCUAUCAAGAUCAUGGUGUUCCCUUGCUCUAUUUACUUGUUUGUCGUGAAUAUUGUCUAAUUCUCCUACCUUUUCGAAUUUUUUGUCCCAUUUUCCUAUCGAAGUGCUGCCGAAAUUUUCUGUGAAUUCUUGCUUCUUUCUCAUAUCAUUCCUCAUCUCUUUGCAACCUUCAAGGAUUGUUGGUGUCACUCGUUUCUCAAAGAAGCAACUAAGUUUUACCUUUUGCUUUUCUCAUCCUCUCCCCCUUUCAUUCUUGGAUCUCGGGGCGAGAUCCUCUUGUAGUGUAGGAGAGUUGUGACAGCCCGACACCGACGCUCCAGAAGAUUCCCCUUUUAAUUCGUUGUCGUGGUGUGUUUUAUUUUGUUUUUUGCACUCUUCACGCAUCAUGCAUCAUCUCCAUCAUCUCUGUUGUGAUUGCUUCCCUUAUUGUGUUCAUGUUUUUUUUCUUCUUCUGCUACUCCUAGCCACUCCUUGACCCUUCAUCUUUUUCCUAUUCUCAACUUAUUUCAAUCCAUUGCAUCCUCUUGUUUCAUACCAUCUUCAUUUUUGUUCUCAUGCACAAUGCUUUGCCCUACCUCCCAAAUUCUCUAUGCCACUUCCUCCUAGUCGUUUUCUUUUUUUAGUUGCCAAUAUUAUCUGCCCAAAUAAAUGUUCCUAUUGUGCCCAUAAAUCAUAUGUAUUAUGUAGGGUCACCCUCUGAAAUUGCAAGCCAUUCGGAUUUGGUUUGGUUGGGUUUUAAAAUCAGAUCAGUUGGAAUUAAAUUCAAACUUGUUUGAAUUUAUAGUCUGUAAAAUUCCUCCAACCAUUUUUAGAAUUUUCCGCAUUUUUUUCUGGUUCCAAGGAAAAUAUUUAUCUCUAUCUAUUUUCCCAACUGUACCUUUUUUUUCUUCUCAAGCUUCUAUUUUAUUUGAAUAGAAAAGAGAGAAUAUUUUGAGAUAGAGGAAGAAGUUGGCCCAACCACUAACCUGUAGACAACCUUCAAGCCCAAGCCCACCUCUCCUCCUUCUCCUACCUAUGUCACCUCUGUACGAACCCUCUGGCCACCAUAGAUCGCUUCUCUCCUCCAUCAGACGGCCACCAGAGCCCCCUCCCCACCUAUUUAGCCCAUGCCUGCGGCCUAGGGUUCUCCUCUACCCUUUUUCCUCCUCCUAUCCCUCCUAGCGCCGUCGGGGCGAGCCACUCGAUGCCGUCAACGCCAUGGACGGGCUGUGGUGAGCUCGACGCCGGCAGCUGUUCAUCGCCCUUCGUCUUCUUCGUCAGCACCAUAAGCACGCGGGGGCCAUGGGAGAUCCAUUCCCGCAGCAACCGGACACCGAGGCCGAUGCACGACGCCCCGACGACGAGCAUCUUCUUCACCUCCGGCGAUCUGUUCUGCGGAGUACCUCGACGUCGCAUGUUCCUUUCCUGCGCCGACUCUCCUCUCCGCCUCGUGGUGAGCAGACGAAGCCUCGUCCCCUCUCCUCUGUCCGAAGUAUCACGUAGCUGCGUCGCCAGCGUGUCGCCUUGCCGCGCGGCUCUGUAGAGCAGAGCAGCGGAGGUAGCUAGUAGCGGCAAGUAGCAGUAGAAGCCGCAUCAUGCACCUAGCAGUAGCAGCGCCACAGCAUCCGCAACAUGCAGUGGCAGUAGCAGCGAGCGAGCAGUGCAUUCGCGCGCGUGUAGAGCAGCUCGUACGUCGCGUGCGUCGCCGGAGUCGCUCAUCCGUGCGUGUCUCUGUUGCGAUGCAGCUAGCCCCCUGUCUUGCGUUCAACUAGCGUAGAUCCCCCAGUUCAAGGAAACGCCCCACGGUAGCCCAGUGGCAAUAGAGCGUGCGUUGCACCGCAGCGUCCUGGGUUCGAUCCCCAGCGUGCCCCUUUUUCUUUUCUGGGGUUUUUCCCAUCGGCGCUCUUCGAGUAAUUAACUUAGGGAAGUUUCCUCCCGUAGUAGAGCAGUGUUCUGAUCCCUAGCAAGCUGGUUCGACCGAGCUAUGGCGACUGUGAGGUCCUGGGUUCGAGUUCCCAUGUCGCCCUUUUUUUACUGUUUUAUAUUUCCUGUUGUGAAUAGGGAGUUAGUCAUUGUAUGUCUGCAUAUCUUCCCAUACUAGUUCAGCUGCAUGUGGCUAGCCCACUGGUGGUGGCCGUGCACUCCACCAGGGAGAUGGUGGGUUCGACUCCCACCUCUCUCAUAUUUUCCUUUUUAUGUGUUGUGACUUGUGUGUGCCACUGACAGGUGGUCCCAGGGCCCUGGUGACUAUGACCAGUAGGCCCCCUGUCAGUUUACAUUUUAGUGGUGAUGGAGUAUAUUUGUGACUUGUGUGAAAUAUCCUUGUUUGGAGUAAUUCCAGAAAUGGAAUGGCCUGAUCUGGUAUAUCCCAAAUUGGGCAGGCUCAGGAACAGCUCAUGUUCUUGACUAUGCUGUAGUUUGAUCCUGUGUUAUUUUUCUUUUGUUGUUUGUGGUGUUUUUCUGCAUGUAACAUGGGCAGUAUGAUAUAUGGAUUUGGGGUAGCAGAACCCAAUGAAUCCAAUGGUGACACUGGAUUCCAGUUAUGAGCAGUUAUGCAGAAGUGUCACUUUGUGUUGAGGUGGCACUUGUUGACCUCGUAGGUUGGUGUAAGUGCAUAGUUAGGGAUUGAGCAUACAUGCAUCAUUUUAGUUAGUGCUUCCUGUUGUGCAUGUCUCUUGAAUGUAGCUCCGUUCUUUGUUCCACGUGUUAACCGACUAGGAUGACAUGUAGAAUCACCGCUUCACCUCUUGCCAUGUUUAACCACAUUUAAUAGUGUCGUGUAUCUAAUCGGGAUAGAACUAAAUAACUCGUAUGUGGAGUUUCGUCAAUAUGCAACUCGUUGCAUAUUGAACUUCACUUAAUGUGUAGUGUUUGAUUGUGUGAUUUGUCAUGUCGUGACUUGCAUGUAUUCAACUGCUCAUGCAUCAUAUGUGUUGUGCAUCGUGUGGUGAAUUCCGUGUGUUGAUUUGUGUUUCCGGUUUGCUUCGUUCCGAUAGAGUUCCGCAAGCGUGUCGGAAUGUGAGGAGCCGUUCGACUACGUCAGUUCGUCUGCUUCACGGAGGCAUUCUUCUUCCAAGAGGGAUCUCAGGCAAGAUGAUCAUUUCCCCAGAUACCAUUACUAUCAUUGCCAUGCUAGUUAUUUCGAUGCUGUCGAUUAUGUCUCGUUGCCUACCACAUGUUAAAUAUCAGCCUCUCAACAAUGCCAUGUUAACCAUCAACCUGUUCAACCUAGCAAACCACUGAUUGGCUAUGUUACUGCUUGCUUAACCCUGUUGUUAGCGUUGCUAGUUGCAGGUGCAGUUGCUUCCAUGUGAAACAUGGGUUCCUUGUUAUAUCACCAUAUUAAAUGCUAUUUAAUUUAAUGCACCUAUAUACUUGAUAAAAGGUGGAAGGCUCGGCCUUUCUAGCCUGGUGUUUUGUUCCACCUUUGCCCCUCUUAGUUUCCGGCUACCGGUGUUUUGUUCCAUAAAUGAGCGCUCCUAACACGAUCGGGGUUGUUAUGGGGACCCCCUUGAUAAUUCGUUUUAGAUUAAAGCUGGUCUAGCAAGGCCCAACUUUGGUACCACAUUUGCCUAAUAACCUAAUAAUGCAUAGGGACCCGCCGGCACCCGCGGACUAUUUUAAUCAACCCCCGGGCCAGUGCUCCUCGUGAGUGUUGGCCCCACCUGAGCGAUGUCCGGCGCCCCUCUGGUCACCCGGAGGUUUAGCGAUCUCAACGUCUAGCUCAUCCGCCGUGUCCUGAGAACGAGGUACACGACUCCUAUCGGGAUCGUCGACACGUCGGGCGGCCUUGUUGGAUUAGUUUUACAUUUGACGAGAUAUCUUGUGCAUCGGGAUUCCGGUGAUGCUUUGGGUAAUCUCAUAGUUGAGGUUUUCCACUAGGGAAUCCGACGAGAUCGCGAGUCCGGCGCCCCUCUGGUCACCCGGUGAUGCUUUGUCGUUUGUUUUCGUCCGUAGUCGGACCCUGCUCUUACUCUUGACGAUUAUGUAAUGUACUGAUGUGACUCUGAUGUAGCUUGUGGCGAGUGUAAGCCAACUCUUUAUAUAUCUCAUCUUUUCAGUACAUGUACUUGUAACGAUAUCCAUUCUUGCGACACGACGAGAUGCGCUUCUAUCUCUGGUGAGGCCCUCGUGCCAAAUUGAGGAUAGGGUCGCAUCUUGGGCGUGACAUCAACUUUCCGGUCGGUCACCCAUCCUAGCACUACUCCAAGAUGAGCACGCUUAACCUGGGAGUUAUGUUCGAAUGGGCUCCCGGAAAAGAAGGAAUUACUUAUUAAUAUGAGUAGUUUAUCAUCCCUAAUAAGUCAGGCUAUCACAUACACCACCACUCGGAGGAACCGACGUCCUCGUCGGGCCACAGGAGCGUUCACCCGCCGCGACUCCUGGCGAGAUCUAGACUGGCCCCACAUAUCAAUACUAGUCCUUUUUGCGCACUUUGUCCUCACUAAUGCGCACCCGGGAUCAACUUCCCGGUCGGUCACCCAUCCUAUCACUACUCCAAGCCGAGCACGCUUAACCUGGGAGUUCUGUUCGAAUAGGCUCCCGGAAAAGAAGGAAUUCCUUAUUAAUAUGAUUAGUCUAUCAUCCCUAAUAAGUCAGGCUAUCAUAGUACCACACUGGAAUUGUUGCAAUGGAAGGCCAAGAAUGGUCUAUCUGACAAGGGAUUUCAGAAGCUACUGAAAAUAAUGAAGAACAAGCUUCCAAAGGAUUGCGUGACGGUACAUACGAAGCAGUGGCGGAGCUAGGCCAUCAAUGCAGCCUGGGCAAAGUACAAAGGGGGUGUGCUUAAUGAGCAUCUGCCCACAAAAACUAGUGAUUAAUUAUCAAUUCUUACUAUUAGCUAGUGGAAGUAUUUCGGCACAGCCCGGACAGCUGCCCAGGGUCGCCGGGAGGUGGCUCCGCCACUGAUACGAAGCAAAGAAGGUUCUCUACCCUCUAGGAUUAGAGGUGCGGAAGAUACAUGCAUGCCCAAAUGACUGCAUCCUCUACCAUGGCGAGGAGUACGAGAAUUUGAAUGCAUGUCUGGUAUGCGGUGCAUUGCGGUAUAAGAUCAGAUGAGAUGACCCUGGUGAUGUUGAGGGCCAGCGCCAGAGGAAGAGGAUUCCUUACAAGGUGAUGUGGUAUGCUCCUAUAAUACCAUGGUUGAAACGUUUGUUCAGAAAUAAAGAGCAUGUCAAGUUGUUGCAAUGGCACUAAGAAGAUCGUAAGAAAGACGGGAUGUUGAGAGUACUCGCUGAUGGGUCGCAGUGGAGAAAAAUCGAGGGAAAGCGGCCGAAGUUUGCAGAUGACGCAAGGAACUUAUGGUUUGGUUUAAGUGCAAAGCAGCAACCACAGCAGCUGGCGGUGAUUCUAUGUAUCUAUAACCUUCCUCCUUGGUUGUGCACGAAGCGGAAGUUUAUUAUGACGCCGGUGCUCAUCCAAGGCCCUAAGCAACCCGGCAACGACAUUGAUGUGCACCUAAGGUCAUUAGUUGAAGAACUUUUAUAGCUGUGGGAUACCAAAGGUGUACGUGUAUGAGAGGAGGACAAACAGCAGGAAUUUGACCUACGAGCGUUGCUGUUUGUAACCAUCAAUGAUUGGUCUGCUCUUAGUAACCUUUCAGGACAUACAAACAACGGAUAAAAUGCUUGUGCGCACCGUUUAGAUGAGACUGAAAGUAUAUAUUCUAAGAAACAACGUCUCGCAGGUUCUGACGCGUGGCUGCCUUUUAGUCUCGGUCGGUGUUACCAACCGGGACUAAAGGUCCCCUUGCCUGGGUGCCCUACGACGACCACGUGGAUCCCCUUUAGACCCGGUUCGUGGCGCAACCGGGACAAAAAGUUGGGACCUUUUUUCCCGAUUGCAGAAUCGGGACUAAAGGCACUUAGAAACCGGGACUAAUGCCCUGUUUUCUACUAGUGCCCGUUUUUCUUUCUUUUUGAGGUGUGACGAUCCCCCGGCAUAAAGUUAUGAUCGAGCAGCGUGGGAUCGAGCAACGGCCUGCCUCGCGGAUGCCAGCGGCCCCAGACCUAUGAACAACAUUUAUUUUUGAGUAAUACAUACCAGGCAUAUAAAAAUAUGGGGCCCCUAAAAUUUAUGGCCCUCUGCACGCUGUACAGUUUGCACACCUAUGGGUCCGGCCCUGUCUGGCGGCGGCGAGGGAGUGGGUAGAGGGAGGAGACCCCGGCUGUGGUGGUUGGUUUCUCGUCCCGGUCACCUUUUGGAGUGACUCGAGAGGGAGGAGCGGCCCUACGGCCCUCAUACUAGUAUGAACUAUCAAGUAUUACAAUCACAACUCGAAGUUUCAUACCAUGUCAGUGUUGUUACGGUGGCCAAUUCAGCACCACAAUCACCCAAAUGAUGGCCAAAGCUAAAAACAUCAUCGGGAGCUCUUCGUCGCUGCUCGCUCUACCUCCAUCACCAACUGGCAAAUGUGAGCUUCCGCCAUCGGCCAAGGCAGCAGCAACACAACGGCACAGAUAAAGAAGACAAAGACGUCGCUUGUCUCGAUGUCUUCCCCUCGACCUCCCGAGGCGCCGACACCUACCCCUCGGCCUCGUGUAGCUGUGCCACCACCCCCUCCACCUCUGAGGACCAAAGAGGAUCCUGAUUCAGACGAGACAAGGAGUGAGGCCGACAAGCUCGAAGAAAUGCCCACGUGUACUUUUUUCCUUUUCUUUAUUUUUGUUUUGUAAUUGCUCAAAUAAAUGAUGCAUGAUGUGAUCCUAAUUGACAGGUUUUUCCUCUGCUAUUAUUGCGAGGAAUUGAAUAAUCAUCCAGACUAUUUUAUGGAACAACUGAACACAAUCCACACAUUUGGCCUCGACAACAUUGCCAUGCCCAUGACUUAUAGUCAAGAGAUGAUGGGAAAAUUAAACAAGCCACACACUCAGGUGCCAUUUGGCAUAAAUUAUGAUUAUGUUUUAGUUAUUUGUUUGACUCGAUGAAGUUUACUUAUGCUCGUAGUUGAAUUAUAUGAUGUGGUGCAUUUGUAUUGUUUCUGUUUGUAUUGAAAUUUUGUGCGUUUGUUUGAACUGUUUGCGCAAAUGUCUCGAUGAAUUGGCAAAAGGAAAAUUUUGGAGAGAUCCACUAGAUGGAGAAAGGUUUAAUCCCUAACAAAUAGUAGCUUUUUAGAGGAUGGGGGAUUAAAUUAUAGGGGAUCUGCUACAAAUGCUGUAAUGUUGGAUGUAAUGCCUUUGUUUAAAAAGCCAUGACGACGUUAGUAGCUAGUCACCGAGAGUGAGCGUUACUAUAGGUGUGACGAUUUCGAGAAUUUCUCUUUGGUCAAACACUCUUUGUAAUUCGAACCUGGAGUUGUAUUAUCGUUCAUACUAUGUAUGGCUUCCUCUUCAACAAUACUAUCUUCUAUAGUGCAGACAUGACAUUGUUGAGUACGCUUUGUGUUCAGAUAGAUGGAGUCAAGUAUACCAUGUGAUUGUUUAGUAAGCAGUUAUAGCACUCGCUGACAUGUUGUACUAGGACAAUUAACAUGAACUAAUAUUUAAUGUAGAUGAUUUUCAUCCGGUGAGUAAAGUCAUACCUACUUGUGACAUAUCAUGCAUUCUUUCUCUCUACAUAUGCCCGACGAAUGAUGCCAUAUAAUGAGUGGCCCGUGUAGUGAAGCUAACAAAGAUGUAACAUAUUACUCUCUCGUAUUGGAUUUUGCAUCCACCCUCACCAAAGUAUCACAUCUUUGAGGGGGGAAAGAAACUCGGCAAUGGAAAUACCUUCGGGAUGAGAGACGUUGGGAAAAUAGUUCAACCUAGCCAAUAUUUUGUAGUAUGAUAAUUUGGCUUUAGGCUUAAAUCUGGCAAGUUUGCUGCACUAGGUUAAUCUUGCGACUUGUGUACGUUUUCCUUUGAUAUCGAUGAGUACACUCCACUCCUGCAUCUGGUGGCUUUCUGGAGGGGUGGCCUGCUGCAAGCUGACAAUGAACAGGCCGGGCUUGAGCUCGAAACAGUGACCCCUUCCUUGAUGUCCGUAUCGUGUGGGCUAACUAGUGGAAGGAGAACAGCAGGUGCAAGUUCCUAAGUCCUCCAAGAUGGCUGCUUGCCUAAGCUCAAGACCACGGAUAAGGAACCAUCUCCACUUUACUAGAGGAACCGUGCAUGCUUAUUUAGCUAUUUAAGGAUUAUAACAUUUCGAUUUGGAUAGAACCUCAGGACCAUUUGGAUGAGGUAGGUUGCCUAAGCUAAACCAGGAUUUGAAUCCACGUCGUCCUACCAAAAACAUGCUUCCAAUAGGAAAAUAUCAAAAGAACAAAAUGAAUUCACUCAUAUGUUGAUUUUGCAAAUGAGAAUUUCACUGCAGCAACAACAAAAUAACCAGUCCAACGGUAACACACAAGCAUUCUAUUUGUUUCACACUUUCAAAGUAACAAAAAAUACAACGCCUACAGAAGUAAUAUAUAUAAUGCAUGUUUCCUACAAAGCAUCAUUGGCUGAUCCAUGUACAGAUACAGAAUACCAAGAGAGACAUCAGGCUCCGUAGACACUCUGCCAGAACAAAGGCAGGUCGGUUCAGAACCUGGAAGAAAGAUUGGAUCCAAGAAUUGUAAAUAACAAAAGAAGGAAGUUGUAAUUUUUCGCUUUAAAGUAACACAUCAGAGCCAGCGGAGAGUGAAUGAACAUACAACAGAACUUGGAGCAGCAACAAGACCUUGUGUUCCAACAUGGUUUGUGAGUGUAGAUAUACAUGACAGUGGAGUUCCCAUCUUAUUAGAAUUAUGCUGCUAUUGGAAUAGUGCAAUCUUGAUGAACUAUCUAACAUUCUACUAUUGUAGUUCUCAUCAUUAUUCUGUCGCAGUAAACCCAAAGUAGAGGCAAUGAUCAACUAGAUAUGGAAAUAUACUAAUGCCCUGUAGGCCGCUUAUAACAGGAACUCUGGAACAAUAGCAAAAAGAAACGAAUCUGUCUCUUCCCAGAACAAAAAACUGCAAGAGGACAACAUAGUUAACCAAAGCCCUAAAGCUUGACAAACAAAUCUUUAUGCACUGGAUUGUGAAAUUUACAAGGCUGUACGGAGUUGUAUGGCACAAAUUACUAGCCUGGGUACCAGUGCCUUCAUCAAAGAUGGAUAAGGACAUAUGCGUUCAUCUCAAACUGAAAUAAUCAAAAUAUAUGUAGCCAAAGGACAAUUAAAGUGAGCCCUCUAGCUGUAUUCUUGUGUGGACCUGCUAGACCAAGUUUGUCCAUAUAGUGGCACAUUUGAAUCAGAUAGAUUUCUCAACGCCAGCUAAGCUUGGCUAGUGAUGAACUGAUGACCUCCAUCAGAUACAAGCUAGUCUGAAGUAUUUCAACUGCAGCUCAAACUAAGUGGCCUAUUAGGGCAUCGUCCAAUAGGAAUGUUGUUACUUAUAAGUUAUAAAUGUCUUAAGCGCAAUAGCAGAGUCAACCAAACCAGCAGGAACCAAAGUGUAAUUGUUUGUCGAGAACAGCAACUUCCAUUAGUCAGUAAGUUCAGCAAACACCUAGGGAGACAAUCACAUCAGAGACUGGGGCUGCAAAGAAUGACCAGCCAGAUCAGAACGAAUCUACUCUGGGACUGGGAGCAUAGCUAGCGCAGCAUAGCACAUCAUCCAAAGUACUAUGGGAAUGUUAGAACUUAUAAUAGCACAAUCUGCCAAUCCAGCAUGAACAGCGAUGAACUUAUAAUGUUUUGUCAGCAAAUUGUACAGUAAAGAGAACAGCAAUUCCCCUUAUUCAGCAAGCGUUCAGAGACACACAGAGAGGAGAGGACUGACCUCCGACCUCCCCUGAUCAGAGCCUGGAGGCGAAGUGCCUGCUCUUCUCCUCGUCGCUCUCGACGGCGAUCCCAACGGCCCUGCACGCAUCGGGGAACAUGGACAUCCUAAUGGACGCGUACACGGCGCCGUCCCACUUCCUGGCGGCGAGCUGCUCAGCGAGCUUGAGGGCGUCGGCGGCUGUCUCGGGCGCGCCGGGGCAGACGACGUCGACGACGCCCAUCUCCUUGGCCUCGGGCGCGCGGAGCUUCUUGCCCCUGAGCACGACGUCCCGCAGCGCGUGCGCCUGGGAGAUCUUGGCGCGGAGCACGUGCACGAAGUAGGGCGGGAGGGGGAGGCCGAUGUCGACCUCGCUCAUGUAGAGCACGCCGCGGUCGGCGCGCAUGAGGCGGUAGUCGUGGCAGAGCGCGAGGAGGAAGCCGCCCGCGGAGGCGUGGCCCGUGACGGCGGCGACGGUGGGCAUGGGGAGGGCGAGCAGGUCGGCGGCGACGGGGCGGAGCGCGUCGACGAGCUCCCCGAGCCGCGCGCGGGAGGCGCCCGCCCACCCGAUGUCGAGCCCGUUGGAGAAGAAGCGGCCCUCGGCGACGGUGACCAGGGCCGCCCCCGGGCCCUGGGGCUGGGCCUGGGCCGCCGCGAGGACGGAGGCCAGCGCGGAGCGGAUGGAGGCGAUGAGCGGGUGGCCCAGCCGGUGCUCGCCGUCGCCCGUGAGGGUGAGGACGAACACGCGGCCGCGCUGCUCCAGCGUGCACAUCGUCGCCGGUCGCUGUGGCCUGUGGGUGGUUUGGGUUUGGGGGGCGUGGACUCGGGUGGUGGUUGGUGAGUGGUGACUGUCGUGCCGUGCGGUAGUUACCUUGCCGUGACACUGAGUUGCGUGCGGAUUUAACGCUGGGCAGCGGAGAGCUCGACGUGCGCCCGUGUCACUGUCGCCUUCCCUUUCGGCCGAGGAAUUUCGCCGCGGCUGUCGCAGAGUUUAGCGGAGAGGGGUUGGAAUCUCAGGCGGCCGACGAACGCACCAACGGAAUGGUGGAAGAAGAUAAGCCGGAGUGACGGGAGCUGUGUCGUCAGGCCCGAUCCGCGAUCGCGAUGCAGGAUCCGUUAUAAUUCUCCAGCUGCGAUUCUAGGUCCGGACGGGUCCUGCCGGACUGUAUAUGGUCCUGUGUACACACCACUAAUGGUGUACGGGCACUACUGCCUACCGCCAGUGUCCGGUCCAGCUUCGGGUCCACAUUGCAUUUCAUCAAUCCAACGGCGGCAAUGAUAACCCAGGACCCAGGUUACAUCACCAGCCUGACAGCGCAAUUUCUUUCAAAAGAAAAAGACCUGACAACACAAUUUAUUUAAAAAAAAAAAAAACCUGACAGCGUAAUUACCAUCGUUGCAAACUUGUAAUCGCAAUAUAUACAAGCUGAUGGUAAAGACUCCAGGAGGAAUCACAAAACUUGUCUACGCAACAACGACAGACAAAACAAAACACAAUAGGCAUAGUUCAAACUUGCAUUGGUUCACAUAAGAUGGCAUCGUUUGUUUGUUUGUUUGUUUACAGCAGGUGAAAUAGGGCGGGCAAACAACAUACCAAAUGAAUUUGGACUUGCUGAACCUCCAUCUCAGGUACAAAAUGGAACUAGUCUACUUUUGUACUGUUAGCUUCCCAAGCGUAAUAUAGCUUUUGCCAAUACAGACCAUCAAUCAAUUCUCACGGUCAAGAUUCAAGUGUACCAGUUUCGACUUUCACCACAUUGCCGACUCUCUCCAUGCAAAUAUUAUCAACCUAACUGUGAUAACACUUCUGAGCCAUGCAAUGUGUUGCGCCUUCUCUGACAUGACCCCACGCGGAUGCUCAGGCAGGCAACUCGAGCUUCACGUUGUUCUUCCAACUGCAAUGGUCGACCCAGACUUGUCAGUGGCUGAGGAACAUGUGUAUGAGAAAUGUGUGCCGUGAAAUAACACUAUGCAUUUUACCUUAAGAAAUAGUAGUAGAAGAAAUCAGCAUAUAGACCGGUUUGGACCAAACCAGCAAUCCAAGCUGAAAGAAAAAAGAGAAUCAGUAAAUGGUACUUGAGGUAAAACGUGGCACAUGAAACCUCAGUACAAAAGAAAAGAUUUGGACUCACGGAUCCAUCUGCUUUGGUGGCCCUCCGUGAAAUAACGGUAAAUCCAGUUUAGAAUGUAGAAUGCACGGUAGGCGCUGCAAAACAAGUAUAGUUGUAGUUGAAACAGAGAAAAAUAACUGGACAUGCAGGGACAUGAGUUUUAUUCAGAAGAAUUAUGUUCAUGCCCCUCGCGUAGAUGCCUGGAGUCAAUCAGUUAUUUCAAGACUGAAAAUCAUUUCUGCACAAAUUCACAGGUCUAAUUCAAGUCUAGCUACAAAAUACUAUGUCACAAAUUCACAGGUCUAACUCAAGUAUAGCUACAAUAUACUAUGUACUCACUCUGUUCCCAAACAUAAGGUGUAUUAAUUUUUUCAGAAGUCAUACUUCUCUAUGUUUGACCAGAUUUAUAUUUAAAAUAUAUACAUAUCUUCUAAAAUAUAAAAUAAAUAAAACAUGAAAAUAUAUUUCAAGAUGAAUCUUAAUGAUAAUGAUUUGGUAUGUAGAUAUUGAUAAAUUUCUCAAUGAACUUGGUCAAACAUAUAGAAGCUUGACUUUUCAGAUAACUAAUAAGCCUUAUAUUUUGGAAUGGAGGGAGUAAUAUGCUAAGCUUAAUGUAACCAACAUGGAUACAACUAACUAAACUUGGAAGUUUCAGUUCAAGAUUGACCUAGGUCUAACCAAAUGAACCCCAAAAACUAACUAAGAAUGGAUGCACCAAUUGAAGUGUGCUCUUAUUUAACUCCAAUGUAAUCAAUAGUUCAAAAUAAUUCAUGUUCAACUUGAACAAUUUAAAUUAAAUAUCCUGUAAGCAUUCAGGGUUAUAUUUCUAGAGCACUUCAACACUUGAUUGCACAUAAUCUGACUAUCAAUUGAAACAGCUAAAAAAAGCUACUCCCUCCAUUCACAAAUAUAAGAUGUUUUGGACAUUUCAAUAUGGACUACAUACGGACUGAAAUGAGUAGCGAACACAAUAAAACAUGUAUGUAUACAUUCGAUUCAGAAAAAAAUCAGAACAUCUUAUAUUUGUGAACGGAUGGAGUAUUAAAUUUGUCCUAUUUAGGUGAAAAAUCUAACACUUGAUGGUUUUAGACCUUAUACAUAAUAUCUUUAUGAACAUAUAGGAUACAACAGAAAUUAUAUGAAUCAUGAGAUGAAAACUGGUUUCAUUAGUAAAAGAUAAGCUUAUUUGGCAUAGAGUAAAUUCAUACCCAAGAAAGAGAACAUAUUGUCCAGUCAAGUUAUCCACAUUUCUGCUUCUCUGGAGUAGAACUAACUGUGGUAGAAUCGCCACUGCCUCCAGGUAAAUCGAAAACGCCCAGCAUAUCUGUACAAUUACAAUACUUUAUGAGAAGUUCAGGCGCCACAAAUAAUGAAUUACUAGAACAGUUUGGUCUCAUUCACUACUGUGCUAGUACUAAUUACUCACAAGAACAAUGGUAACGUGUUUGUAAGAAAAGAUGGUCACUUGCAAAUAAGAUAAGCCGUAGCACACAAGCAAACAUACAAAGGAAUGGGGUAAACUGAAUUUUACCAACACAAGAAGAACUGCUGACUAAUGCACAUUGUGGAGGGCGGCGUAAAGAAUUGCUAAUGCUUUGAAGUUUCAAAUGCAGUACAUAAAAAUGGAUGUUCUCUGUUGUUUAUUUAGCAUAUAUGUACCUAGUGUAACAGACUGUUCUAGUGUAAGUCAAUUUUUCUAGCGUAACAGAUCAUUUUGUUAAGUAAGUAGAUUGAAACGCUAAUUGACAUGAUUAUUCUGGAAUUUGGCAGAUCAAACUGCAAAAUGGGUUUAGCAAUGUGGCCGCACUGGUCACACUCAGCUGGAUCUGUAAUUGACAGUGUACACUACCAGCCAAUUUCUCACACACAAAAUGUGAGCCUGGAGGCAACCUACCAGCUACUGCAGCAAAACACAAAUCUCUUAUAGCGCACAGAUUUAGCAAAUUUGCAGAUCUCGCAACAUUAACUAUUCCGAAAGACAACGAUCGAACAAUGCAAGGCAGAGUCAGAGAGAUGAGGCCACAUCACCUCGCGCAAGGUGAAGCGCUCGUUGAAGAUCAGGGCGAGCGCGAAGGCUGCGGCGACGAGGAAGACGUGGCGGAAGGUGUCCUGGUCGCGGUCGUAGGUGCGGCGCACCUGCGGGUGUCGGCGCAUGUACCAGACGAUGGCGGCGGAGGUGGUGAUGAAGACGAUCUUCAUGACGGAGUUGUAGAGCGAGAUGUAGUCGGUGAAGAGGUCCAGGUACCGCGCGACGAACACCGCCAGGUACAGCUCCUGCGUCUUCCUCGACACCCCUGCGGCGGCGGCGGCGGCGCAGAUCCGUCAGCGACGCGGAGAAAAGAGGGGGGGCGGCCGGAACCCUAGCGGCGUGCGGGCUUUUUGUGCUUACCUGAGCAGGACUUGUUGGCGUAGAUCUUGAGGAGGAGGACGAUGACCGAGAAGAGGUGGGUCAUGUCCCCCAGGAACCGGAAGGCGUUCAUGGCUGCUGCUGCCGCUGCGGCGGCGGCGGCGACGGCGGCUAGGUUUUGGGGGGUUUAUUCGGCGGGUGGGAGCUCGCUCCAGAUGCGGCGGGGGAAUGGCGGAGAGGACGCGAGGCGUGGCGAUGGAAGGGACGGGAAAGGGCGAGACGGAGGCGUGCUCCGCGCCAGCCCGGGUGGUGGGGCCCAUGUGUCAGUGGCCGUGGGUGCGGUGGGUCAGGUGCGAGGGGUGUCGGGUGCUGGUGCCGCCCACCUGGCGGCGGGCGAGUGGACGCGGGCCGAAAAGCCACGUGGGCUGUUGGGAGGCCACGUGGCGGGACACCUCUCUCUUUUUUUUUUCCUCUAGCUUCCUCCCGGAUGAUGACCUGUCGCCUGGAGGCCCGUCACUCUGCCGCUGAUCCUAUUCGUCUCGCCUCCGCUGCAACCCACCGCGCUCGCCUUUCCGGCUCCUCCCGCCGCGAGAUCCGGCUCCGCCUCCGCCGCGCGUCGUCCGAUCGCCUGGUCGAUCGGCGGCCAUGGGCUGCGCCGGAUCCACGCCCAAAGUCGAUGGUACUCUCUUCUCCUCCUCGCUUGCCCUUGCCUUCUCUUUGCUUCCCUCUUCGGCCGUGCUUCUCUUCUUGCUGCCUUGCCUGGAUCAGAGCUGAACCGUACGGUCGUAUUCAUGGGGCUGCUGCAUCUAGAUUCUAGAGGAGUAAAGGGUUAGCUCCUUCUGCUCAAUCAUGACUUCGCUUCCACUGCCGCCCGGUUAAAUUGGCUCCUCCAUGCUUGACAGUGGUAGUACGUUUCAUCCAAAAUGGACAGUCCGAGGCAUUGAUUCAGAGCGCCGACCAAGAGGCCAAGAAUCCAUUGCUGAAAUUUUGUUGGUGCUGUCUACGUAUGUACGUGUUUUUGUAGGAGAGUGGCAGGAUUGUUCCUGCUGAACAAGUUACUAGGAGUAGAUUACUACUAUGGAUCGGUUUGCUAUUACAUUUGCUAGCGCGUGCUGCGUAAUUAUUGGUCCAUGGUACAAUCUUUUCUUCCAGUUGCGGUCAGGCUUACAGUGGUGCAAAUUCAUGGAGGUAGGUACUUCCUCCGUCCCAAAAUAAAUGUCUCAAGCUUAGCAUAAUUUUAUACUAGAGCUAGUACAAAGUUAAGACACUUAUUUUUGAGACGGAGAGAGUAGCAUUUAGAUUUGGUUAGUGGGAAGAUGAGAUUAUCAGCAUUCUGGAACGCUAAUCAGAUGAAAUUUCCCUCUAGGAGGACAAAACACGGUACUAAUUUGUAUUGAUAACUGGCAAAGGCAAAGAUGACAGUUCAUUCUCUGAUAGAACCGCGUUUGUUCGGAUUAAGCGCGGUUUUUUUAUCACCUGGGAACACCGUAUCUAGUUCCUGUUACUUUAUAUCUAGUUCCGGGUGCUUUUAUUAGGUGGAGCAUUUCGGAAAGACGCAAUCAUUUCUGCCAAUGCUUGGUCUACAUACUACUACUAUUUCAAGUGAACAUCUUUUUCCCCUUUAAAUAUUUGUCUGUUCCGUGUGCACUGCGUCCUCCUACUUUUAGUAGUGAUUCCACUUCAGCAGGUUGUUCCGUCUUCUGUGAGAUGAUAUUAUUGCUGCUCAAAAAUAACUAGGAUGAUUUUUCGGCUUGUGUCGUUUAGAAAAUUUUAUGAUAUCUUCUCAUAAAAAUGUUUGCGGACUUGUGGAUACUGUUGUUUUGUAACUAGUAGUAGGUAUUAUUGUCGGGAGUUGAUAAAACAGGCACGUCUUGCUCUUUGACAGCAAUUACUGGACUAAGUCCUGUUUUUUGUGUUUGAAAAAUUACAUCGGCGCAUGUUUGAUAUGUGUUGCAUGAUAUUUUCAAAUUUCCAAUACAUGAUAGCUUCUUGGUGUCUUUGGAUUUAUUCAAUAAUUAACUGUUAGCAUUUUAUCUUUAAUACAGAGAGCAGUAAGAACCUAAGGAAGCCUAAACCUUGGAAGCACACUCAGCCAAUAACACCAGCGCAACUCAAACAGAUGCGUGAUGAAUUCUGGGACACGGCUCCACACUAUGGCGGACAGAAAGGUAUUUAACCGUUUAUACAAAGCUGGUCGGAAGUUAAUAGUCUGUUUUAACUUCACAAGGGUGGUUGGGUUUGCAACGUUGCUGAUGGUCUCUAUAAGUCAUGCUAGUAACAUUUCCCUGUGGUUUUAUUUUGAUGUACUUCUGUCGCUAUUCAGGUUUGCUACAGAUAUUUCUUUCUUCUCGGUCUAUAUACUUAUUAAAUUUCGGUGUUUGAAUUACCAUGGUCUUACAUAUUAAAUUUUAUCUGCCCAAGUAAAAUUCUUCAGACUGAAGAGUUCAGGACCUGUUAACGAGAUAUAAUAAGAAUUUCAUUCUGAAGUGUUGAUAAUGACCCAUUUGCUCAUCGUUACUGAUUAGCGGUCCUUGAUAUUCAAGCCAUAUCAAAUGAAAGAAAAUUACUAAAUAAAAUGUAAGUACAAUCCUAUAGUCACAAGGAAUCAGAUUUCAUUUGUGUUCGUUCAAUCUAUUUGUCAAUCUGGUUAACUUUUGUUCAGAUUGUUUUUACAAUAAUCAGUUAAGAAUAUAUAAAAAGUUGUCUGAGCCGAUGAUAAUACAGGCCAAUGGUAUAUAACGGUCAGAUGCUUUGAAUUUUGAAGGAUGCUUUGAAUUUUGAACACCAUUCUUUAACAAUGGCAAGAGAGUUUUGCAAGUAUGGCCUUGGUGAUGAGUUAGUCGCUGUUUGUUUGUGCAGAGAUUUGGGAUGCGCUUCAGGCCGCGACAGAAGCUGAUUUAACUCUUGCGCAGACCAUAGUGGACAGUGCUGGAAUCAUCGUUUCGAAUCCUGACCUCACGCUUUGUUACGACGAGAGAGGUGAGUCUGGGUUGCUGUUUCCUCUUCAGAAGCUUCUACAUUUUGUUCAACUGCCUUUUCUCUCAAAACUAAUUGCUGUGGAAACUGGGUGUCUGUAUGGAUGCAGGUGCCAAGUAUGAACUGCCUAAUUAUGUUCUGAGUGAGCCCACAAACCUGGUCCGUGAUGGCUGAAGAAAUACAAACUUGAGAACGUCUACGUUAAGCAAAUGUCUGGUACGAAUCAACGUGUGUUCAGCGGCGCAUGUUCGAGGAGAGUAGUACAUAAAGCAGAUCCGUGUGUAAGUUAGGUGAAAUCUUUGGAGGAGGUCGCUGGUUUGGGGUCGUAUUCGUAUCCAUAUCGAUGGAAUGAAAUCAUGGAAGGUCAUUGGCCAUCAACAGUUAGGCCGUUGGCUAUUGCUAAGACCCUGUUGCACGGCGGUUGUGGUCCUUGAGCUGUCGUCUAUGUACUCCGUUACUCUGUCCUGCUGGAGAGAGCUGCAGCACUACUGUCACUGACUUUGAUCCACUUACUGAAUGUUCUAUAUAUAGCAAUAAUAAUGUGGACAUAGUGAUUGAUUGCUUCUUGAUUUGUCCCUUGAAACUGGUCCUGUGGAACUGUACCAACAUCGAUGCUGUUGUAUUGCCCAAAUAAUUUGCUUUCAAUACUCUGUGCCUGUCCAUCCAAGCAGUUGCUGAAAGGGGAGUGUUGGCCCUUGUGUUUCGACUUUAGACAGAGCAUAUCGUCUUCAUUAAGAAAAACCGUGGUCGAGCCCAGCGACAAUGGAACCACUGCCGAACUGGCGAUAAAAAAAUAUGGACACUUAUGAAAUAGAGGUUUGCCAUCCUUACAAAUAUGUUGCAAAUACUUACAACAUUGCAACAGCAACACAAACAUAAGAAGAAGAAGAAAAUCACAGAAAGCCAUCAGUUAGCAAAUAGUAUGAAGCUUUAGGGUGCAACCCCUGUCUACGUUGUUAGAUCCAUAUGUGCACGCUCUAUGAUAAGACUCGACUGUUCUGGGAAUAGACUACCCAAAGAUAAAUCAAUUUGAAUGUAGGUUUCUAGUGAUGUUUUUGAGAUAUAGGAAAUGAGAUGAAUAUAUGUUGGGUUACAUAUCAGAUCUUAAAAAUUACAGAAAAAUGUUCCUUUUUGUAAUAAGCAAGAAUAAGCACUUAGUAAUGAAAGUUACACAAAAAGAAAGUUUUCUAAGAAGAAUAAGUUAAUGGCAUUAGUAUUAUCCUUAAAAAUAAAUAACAUACAAAAAUUAAAUCAAAUAGUGACAAAAAUUUCAUAUGAUUUAAGUUGAAAUUGCAUAUAUUUAUAUUAUGCAAGAAUAACCAUAUAAUAGUGGAAUUUCUGUAAAAAAAAUAUUUCUCUAAUCAUGAAUGAAUUAGUUGCAUUGAUAUAACCCUUAAAGAAGAAACAAGUUAAAAAAUAAAACAAACUCAAAGUAAUGAAGUUUUUUAAGAAAGAAUGAAUUAGUGGAAUUGGUAUUACCCUUUCGGAAGAAAGAAAAAUGAAAUAAAAACAAAACAAAAGCAUACUAAUAAAGUUUUCUAACAAAGAAUGAAUAAGUGGAAUUGAUAUAACCCUUUCAGAAGAAAGGAAAUGAAAAAAAGGCUAAGAUAAAGUCCAAAAAAUAAUUUUAUUCCUAAGAAAGAAUAAAUCAGUGGCAUUGAUACUACCCUUACAGAAGGAAACAAAAUCAGAAAUAGAACAAAAUCAAAAUAAUCAAGUUUUUUCAGGAAGACAAAAUUAUUGGCAUUGGUAUUACCCAGGAGUUGCACACUUUACACAUAAAUUGGGCUUUGUUAUAAUAUGCAAGAAUAAACCUAUAAUAGUGUUUUUUUUUUUGCAAAAAUGCAAAGUUUUAAUUGAAAAUAACAUGCAGCCAUGAGAUUGCGCACUACAUAACUACAGAUAGCUAUCAAGACCUAUUUAUUUACUAUGUGAUUGUACAACAGCUCACAAUUCAGCAAUCCAGAAUAUUUGUUGCAGAACACACUUGUAGCUAGAAGGAACUAAAUCAUAGGACAACUUUUUGAAAGUAGAUGACCACAUUUAUAUAUAUAAGACAUAGAAAAGACAUAGAAGGUAAGCAUACAAUUAUUAUCAUUCUCUAUGUGUGAAGAGAUUUGGGAUUCACUUAUGGCCGCUACAGAAGCUGAUGUAACUCUUUCGCAGACCAUGGUGGACAGUGCUGGAAUCAUCGUUUCUAAUUUUGAGCUCACGCUUUGUUUCUAAUUUUGAGCUCACGCUUUGUUUCGAAUUUUAACUGUAGUGAACUGCCUAAUUAUGUUUUGAGUGAGCCAACAAACUUGGCCCGUGAUGGUUGAACAAAUAAGAAGUUGACAAUGUCAGCAUAAAGCAGAUGUCUGAUACAAAAUGGCAGGUAUUCUAGGGGCGCACGCACGAUUCGAGCAAAUGGCAGGUAUUCUACGACUCCCUUCGUCUGAAAACACACAUCAUAGGUAUGGAUGUAUCUAGAUGUAUCUUAAUUUUAGAUAAAUUUAUUUUUAUCAAUUUAUGCGACAAGUAAUUUCAAACGAAGAAAGUAUUUAAAACCGUUCAUUUUUGGAUGGUCCAGGAUCAUAGUCAGUCACAUCCAUGAAGCAUAGAAAGGUCCAUGGAUCUCGGCAAUUAUGAUGAUGUUGGCUAUUGCUGCACGGUGGUUGUAGUUCUUGAGCUGUCUAUGUGUAGUACUUCUUUCCCUUGUCCUGGAGAGAGAGAUGCGGCAGUACUGUUCACUGAUUUUGAUCCAUGCAUUGCACUUACUGUUGUAUAGCAAUAAUAAUGGAGACAUGGUGCUUGUUUGAUUGUUGAUGUGUCCCCUAGUCCCUAGAACUGGUUCGGUGGUCCGGUUCCAGACGCCCCCUUUAUUCAAUUAUUAUGAUACAUCUGAGGGAAAACUGUUUUUGUUAAAGCAAUUUGUAUACUCCUUUGUCACACGUUAUAAAACAUGAUUAAAUUUACGUGUAUUUUUAUAAUAAACAAGGUUUAAAGCGCACUGCAUUUACUUAUAACAGGUAAUUAAUAUUUUGUCGUAUUACUUCUAUGUGUAUAUGUAGUGUACAUGUUAUUUUUCAUAUCAUAUCACAGUUAAUUAAUAACUGUCUAGGUUCUAGAGAAUUUUAAAGCACGCAUUCUAAACCGUGACAGAAAGAGUACAUAGAAUUUUGUUUGUACAUCAAAUCAUGUGGAGUUCGAUUUCUCCAACGGGGCUCAUAUCCCUUUCCAUAAUUCCAUUAAUUGCUCAACGGAAAUACAACAGUCUCGAUCAUAUAGAAUUUGAUAAUAUACCUGAAAAAUCUAGCAACAAAAGAAGACUAAAAGAGGAGAGCGAGUUAGCGCAUCAAUAGGAAAUCCAUUGUGAAUGACUCUGAAGAGACCUCGCCACCUGAACCAUCCUCCAUACCCAGCCUGAAAGCCUGCCCCGUCUACUUCUUUCAGUAAACCUGACCAUUGCUUAAAAAAACAUGCGACAAACACUUCCUCAAGAGGAGAUCUCACAAUAUGAUUGUUAAAUAUUACAUUGUUAUGAAAGUGCACCAGAUCCAUCAACAGACAGCGGCAACGAUGGUCAUGUAAUGUUGUUUUUCACCAGGCAAGCAUUUAUAAAGCCAUGCCCAACUUUGCCACGGAUAGCUGGGGCAACAAGGAGCGCCCAUUGCCAAGUGGAUUCGAGGCAAUCAUACAAUUGAGAGAAUGCAUUGCGCUUGGCCGGAUUGAGUCCUGAAAGGGCAGUUUUGCGGUUAUGGUUAGACAGGAUGGAGCUCAGAUGGAGUGACAGGAUCGACAACGGGGAGGAUAAGACUGAUGGAACGCGGCACUGUCAUCUUCAUUAAGAAAGAAACCAUGGCACGAGACACGCGAAAGGAAAGGCACGAGACACGCGAAAUGGAGCCAAAGGCGCCCCAAACGUAGCGCGCGGCCAUCGUUUGCUACGAGUACUGUACUACUAGUAACUUUGAAUCAAACUGUUUUCUGAAAGAAAAGAAAGAAAAUGUACCGUUGGUUUUCCAUGCACAGAUUCCCCGGCUACCUGGCCGUAGCUUUUUGUUUAUGUCAGCGCAAGAGUAGUUGCUAGGCAGAUUGGGGUUAGAGCAUGUCGAGCCGCAUCAUCAGGACGCCUUCCCAGACGUCUUUUUUAACACCAGCUAUGAAAAAUUGUUCCAAGGACGUCUUCAGGAUGUCGUUUUACGUUGGAUUUGACCAAAAAUAGCCCGACGAUGCCAGUCUAAACCCAGCCCCCGAGGCGCUUGGGAGCGUCCGGCGCUAUUUUUGUAUGCGUAAACCCUACGGAUCAGCCUCUUUCAUUUCCCUCUUUUUUUUCUUCUAGACCCAUUAUAUGCAUGAAAAAAGAAAUCUCUCAUUUUUCUUUUUUAUUAUGUGACUGAUUGGAACGGGGGACGAGUGAAAGAAAUUACCCCCUAAACCGGCCGGCAACCCUCAAACGACGAAAAAAUUACCUUUUGAGGGUCAAACGGCUAGAGAUGCUCUUAGGCCUCGUUUGGUUAAAGAGGAUUGGGAAGAUUUUGAGAGGAAAAUCUACGGGAGGGCCAGAAAUCCCACAGAUCCUCAGGCGCUCAUUUGGUAGGAGGGGUUUGCUUAGCCCAAUCCCCUCCAUUCCCCUUCAAUCUCUUUCUAUUCAUGUGUUUUAAAACCCUCAUCGGGGGACUAGUGGAAGCAAAGCCCCGGGGAUUUGAGAGGAUUGAGUGGAACAAAGGAAUUCACCCAAUCCACUGAAAUCCCUUCCUCUCAAAACCUCCCCAAUCCCCCUUAACUAAACGAGGCCUUAGGAGGAUAUAACCUGUCAUUUGUCUAUGGAAUCAAGCAGGUAAAUAACCUAUCACACGAUCACUCGUGUCCAUGUGUCCACUACUAUUAGAGUAAAGAAGUAAGUAGCCUAGCCUCUGUUGGUGUCAGAGUGACGCCGUGGCGUAGGGAGUCAGACUGUCAAAGGUCCAUAGCUGGGGUACAAACCACGCAAUUUGUUCAUCAAAAGAAAACACACACGCAAAGAUCGACGUCAGUGGUGCUCCUGAUACGGUAAUUAGCAGAGUUCAGAGUCAAGUUGAGUGAUGUUCACGCGCUCGGCCUUCGUAGCAUGCUAGCACAGCUGCAUUUGAGUUAUGCGCACGCUUGCUUCGGGACAGGUUUGACUCCGGGAACUGAAGAUGUACAUAGUACUGCUCUUCUCUCUCUCAAACUGCACUUGUGCAGCACAGUAGAAUGUCUCCCACGUGGAUCCCCUAUCCUCUCCUCGGAUUCGCGUUUCGAACUGCUUGUGGCGGGAGAACGUUGAUACUCUGCCUUCAUUGGCGCAGGCGUGGUAAAAGGAUAAUAGCGUCACAAGUUCUACAAUUUAUUUUAAAUGUGAUACUUUAGCCUCAACUAGUAAGAUGAUCGUGUUACUACGAAAUCAUAUCAUUAAGUGGAAUAAUAAAAGUGGCUCGGAAUUUUUAUUCAAAUGGCAACAUCAGGCAACUUAUUCUCUUUAGAGAUGCGAAGACUUGGUUGGCGAGUCAUUUUGCAAAACAAGGGCAAGUCCCCGUCGUUCAUCCCCGCGUGCUCCCCCAGUCGGCUUCUUUCCGCCAGCCUCGUCAUCGUAUCAGCGUCCCGGUGCACCAAGCACAGUGACAUUGGGAGCACCGCAUCCGCUACCGUACCCAUACGUGACCGUCCCGCAUGACUCGCAUCUGGAUCCGGAGAGGAUCCCGGUGCCGGCGUGCCGCAGGCGCACGCGGAGGAGGUGAGUCGUCGUCGCCGGCAGCUGAAGCCGGAGCAACGGCUCAACCCCAUCUAGGAGGCCGACUCUCCCGACUGGGAGGUAUGGUUCGCGCUCGAGCACGAGGAGCAGCGUCGAUGCGGCAUGCGCGACGUGCAGCCAGGCCCUCCAUCGCCCCCACCCGUCGUUCGCAACGAGGACAAGGAGGCGGAGGCCGUCUACCAAGCAACGCUGGCAUCCGCUCUCCACGAGAGCGAGGAGGAAGAAUGGCGCAAGGCCGAGCAGGAGGACGCGGCGUACGAGGCGCACCUCGCGGAGGCCAUCGUAUUGUCCGCCACCGACGACUGCGUCGUGCCCCCUCCGUCGAAGACCAAGCCGCAGUCGGACGUCUACCAGUGGAUCGACUGCCUCCGCGAGUGGGUCAGCGCACCGCCCAUCUGGUUGGACGCGACACCGCGGUAGGAGGCCGCCUACCUCCAACAUUGGAGGGCGCGGAGCCUGACGGAGGAGGGCGCCGACGACCAGCGGCAGAUAGAGUUGGAGCGCUGACUGAAGCAGGAAGCGGAGGAGAACAGCUGGAAAAGGGAGGAGGAGGAUCUCGCCCGUGUUGCGCUGCCGCCACCACCAGCACAACCCGCGUCGACUGGAGAAACAACGGAGGCACAGGCAGCGGCGACGGAACCCGCCCCCAACAUCAACGUCGUCUGGAACACGGCGUUCUCCUAGGUCGGCCCUGCGCCGACGCUGAUCGACCUCACCGCCCGUGACGUCAACAUCGACGACGCCUAGGGCAGCGCGACGUCUCGAAUUUUAAUUUUUUAUGUUUAAUUAAUGUAAUAGGAACGCGUGGACUCUCACAGGUCUUCGUGACCGGCUUUAAUGUUUAAUUAACAUUUAUUUUUAUUUUCAAAAAUGUUUGAAUUAUUUUUUUCACACGUCUUUAAAAUGGGUUGGCCAGCGUUCCACCCAUAAGCCGACGCAAAAGCGAAAAGGACGUACAUGUCCGCCGGACCAACCCAAAUGAAUAAAAAAAGACAAAAUGUCGUUCAUUUAAAUAGCGUCAAUGAAAAAAAAUUAGUCAUUAAAUUUUAUCAUGAUACCUGUAAUUUAAAUUUAUGACUAAAGGAGAGAGUACCAUGUCUCUGCUAACGGCCGAAUGCUCGAGAGGAAACGGAUUCUGGAAGAGAGGCUUCUCUCGGGUCGGGUGGAUCUAGCGAUUUCGGCGCCUGCUGGCCGGUCGGGCCGUGUCGCCCCCGACACGUGGGCUGAGUCCGUCCUUGCUCCUGGUCCGGUCGCCAUCUCCGCGUUGGCCCGGCGCGGUGCGCCCACCCGAAUCAUCGUGGCCCGCCAGUUCGGUCCAUCCCCGCAAACAGUGCCGCACGUCUUCCAACCGUUCCAUCAGACGGCCGGCGAUCAUCUGGCGCGGUCCACGGCACUGCCGCUCGUGUCCGUCCGUCCAAGAUGGGUGCAACAUGUGGGACGGGCUACGAUACGAGUACGACGACUAGACGUGGCGCUUCGAUCGUGUCGCCCGCACCGCACAUGCAAAUACAGUGCGUGCACCGUGCGCGACGAGACGGUUGCAGGCGGCAGUGCCGUCACGUAGUGGCGGCAUCUUUUUGAGAUCGCUGUGGGCUGUGGGCCAUGGGCAGCUAAUCAAGCAUCAACCGUUGGUUACGCUGUGGAGCCUAGUGAUCAGAGGAGGGUGCGGCGGGUACUGUCACCCAACAGCAGCGUCUUCCUUCUCUUCUCUUGCAAUGGAACAUCUUCAUCUAUACUAUUAUUAAACAAGCAAACUAAAAUUUUUUUAAAGCCACCCUUUAGAUGUACCCAGCCUAAUUACAACCGUCAGAUUAGCCUCAUCGAAUAAAAUUUAAUACAUACAAUUAAUCAAAUUCCAACUUAUGUGUGCAAUUAGUAAUUUAAUAGGACUGAACGCAUUCCACCCACCGAGAUGGAGCCGUUCGAGGUGCCGGACUUCCCGGUGCGGGCCAUCGGGAACACGGCCACGUUCUGGGGCUUCUUCCAGCACCCCGGCGCGGAGAAGGAGCAACGCGACGUUCUCGACACCGAGGCCACCGCCGACGGCCUGCUGCUCAACACGUUCCGCGGCGUCGAGGGCAUCUUAGUCGACGCGUACGCGGCGGCGCUCGGCAAGAGGACGUGGGCCAUCGGGCCGACGUGCGCCUCCGGCAUCUUGGUCAAAGACGCCGAUGCCAUGGCCAGUCGCGCCGACGUCGAUGUCAGCCACGUCGUCUCAUGGCUCGACGCCCGGCCAUCGGCGUCCGUGCUGUACAUUAGCUUCGGCAGCAUCGCGCAGCUGCCAGCGAAGCAGCUUGCCGAGCUCACGCGCGGUAUCGAGGCGUCAGGGCGGCCGUUCGUCUGGGCCAUCAAAAGGGCCAAGACCGACCUUGUCGUGAAGGCGCUGCUCGACGACGAGGGGUUCAAGUCACGCGUCGAGGGCACGGGCCUCCUCGUGCGCGGAGUGGGCGCCGCAGGUGACCAUCCUGUCGCACCCAGCGGUGGGCGGCUUCCUCACGCACUACGGCUGGAACGCGACGCUGGAGACCAUCUCCCACGGCGUGCCGGCGCUGACGUGGCCCUGCUUCGCCGACCAGUUCUACAGCGAGCGGUUGCUCGUGGACGUGCUCCGCAUAGGCGUCAGGUACGGCGUCAAGGUGCCCGCCAAGAACGUCCCCGGCCAUUGCCCAGCUGAUGGAUGGCGGGGCCGAGGGGACGGCGAGGAAGUCCAGAGCCAAGGAGGUCGCCGCGGAGGCGAGAGCGGCCAUGGGGAAGGCGGGUCGUCCAACACCGACCUCGUAGACAUGAUCUGCUACGUCUCGGAGCUGUCGAGGAAAGGGAGCCAUGAGAGGGGCGGAAGCUCGAUGACCCUGCCUUUUGCGGCGGCAGAGCUCCGAAGCAAUGUCGGCGAGAAGAUCGAAGCCGGUGCUGCAUUGUCACUACAGUCCUAAGUUGUGUAUAACUCAUUAUCGGAUUGCAAAGCUAAUAUUCUCUAUAUCUAUACUACUAUACUACUAUUAAACAAGCAAACUAAAACUUUUUUAAAGCCACCCCGCAGAUGCACCCAGCCUAAUUACCACCGUCAGAUUAGCCCCACCGAAUAAAAUCUAAUGCAUACAAUUAAUCUACUCUCGACAUGUGUGUGCAAUUAGCAAUUUAAUAGGACUGAACACAUUUCACCCGCACAGGAAUAUGCCACACACGUCCGCUACGCGUUCCCUCUCCCCAGAUCCCCACGGAUCCGCCCGCAAUACGCGGCUGGAUUCCACCGGCCUCGAUGGUUCCCCAUGACCACAUAUCUCUCUCCUCCUCGCCUCUGCUACAGAACGUCGCUGGGCAAAGCUUGGCCUGCGUCGGCGAUGCCGGGAUCGCUCUCCUCCCCCGAGCAGUGUUGGUGGUGUGGGACAGAGCAGGCUUGGCCUGCGUCGCCGGCACCGGUGUCCCUCCCUCCGUUGAGCGGCGGCGACCGCGCGAGAUGCAGCGGAUUUGACCUGGGGCAGCGGCAGCGCGGGACGCAGCGGGCUUGGCCUGCCCCGGCGGCGGCAGGGUCCAUCUCCUCCCUCGCGAAGCAGCAGGCUCGCGCUCCAUGAUUUAUUCGAUUUGGUUUUCUGGUUUGUAUUGUGUGCAGACUUGGAGUCAUUAAUUAUAAUGCCUCUCCUUUGUUUGAUUCUGGUUCCAGCUUUGAUCCGAAGCACCAACGCGACCUCGGAUAAAGCCCAAGUGAGUAGCAUUUCCCCAGCCGAUUUUUCUUCAUGUGAGGUGAUUUGUGGCUUUUGUUUCUACUGUUAGGCACAUAUAUAAGAGAACUCAAGGAAGAAUUGAAGCUCCUCAAGAAACUACAUAUGAAUGUAUAUAGACAUACUCCAUCCGUAUGUAGUUUGUAGUGUAAUCUCUACAAAGACUUAUAUUUAGGAAUGGAGGUAGUACAAGUUUUUACCCGCAAAAAAACAUAUAGGACAAGAUGUUCUCAACAUGGAUGAUCUCAAUACCAUUUGUUUGACAUUCCAUGCGUGAUAAGCUUUCAUCAACCAUGAUUGGGAGGGUUGCUAUCUCGCGUCCACGUUGGAGCGACCGAUUUCAGACAGCUUCAAAGUUUCCUAUUAUGCUAAUUGAGGGGAGAAACGUUUGCAGCACCGGGCCCCCACCCAUUGAAAUAGGGGUGGGGGAUUUAGACCUAGCAUUGGCACGCUUGGACGCGUAGGUGUAAACUCCCCAUGUUUGGAUCCUUUGGUAUUUACUUUUUGAUUAAAUGAAUCAACUAAAAAUAUGACCAACCACGUCAGUGCUUGCAACCACAAAGGGAAUGUGUUAAUGAUUGUUGCUUUAAACAUCUUGAGAUAAAGCAAAGCGGUGAAAGUCGAAGCCUGAGCGCAGGUGUGUUGUUAGGCCACUGAUUGUACGUGACACUGAAAACUAUUUACUAAUAGACUAUUGUUUCCUCUAAAAGAAAAAAAUAUAUGACAUCAAUGAUGUGUUGUUAAAAAAAAUUGGAGGUGGACGAGAGUGGGAUGUAUUAUUUCGGUGCAUUGACAUCCUCAACACGCUGGAGUCGAAGCAUUCCCCUCCCAUUUGGAGCGGUGGUAUAUGGAUGCGGGGACCCACUAUCUUGACGACAGAGGAAGUGGCAAACUCUUGCCGUAAUUUUCCCAUUAGCGAAAGAAGUUAUGAGAGAAUGAACCAUGACUCUUUGAUAUUACGUGUGUUGCACGUGCAUGCUCACUAGUCGUCAUAAUCAUCUGUCGUGCUUAAUUAUCUUUCCGUGCUAAGAUCGCGGUCCGAAAACUUCCUCUUGGAGUAUAGCAUUACUGAGCCAAGCCACGAUGUUUCUGUACAUUUCGAUCUAUAGAGUACUCGUAGUAUUUCUUUUUAGGUUCUCGAGUACUCAUAGUUGGUAGGAGUGCUUCCGUUCUAAAAUAACUGUUUUAAAUUUAUGUUAACACCUAUUUUAAUUCAAGAACAGAGUAAGUACUAUACAGAAAGUAUCGAAUGAAAAAUCACAUCGCGUUUUCACUAGACCACAAUUUCGAUCAUCCCUAUCGUAUCAUGCGAGGGGAGUAAUAAAGGCCUAAGGCUGAAUGAGACAAAAAAAACAAUGAAGUAGGCAGGACAUACAAAGGUGUAGGCCCGACGACAUACCUUUUUAGAGAAAGUACAAUAAGGUACAAUCAGCAGACUGUAAGGAUUAAAAUACUAUAUUUCUGUUGAGUUAGAUGAGAAAGAAGAGGAGAGAGAAGGAAAGCGGGCUCUUCGUAGAGAACCGGCUCUAGCACGUGCUCCUAGGUGCUUUGUGAAAAUGAAACGUGCGUCAUAUAUGAUAAAAGUAGUACUCUUUUAUAGCUAACUAUUGUACAAGCUAGCUAUAAGGUAGACUAUAAUAUUGCUUAUAGCCAGCAGUUGGCUAUACUAUUAACCAUGCUCUUAGGUUUUGAACAGCACUACCGUUACAUGCUUAAGCCCUUUUUUUAGGGUAAAUGCUUAAGCCUUUUUUGAUUCGUAGGAAUCUAAAAACGUGGGAAUAUGAAAAAACAUACGAUUAGUACAAUAUGCUCACCAUAAUCCUACUGAAUUUUAGUUUGUUUGUUUGCAUUAUAGAAAAAAGUAAAGAAUUAUUUUAAAGAUGUUUGAGUGGAUGUUAGAAAUCCUAUGGCAAAUAAUACAAACAAAUCGUUAGGAAAUUUUUUCUAUGUGAUCCAAUCUUACGAAUUAAAUUGUAAAACGUGAUUGUUUGAAAACAGCUCGACAUUCUAAAACGGGUGUGGCUAUCUUAUAUAUAUGGUCAUAUAGGGGUAGACAAAGGUGAAUAAUACACUUUAUAAGACAUUUACAAAGGUUAUGUAUAACACAGUCUAAUACACUCUUUUAAUCUUAACUGUGGCUCGUGUAACAAAGCAAAUUAAGAUUAUGCCUACAACUUAUAAAUUAUGGGUGUGGAAGAGGCUUCACGAAGAUGUGAGCAAGUUGAUCUUUAGAGGAGAUGAACUUGAUGUGAAGUAGCUUCUGUGCAAUGUGUUCCCUCACAAAAUGAUAAUCAGCUUCAACGUUUUGGUGCGAGUAUGAAAAACUGGAUUAGAUGACACAUAUGUCGCACCAAUGUUGUCACUAAAUCCGUUACAUGCUUAAGCCCUUUUUUUAGGGUAAAUGCUUAAGCCUUUUUUUUAUUCGUAGGAAUCUAAAAUCGUGGGAAUAUGAAAAACAUACGAUUAGCAUAAUAUGCCCACCAUAAUCCUAUUGAAUUUUAGUUUGUUUGAUUGCAUUAUAGGAAAAUGUGAAGAACUAUUUUAAAGAUGUUUGAGUGGAUGCUAGAAAUCCUAUGGCAAAUGAUACAAAGAAAUCGUUAGGAAAAAAAUUCUAUGUGAUUCAACCCUAUGAAUUACUCCCUCCGUUCCUAAAUAUAAGUUUUUUAGAUGUUUCACUAGGGGACUACAUACGGAUGUAUAUAGACAUAUUUUAGAGCGUAGAUUUAUUCAUUUUGCUCUGUAUAUAGUCUCCUAGUAAAACCUCUAAAAAGACUUAUAUUUAGGAACGGAGGGAAUAAAUUGUAAAACGUGAUUGUUGAGAAACAGCUCGGCAUUCUAGAACGGGUGUGGCUAUCUUAUAUAUAUAUAUGGCCAUAUAGGGGGUACACAAAGGUGUAUAAUACACUUUAUAAGACAUUUACAAAGGUUACGUAUAACACAGUCUAACACCCCUCUUUUAAUCUUAAUUGUGGCCCGUGGAACAAAGCAAACUAAGAUUAUGCAUACAACCUAUAAACCGUCGAUGUGGAAGAGGCUUCCAUCCCAAGAGAUUAAUGCAAAGUGCCCAAGUCCUUCACGGCAAACUCACCACUGAGAGCAGGCAUGAGAUGUCCAACAGCAACAUCGGAGGAGCUAAUGAGAAUAAUGUCAUCAAUAUAGGCCAGCAUAUACAUUGUUGCCUAAUAGUGACGUGUCAACAGUGGAUUGAACAAAUCCAAGAUCCCAAAGAGCGGAACCAAGCCGAGCAUGCCAUGCACGAGGAUCCUGCUUCAGCCCGUAAAGUGCCUUUACCAGACAAUACACGUGACGAGGACAAUCAGGAUCAACAAACCCCGGGGGCUGACGCAUAUAAACCUCCUCCUCCAAAACACCAUGAAGAAUGGCAUUCUAGACAUCCAGUUGGCGAAAAGACUAACCUCUAGUAACAACCAAAGAAAGCAACAGGCGGAUGGUAGUUGGCUUAACAACAUGAUUGAUAUUUUCUUCAUGGACAAGACCAUACCGCUGUUUGAAUCCUUUAGCCACCAAUCAUGCCUUGUAGCACUUAAUAGACACAUCAACAUGUAUCUUGACCUUGAAGACCCAUUUGGAAUCAAUAACAUUGACACUAGAGACCGGAGGAACCAACUCCCAAGUACCAUUUUUCAACAGUGCCAGUGCAGAAUACCAAGAACAUCGUGAAAAUGUCGAGGUUCAAUAGAUGAAUCGUGAGCCAGCUGAGACACACAAGCUGCAAUCCUUGCAAUUGUCCCAUUCGUGUGUUCCUUUGGACGAACAAUCCCAGACUUAUUGCGUGUAAGAGGUCGCAGAGCGACAACCACUCGUGACACUGGUGGUGGCAAAGCCAACACGGACGAUGUACCAAACGAUGUAGUCAACGACAUUGUUGGCAUGGUCGAGGCAGAUGAAUCGACAGUUUGAGGCGAGCCGGGUGCAGGGCUUGGUGAAGACGGUCUAGCUGGAGCCAUGGUGGAAGGCCCCGAGGAGGCUUCCUUGGACACGCGGCCGGGCGGUGAGUCCGGCUGAGCCGACCAAGGCGACAAGGCAGGCGAUAGAGGCGAUGGCGGGUCAGGCAUGCAUGGCACAUGCACCUGAUUGACGUCCCUCACUGGAACAGGGGCUAGUGCCUCAUCCUCCAGCAGUUCCAGACAAGAUCCACGGCCGACACGUGCAACAUGGUUAGGAAGCAACACAGGAGAGUAUGCAACAUCAACAAACUGACCAGGCGACGGUAAAAUGGAAGGCGCACAUGGCUGAGAAGUGGUGUGAGUAGUUGGAAAAGAGAAAAAAGGGAACACUUUCUCAUCGAACACAACAUCACGUGAGAUGUAGACAUGGCUAGAUAGAAUAUGAAGGCACUUGUAUCCUUUGUGAAGGAAACUAUACCCAAGAAAGACACGCUAUUUGAAACGAAAUUCUAGUUUAUGCACAUCCAAAAAGUUUUAGGAAUGUAUAAUCAGGAGUUUCAUUGAGCAAGAGUUCAAGUGGUGUUUUCAUCCCAGGGCGUCGUGUAGGAAGCCUAUUAAUACGGAAAGAGAUCCAGCUCUCCAGGAGCUAAUUGCUAAGGCAUGCCUGGAGGCGGCAACAAAGUCAUCCCUGGGUGACGUGCAUGCAGCUCCAAGGGCUACUAUGCAAAAGCUGUGCAAAUGGAGCAAGGCAAAAUUUGGCAGUGUUGCUUGGGAAAUUGAAAAAUCACGGACAAAAUUGGAGGAACUCAUGAUGAUGAAUGCUGAUAGAUGUGAGAUCCGGAAGGUAACAGAUAAAAUGAACGAGCUCCUAUAUAGAGAAGAGUUAAUGUGGUUGCAACAUUCCCGUAUCACUUGGCUCAAAGAAGGGGACCAAAAUACGAAAAAAAUUCAGCCAAAGGCUGUUUGGAGUGCUAGGACGAACCGCAUCAAAAAACUCGCAGACACGAGUGGUCGGGUUUUCAUGGGUAAUGAAGUGAUGGGGCGAGCAGUCGUGGACUAUUUUAAAAGCAUCUUCUCUACAGUUCCAUCGAUGGAUCCAAGCCCCAUUCUUAACCUAGUAGAAGUUGUUAUAGAUGAAAACAUAAAUGCAUCAUUGUGUGCUGAUUUUACAAAGAAGGAAAUUUCGGAUGCUUUGUUUCAGAUCGGGCCUCUUAAGGGACCGGGCCUGGACGGUUUUCCUGUGUGGUUCUUUUAGAGGAAUUGGGGCGUUAUUAAGGAGGGUAUUGUGGCGGCGGUUCAGGAGUUUUUCGAACGGGGGUAAUGCCGACAGGGGUCAACAGUACUAAUAUAGUGCUAAUCCCGAAAAUUCAGAACCCCGUUAAGAUUACAGAUUUCCGUCCAAUUAGCCUCUGUAAUGUUAUUUACAAGGUGGUUUCUAAGUGCCUUGUUAACCGCUUGAGACCGGUGUUAGAUGGUAUUAUUUCUCCAACGCAAAGUGCUUUCACUCCCGGGCGAAUGAUCACUCAUAACUCUUUGAUUGGUUUUGAGUGUAUUCACCAUAUUAAGCAGGAAAAGGACCCCACAAAGAGCUUCUGUGCCUACAAGCUAGAUCUAUCCAAAGCUUAUGAUAGAGUUGAUUGGAAUUACCUUAAGCAAAUGAUACAGAAGCUUGGCUUCGCUCAUCGGUGGGUUGACUGGAUUAUGUCGUGUGUAACCUCGGUGAGAUACUCAGUAAAAUUCAAUGGAGCCAUCUCGGAUUCAUUUGCAUCGUCAUGUGGACUACGGCAAGGUGAUCCAUUAUCCCCAUACUUAUUUUUGUUUGUGGCUGAUGGUCUCUCUAUUCUGUUCAACAAGGGUACAGACUCAACUGAUUUGCCCCCGUUGAAAAUAACUCGACGAGCAACUGGAAUAUCACAUCUCCUAUUCGCAGAUGACACUCUUUUAUUCUUUAAGGCCACUAGGCAGCAGGCGAAUACUGUCAAGCAAAUCCUCAAGACUUAUGAGCAAGCCACUGGUCAAUUGUUAAAUCCGACAAAGCCCUCUAUUAUUUUUGGAGAAUCUUGUCUGGAGGCUACUGUAGUUGAAAUCAAGGGCGUCUUGGAGGUGAUCAGUUCUGGUUCUGAGGAGAAGUACUUGGGCUUACCAACUCCGGAUGGCCGGCUUACUAAGGGCAAGCUUCAAAAUCUACAAGAAAAGGUUAGUAAGAGAUUUUUCCCUUUUAGUGGGCACCCAACACAGGCUGGGAAGGAAAAUUUGAUAAAGUCUAUUGCCCAAGCGAUCCCUACGUUCAUUAUUUGUGUGUUCAAGAUCCCGCUAGGAGUGUGUGAUGAUUUGAAGUGCAUGAUCCGGAAUUAUUUUUGGGGCUCGGAGAAAGGGAAGCAGAAAACUCAUUGGUUUGCUUGGGAGAAACUAUUGCGAGCAAAAGCACAAGGAUGGCUUGGGUUUAGGGACUUUAGAAUUUUCAACCAAGCGUUUCUUGCAAGGCAAGCUUGGCGUCUCCUAAUUCAUCCUGACAGUCUUUGUGCAAGGUUACUUAAGGCUAAAUACUAUCUGAACAGGCGGUUGGAGGACACAGUAUUUUCAGGUAACCCCUCUCACUCUUGGCAAGGGGUCCAUCAUGGCCUUGAACUCUUAAAGAAAGGGCUUGUGUGUCAGUUAGCAAACGGUCAAAAUGUGAGAAUAUGGCGGGAUCAGUGGCUCAUGCGAGGAAACACUAAUUCAUUGCUUUCGAGUAGAGGUCGGUGUCGAUUCAAAUGGGUGUCUGAACUGCUUGAUCACAAUGAUAACUGGGAUAUGCAGAAGCUACAACGAUUAUUUUUGCCGGUUGACGUGGCACAGAUUUGCAAGAUUAGACUUUCGCCCCGGUUAGGGGAAGACUUUCUGUCAUGGGCGCCUGAACGGAGUGGAAACUUCUCCGUUAAAAGUGCUUACUGGCUUGCUGCAAGUGAAAUGCUUGGAAUAUCUAUCCCUUCGUCGAGUUCUGCCUAAGAUAGUAGCAGGGACAUGUGGAAGCUUAUUUGGUCUUGCCCGGCUCCGCCAAAGGUUCUGUCGUUUGCUUGGCGAGUAGCGAUGAACUCCUCGGUGACCUGGAAGAACAUGAAGCGGAGAACUUUAGAGGAACAGACACUUGCCCUAUCUGUGGUAGUGAAGUGGAGGACUCGUUUCAUGUCUUUUGUGCAUGUGAUAAGGCGCAACAGCUGUGGAAAGCGAUUGCGCGAGUCUGGGAUCUGCCUAGACUUACUGACAUAGAAAGGCAUGAUGAGUGGUUUAUCCAUGUGGUGUGUGAAGCUGGUGAACAGCGGCGUGUCCGGUUAUUUAUGCUCCUAUGGAGGAUUUGGCAUGUCAGAAACGAAAUUGUGCAUUCAAAGCCGGCUCCUCCAGUCGAUGCAUCAGUGCGGUUCCUUGCGAGCUUUUAUGAUUCCUUGGUAAAUUUGAGAGCUGAUCCACACGCUGAUUACGUCAAAGGUAAGAUGGUUCCAGCCCACUGUUUCCCAUUACUGAGAGAUGUCGGUGCUAUACCGAUAGACAGUUGUAGCUCUUGGACUCCCCAAGCCAUGGAAGAUUAAAGUUAAACACUGAUGGAUCUGUAUUGAACGAGAGUGCUGGAACUGGCAUGGUCUUGCGGGAUCAUGCGGAAACUUUAUCUUCAACGCUUGCAGAUUUGUUGGUGAUUGCGAGGACGUGCUUGAGUCUGAGAUCUUAGCUAAACGGGAGGGUCUCAGUUUGGCGCUACAAUGGAGCUCUUUACCGAUAGAGGUGGAGUCUGAUUGCCUUGAGGCUGUUGCAAUGGUAAAGGACGCGGGGCGCAACUUAUCAAGAUACACUUUUCUGAUUGGAGAGAUUAAGCAAAAUAUGGGGGAACAUGUCUCUUUUAUUACUCAUAUCCGUCGUUCAUGCAAUUGUGUUAGUCAUGCUAUGGCUAGUUUUGGUAGAAGGUAGGGCCGAACCAUGGUUUGGCUCAGUUCGCCUCCAGAUGAAGUCUUAUGUAUUGCCUCACGAGAUUGUAAUCACUAUUGAUUGAGUAAUAUAAGAGUUCUUUCGCAAAAAAAUACGGAAACAAACCGCGGACAAACGGCCGGGCUGACCGAGUGAAAGUGCAGUCAUGCCCCUAAUCGAGUUUUGGUGUUAAUGACAACACAUACAUAGGAAACUAAUCUUAUUUGUUGAGUGUAUCUCAGGAUGGCAAGUACUUUUAGUAGAUUGAGAAUUAUGUACCAAGGUGGUCUGAGAAGAUCGGGAUUUAUAUGACAAGAAGGCUCGGGAUUGAGAAAAGAUGAUGUAGCCUAUUCUUUGAAUUUACUAUUCUUGAGUAUAGGGAUCCCGCACUAUUAAGAGGGGAUCACAGGUUUUGCGAUGAACUUGCUCAUACUACAUCUCUACUUUUCUAUUCAUACCACAUCUCCACUGCCCAGUUUUCAUCUCAAAACAGAACCAAUGCCUCGGACAUCCGGCUUCCUCCGUACGUCCGAGGGCCGGACGUCCGACCCCCUUCGGAAAUCCAGAAUCUUAUACUAGAGAAAACAAAGCCAUAUAACUCGGACUUCCGGCUCCCUCCGUACGUCCGAGGGCCGGACGUCCGACCCCCUUCGGAUAUCCGGAAUCCUAUACCACAGAAAACAGAGCCAUAUNNNNNNNNNNNNNNNNNNNNNNNNNNNNNNNNNNNNNNNNNNNNNNNNNNNNNNNNNNNNNNNNNNNNNNNNNNNNNNNNNNNNNNNNNNNNNNNNNNNNNNNNNNNNNNNNNNNNNNNNNNNNNNNNNNNNNNNNNNNNNNNNNNNNNNNNNNNNNNNNNNNNNNNNNNNNNNNNNNNNNNNNNNNNNNNNNNNNNNNNNNNNNNNNNNNNNNNNNNNNNNNNNNNNNNNNNNNNNNNNNNNNNNNNNNNNNNNNNNNNNNNNNNNNNNNNNNNNNNNNNNNNNNNNNNNNNNNNNNNNNNNNNNNNNNNNNNNNNNNNNNNNNNNNNNNNNNNNNNNNNNNNNNNNNNNNNNNNNNNNNNNNNNNNNNNNNNNNNNNNNNNNNNNNNNNNNNNNNNCACAGAAAUUUGAGUCGAAUAACUCGGACUUCCGGCUUCCUCCGGACGUCUGGUUCCUGUUCAACUACACAGUAAUUCCAGAUAUAUAUACAUCUCUCGGACGACCGACCACUAUCGGACGUCGACACCUUGUGGGCAUCCGGACAUCCGAGAAACUGCCGGAUGUCCGACCACUGCCAGACUUAAGUGACCCCAACGGUUGUUUUUCUCUCCCCACUAUAUAUACCCCCCCUCCCACUUCGUGAGAGGGUGUUCAACACACCUAGAACACUUACAAGAACACCUUUCUCCUCACUCACUCUUGCCUACACCCAAUCUUAGAUCCCAAGAGCAUUUGUGAGCCCCUUUGAGUGUUGUUCCAAUCAAAAGAUAGAUCGUCUCCUUCUCCUCCUCUCCACCAAAGUGAUUUGUGAUUUGAGCAAGUUUUGAGCAAUCCCCGUGAUCUUGUUACUCUUGGAGGUUGGAGACUCCUAGGCGGUAGGAGUCUUCGAGAGGAAUCAAACCAUUGUGAUUACCCCCGGAAAGUUUGUGAAGGUUUGGAAGCCACCUCAAGGCUUACCACUAGUGGUUGAGAAACGCCUUCGUGGAGUUAUCUCAAAGGGAGAAUAGGGUGAGCCUUCGUGGCGUUGGUGUGCCUUCGUGGUAACAUCCGCCCCUCUAACGGUGACGUAGCUUCCCUCCAAGGAAGUGAACAUCGGGAUACAUCCUCGUCUCUCUUGGAGUUUCGGUUAUCCCUAACCCUAACUCUCUACUUGUGUUAAUCCUUAUUACAUACUUGCAUUUGAUUAUUGUUUAUCGGUUGCCUUACUUCACUCUAAAUAGCUUACUCCUUGUCAUUGCAAUUAUUAGGCUCACGCUCAUAUUCCGCACCUUUGCCUCAAAUUGCUAAGUAAUUUUUAAAAUUUGGAAUUGUACCUAUUCACCCCCCUCUAGGUCCAUCUCGAUCCUUUUCAAUUGGUAUCAGAGCCUCGUGCUCUAUUCUUGUGGCUUAACCGCCCUAGAGCAAGAUGGACGGGAUUCCCACUAUUGUAGCUCCAGUGGAGAGGGACGGGACUUCCACGGAAGUCAGGUCCUUCACCUCUAAGGACCUGGAACGGGCCCUUGCCAAGCAAAAAGAGGAGCAUGAUGCUUCUCUUGAGGCCUUGGUCCAACUAAGACUGGCAUCAUUAACCACGGGGACAGCCACGUCCCCGAGGGCCUCAGGGCCAAAUGUGCAUGGUUGUUCAUUUGGCCAACAACCUCCGGAGAGGAACCAAACCAGUGUUCCAUGGCUUUAUGCUAGAUCUCAAGUUGAGAAACCUAAGUACAAUCCUGGAGGAAAACCUCCUUUGCUUGAUGACAAUUCCGAUUUUGCUUUGUGGAGAGUUGGUAUGCAGGAUCAUCUUAGGUACGCCAAUGAUGAGAUGUUGGACAUCCUCGAGCAUGGCUACAAUCCUGUAGAUCCAAGGUGCCUCACUCCCAGAGAAACUUAUGACAAGCAUCUCAACGACAGUGCGAUCAUGUGCAUAAGAAAAGGAAUGAAUGACAAGCAACGAAGACCUUACAUUCACAUCACAAGUGCCAAGGAACUGUGGGAUAGCAUUAUAAGGACCAAGACCGGUACCUCCACUCUUCGGCUUGCUCAAUAUGAAAUUGCCAAGGGGCAAUUUAUAGAAUUUCUGUAUGGAAAAGGGUGAAUCUCCCAAGCAACUGCUAGAACAGCUCAUAACUCUCGCCGCAGACAUUGAGUCCUGUGACUGUGACAAGACGCAAGAUGGUUUCAAUCUGACCAAGAGAUUUCUCGUGGACAAGUUACUUCAUGCUCUUGCUCCGUACCACCAUCAAAUGGUAUGGGACAUGAGGCAGCACCAUGGGUUCAAAGAAAUGACUCCAGAUGACAUCAUAUCCACUUUCCAACUAUUUGAAGAGUCAAAGGCAAAUGCAACAAAGCACCUUGCCAUGCAUGGCACUUCAACAUCAAAGAUCAAUCUUGCUUUGAAAGCCAAGCAUGAAUGUGACGAAGAAGAAAGUGAAGAAGAAGAGGGUGAUGAUGACUGCGAAGAUGGUGAUGAUGUUGACUCUGAUGAAAGCCCAUCUUAUGAGGACAUUGCUCUCUUUGUAAAGAAGUUCAGUGCAGGAAAAUUCAAGGGAAGAUUCCCAAAGAAGAAAGUAAGGAAAUGCUAUAACUGUGAGGAAACCAACCACUUCUCCAAUGACUGUCCUUAUGAGAAGAGAGAAGAUAAACCAAGGUUUCCGAAGACCUUUGUAAAGAAGAAAUUGCCAAACCCUAUGAACUCCAAGCUCAAGAGAAUAGAUGGAAGAGCAAUGGUUUCACAAGAAGAAUCAGAUCCAGAAGACGUUGGUGGGGUUGCCGGAGUAGCUCAGGAUACACAAAACACCUUGAGGCAAGUCAACAAAAGUGGUGAUGUUGUUCACUACAACUAUAUGAAAGACUACAAGGGCAACGCCCACAAGUGUUUGAUGGCAAAGACUGCCAUAGGAGAUGAGGAAGACCAAAGCUCCCAUGAUAAGGUUAAGGUAACUCCACGGUUAAACUCUUUCAGUCUAGUUUCUACCUCACCUGAUGAGUAUCUUGAUGCAGAAGAUCACUAUGAGGAUAAUGACUUAGAUCAUCCCAUGUUUGCCAAAAUAAACAAAUUUAUGUGUUCUCUUAAAGGAAAGAAGCUCACUAUGUUUCGCAUACUUAUGGAAAUGAUGAGUAAGCACACCAAUACCAUCAAGGAACUCGAAACCCUCGUCAGUGAGGAGAAGGAAAGAAAUGAAAUCCUUGAGCAGAAAGUCUUGUAUGAGGAAGCACAAAAUGAUGCAUUAUGCUCAAAAGUUGGUGAAAACCUUGAUAAAUAUGCUAGCGAUCUUGCCUCCUUGAAAAAGGCUGAAUCUGUGUGCAAAGAGUUAUUAAAUGAUAAAAACCGACUAGUGAACUCUCACGCUUCUCUUUCUAAGGACUGUGAGCGCCUAUCCUUGUCUCUCAAAGACAAUGAAGAGAAACUCACUGUUCUUACAAAGAGCUUUGAGGCACUCAAGGUUACUUAUCUUGACACUCUAGCUAAGGCUUACUCCUCACCUAUUAUUAAUGUUGAUACCUGCACUACUAACUCUAGUAGUGAACUGUCAUCUAUCCUUGAGGGAAACUGUUCGCUAAAGGCACAGCUAGAUAGAGGUCUCAUGACAUGUGCACAAGGACAAAAGACUCUCAAUGAGAUCUUAAGUCAACACAAUGGAGGCUUUGCCAAGGAAGGGCUUGGGUU
rnacentral:lncRNA from 1 species